rnacentral:lncRNA from 1 species
AAGUAAACUUUUAUGAGCUAGAGUUGAGAUGCAAAUUAUUUUCUUCUAUUGUUUGUUUAUGCAACGUUGAAAGUGAAAUUUUUUCAAUUUUGUUGUUUGUUUAACAAAAAGUAAAUAGCAUAAAAACCGGAGGCUUAAAAACCGGAGGCGUGAAAGAUAACUAAUAUUUUAUUUUUUUAAUCUCCUUUUUUUCGUAAUUGACUUGGGCCUAAGGUAGGCUGAAAUCAUUUACCUACUUUGAAAAGUUUGAGUUUCGACUGAAUGUAAAGUUACAAUAAAUCAAACAAAAAAAGUGGGCAUUUACAGUCAGAAAUCAUUUCACUUCACCCCUUUCCACUUUUAGUGAAACAAAUACUGUUAAAGGUCCAUUUGUUUCGCCGAAAGUAGAGAUGUGUGAAGUGGUUUGGCCAUUACUUUUGCUAUUUGAUUCACUGUAAAAUAACUACGGGCGAAAAUCAGGUUCUUCAAAAUAGCGUAAUUGACUUCGCCCUAGACCAAAGUCAAUUACGAAAAAAAAGUGAUAAAAAAUAAUAAAAUAUUAUAUUAUAAAAGAGACUUUAUUUUGGGAAUUGGCGUGACUUCUUUUAUCUAAAUAUAUUUGAUUGUUGUACUAAUUUUUCUUUUAUUUAGUUUACACGUCCGAAGUAUAAUGAAAAUGGAUUAAUCAAUUUUUAGUUUGUUUUAAUACUUAGUUUACACAUUUGAAAUGCGAUGAAAAUAAUUAGUGGUAUUAUUAUAAUUUAUGUAUGAAAAAAUUAAUAUAGUUAUUUUAAAUUAUAUUUUUUAAUUAUAUGGAAAUACAAUUAUGCUAUUUUUAUUAAUUAUAUUAUAAUUUAUUAUUUAUUAAGCUAUAUAAGAAGCAACAAUAUCAUAUGAGCAGAGAGUAAUAUAAAAGAUAAGUUUACUGGGAGUGCAAAAAUUCAACAGUUUUUUGCCAAAGAAAUAGCAAAACUAGAGAAACUUCACUUCCGCAACUAUAAAAAUAAAUAGCGAAAGAAAAAUAAUUUUCAUCUGAAUUUUCGUUCAACCGAAAAUCCACUUCAACCUGAAAUUCACUUUCCACGAAAACAAAUUCUUUUUUCAAAUUUUGGAAAUGGCAUUUUGGUAAUUCGGGGGUCAAUGCGGGGCAAAUAUUACGAGGGUCGGUCGUCGUUCGCAAGGGAACCUUCGUCGCCGAGUCUUUCAAGGCCGAGGCAAAGACGUUGCCGACUUUAAUCUACGGAUAUCAUCGCUCCCCGUUGGAUGUUUCCUUAUUGACACGCCUUUCCGGUCAAAACACACGACCAAGUUUUAUAAACGCGUGCUUUUUUUUAAUUUAUUUUAUUUGUUUUUUAUUUUCAACCAUGGUGCCAAUUUAGCUCGCUGUUCGUAAGCUGGUUCAUAUUCGGCUCAAAAUAAGCUUGAAAUCGAAUCGCUUGUAUAUUAAGCGAGCCGAACGCGAGCUGAAUUUGUCAGCUUAUUUAAUAAAUGAGCCAAAAAAUGAACUGAGGUCAGCUCGUUCGUGUUUCGUUUGAUAAGAGCUCGAAUAUAUAAAUAAAUAAUUAUAUGUAUAAAAUAUAAAUUUUUAGUAUUUGAAUUUUAACUUAAUCUAAAUAUAAAGUCCAACUCAAUUAUAAAAAGAUCAUCUAUAAUCUAUAAUCUAUAAUCUAUAACUAUAUAUUAUUCCUAAAUAACUGCACACGUGUCGCGAGGAGGCCGAGGCGCGGGCGAGGGGGGCCGGCGACGGCGCUGGCGUGGGCGGAGCCAAGCGAGCGGCGAAGCGGGCACGGCGGGCGGGCGGUGACGGGACUAAGCGCGGGCACAGGCGUGGGCGAGACUCCAGGGGCCGGCCCGCCGCUGGUCGGGGGCCGCGCAAGCGCCGGGCGUCGACCGGCUCGGUGAGCGCUCCCGGCUGGCGCCCGGGAGCGGCGCGGGGCAGCGGCGCGACCGGGGAACAGGCGGGGCGCGCAAAUGAAAAAAAAUCGGGCUCAUGUAGUGGUGUGUUCACGGGUCCACGAGCCGAAUCAGUGGCCUCGUGGAACCACAUGAGAGCGAGGUCACGGUGGACCUCCCUCUCAUUUUUCUCUCUAUCUCUCUUCAAAAAUAUAUCUAUUCUUUUAUUAUAAACAACAUAUUUUGUUGAUUUCGAUCUCAAGCCUUUUUGCAGUACAUGUAUAAUUACCAAAUAAACCUUCACAUCACUAUUAAUAAUAGCUUAUUCAAUAAUAUUUUCAUUAUGAAUCAAAUUUAAGUUGUUCAACUAAUUUAUUGAAAUUUAAUAAACUAUAAUUAUAUGAGAAACGGAUAGAGGCGGAAGUGAAAGAGCCUAUGAAAAAUUUUUAGAAUGUCAUAAUUACCAAAAUAACCUUCAAAUCACUCUUAAUAGUAGUUAUUCAAUAAUAUUUAUUGUGAAUUCAAAUUUAAGUUGUUAAAUUAAAUUUAUUUGAAAUUUAAUAAAUUAUAAAUUAUAUGAAUAACGGAAGAGGGGAAGCGAAAAAGCCUAUCUAUAAAUGAAAAAGUUUUAGAAUUAUUUACAACUAAUCUUUUCAUCUUCCAAAAUAUAAAUGAGAAAGAAAAAAAUAAUUAAUUAUUCUUUUAUGAAUAACGGUUCAAAUUUAAGUUGUUCAAUUAAAUUUAUUUGAAAUUUAAUAAAUUAUAAAUUGUAUGAGUAACAGAAGAGAGGAAGUGAAAAGGUCUAUCUAUAAAUAAAAAUUUUUUAAAAUUAUUUACAACUAAUCUUUCAUCUUCUAAAUAAUAAAUGAGAAUGAAAAAAAAUAAUUAAUCAUUCUUUUAUGAAUAACGGAAAAGGAGAAAUGGAAGAGCCUAUCUUCUCAUAUAAAUAGAGAGUUUUUAGGAUUUCUUAAAAUUAAUAUUUUCAUCUUUUAAGCAAUAAAGACAUAAACAUUGUCUUGUUAUUGCCUUUUUCAUGUUCUAAAGAUAUGUUUUAGACAUUUUUUUUAAUCUAUUUCUUUCUACCACAAAACAAAGUAAUGGGUAAUUAAUUUUUACAAAUUUUUUUCUUAUUUUUAAUAAUUUUGUUCCUUGAAAAAAAAAAAGUAUCAUUACUAUGGAUCGGCAUAUCAACUGGAUUUUAAAAUUGGAGGAGAAAGGGAUUAUAGCAGGAGAUAUUGUAAGUUUGAAUCAUAAGUUUUUUCUUUCUCUUUUUUUUAUUGUUUAUAAUUUAUUAUCAUGAUAUAUAUUAAAUUAUAUGGUAUUUUGUGGAGGUUAUAAAAUAUUUGAAAAUUUCUUUCUUAUGUCAAUAUGAUGGUUCGAUUGAUCUUUUUGCUUUCAAUUUUUAUUGGUGAAUUUAAUAAAUAAUUUUUAUUUUUAUAUUUUAUUUUUUUGCAUAUUUAUUUGACAUUUAUAUCUGAAUUCUCUUAUAAAAUAAUAAUAAUGUAUACUGGGUAUCUGUUUUUAAAAUCACAGUGCUGCUGUCUUUAUACCUUUGUGGGUUGUUUAGAGCGGUUGGUGCAUGGAAAGUAAAUUAAAAAUAUAUAUAUAAUAAUUUAAUUAUUGUGAAUAUUAUAACUAUUUAGAGAGAUGGUAUUUCAAUAUUUUAUGAUUGUGAAUGCAAUUCACUAUAUUAAAAACUAAAAAACUUACUGACUUAUAGUAUAUAUAUAUUAUUUUACUAGCUUUAUCGUGUUUAUAUUUUUUUAAUUGUUAUUAUUCUAAUUAAUUUAAAAAAUACAAAUCAUCUUUUUUUACAAUUUAUUUAAAAUAGAAAUAUAAAUAAAAUAUAUGAUUUGCAAAAAACUGCAAAUUAUCCUGUGCAUUGUUCUAUAAACGUUUCUUAUAGUUUUCUAAGUUAGGAUUAGAAUAUAUUAAAUCUAUUAGAAUUUAUAAUAUGAUAUUUUCUUUAUAUAUUAAUAGUUUAUAAAAUUCAACUGACUUCUUCUAGAUUUUUAAUUCUUCAAUUUUUAUUUUCUUUUAUUUUAUUUUAUUAAAAACAUAUUUGUAAUGUAUAUGUAACUUUAUAUUAGAUUAUCGAGCCAUAGAAUACAGCUUACUGCCUCCAACCUCUCCACAGAGGGGAGACUGAAGGAUAGUAUAUCACGCAACUGCAGGCAUAUUUUUUACCUUUAAAGUAAAAAUGAUAUAUAUACCCUUAACCUAAUAAGCAAUUUGAAAUAGCAUCCUCAACUUUUUAUUGUUGUUUUCUUUUUAGCAAAAAUGCAUGGGGAGAUCUUAUCCUACAGGCCUAUUUCUAAAUAGCCUCUCUAAGUUUUUAUUUUUUUUGUGAAUUCUCAACUUUUAUUAUUUUUAAAUUUAAAUUUUAUAUUUAUUAUACUAAAAAUUUCAAAUUUAAUAACUUUAUGUAAUUUAAUUUAAUUAGGUCAAGCUUCUACUAUAAAAACACUAUUUUAUUUAGUGGUUGAAGAAUAUAUUAUUUAUAAUUAAUUAUUAUUAUAAAUUAAUAUUAUUCCAAUGUGUAUACAUAAAUUUUAUUUAAGUGUAAAAUAAUUAUAAUAUUUUUAAUUUAACAUGCAAUUAAUAUGGUGAGCGACACAUGCAUUAAAUUAACUAGUCUAUAUAUAUAUAUAUACUAUAUUAUAUAUAUAUAUAUAGAUAUAUAUAUAUUAUAUAUAUAGAGCAGGUGCUUCGCUUCAGGAGCUAGAGCCUCCGUGCCUCCUGAGCCAUUUUUGAUGAUGAAUUUUUGAGAUCGCACGAUCGGCCUCCGGAGACUUAUUCUAUGCUUUGACUAGUUUCUAGAAAAUAAUUUUGCCGAUUUUUGAGUAUCAGUUUACCUAGUUGAUCGAAGGAUUCAAAUCCUAUUUUAUGGUGUGAUAUCUGCCAUUUGUUCCAGUUUAACGUUAGUGAAGUAUUCAAAUCAGAUGAGAAUGUUUUGAUACAAAUUUCUUUCAACUAUCUAUCAACAUGAUCAAUAUUUUUUUAUCGAGAAAUUUUAGGUACUUAUCACCAGUUUUUAUAGGAUUUUAUUUCAGCCUCUUAAAAUAUUGAUUUUGGAUCCUCUCGAUUGCAGGUAAAUAUAUCGAAAAUAUCGCAAAAAUUAUUUCCUAGAAACUUCAAAUGACGUAGAUCAAGUUUAAACGGAGCAGAUUCGAUCGCGAAACUCCAUCAUCGAAAACGGCUCAGGAGCAUAAAGGCUUCUGCUUCCCUUGAGAGCACAGCAGCCUUGCCUCUCUUCUCUCUCUCUCUCUCUCUCUGGUCCUCUCUCUCUCUCUCUCUCUUUAUAUAUAUAUAUAAUAUAUUAUAUAUAUAUAUAUAGAAUUGGCUGGAUAUACUAUUAAACUAAAACGUUUUUUGCUAUUCAAGUUUUUAACCUUGGAUGAAAAAUUGUCAGUGGCCAGAGAUGAUAAUUAGUCAGUUAGAGUAGCUGCUCCCCUAGAUGGGGUGUCCCUGGUAUAGUAUUUAAUCCAUAUUGUUGAUAAUAAUGAAAAGAGUUGAUCCAAAGGCUAAAAAACUGGGUUAGCAAUAAUAACAUUUUACUAUAAUAGUAGUCCAGUCAACCUCUCACUCUCUCUCUUCUCUCUCUCCAUCUCUCUUCUCUUCUCUCGUAUAUAAUAUAUUAUAUAUAUAUAUAUAUAUAUAUUAUAUAUAUAUAAUUAUCGCUCCUACUACUUUUAUAAAGUACUAAUCAUUCGUGGUUUGAUUUAUGUUUUCGCUCUUGGAUAAGGAUGUGCGUAGGAUGAUGUGGCUACCUUCUAUUUGAGUGGGGUGCGUUAGUUGGAAUAGUUAUAUAUCUAACGGGUAAAAAUGAUCAAACAAUAAAGAUCAACGCGUAAAAAAUUUACAAGCACUAAUGCUUGUGCUUUUACGAGCACCAUAGCCGGACUCUCUCUCUUUCUCUCUCUCUCUCUCUCUCUCUCUCUCUCUCUCUCUCUCUAUAUAUAUAUAUAUAUAUAUAUAUAGAAUUGAGCUCAUAUACUUUUAAAAGUACCAAGUUGUUGAUGCUUGUAGAUUUUUAGCCAUUGGAUUAAGAGAUAUACGGUUAGGAUGAUGUGGGCCUCCUAGGGUUGAGUGGGUGGUUGGUUAAAUAGUAUAAUCGAAUGGUUGAAAAUGAUCCGAGGAGUAAAUCUAACGGUAAAAAACUUACAAGCUCCAAGUGCUUGGUGCUUUUAUAAGCACCAUAGCUGGACUCUAAAUAUAUAUAUAUAUAUAUAUAAUUUUAUUUAUAAAUAUAUAUUUAUUUAUUAUAUAUAUAAUUUUAUGAACUAGGCUGGAAUACUAUCGAUAGCACCAAGCUAUUGGUGCUAUUGAUUUUUUAGCCAUUGGAUUGAGAAAUUGGUGGUUAGGAUGAUGUGGGCCCCCUAGGGUUGAAUGGGUGGUUGGUUGAAUAGUAUAAUCUAACGGGUAAAAAUAAUCAAAGGGUUAAAUCUAACGAUGGAAAACUCGAUAGCACCAACUCCUUGGUGCUAUCGAUAGUACCCCAGCCGGACUCUAAUUUUAUUUAUAAAUAUAUGUUUAUUUAUUAUAUACAUUUAUUUAUUAUAUAUAGUAUUUUAUGUUUAUAUAGAUAUAUAUUAUUAUAUAAUAAUUUAUUAUAUAAUUUACUAUUUAUUUUUAUAAAAUGUAAAAUAUAUAAAGAAAUGUUAAAUAAUUUAGACUACCGGUAUUAGAUAUAAAUAUGAAUUUUAUAAUAUUGAGCAUUCACAUAUAAAUUAUACAUUACAAAAUAAAAAAAAUUGAUGCAGCUUAAGUUAAUUUUAUAUUUGACGAAAAUUAAUUGCAAGAAUCACAAACAAUGAUUUCUCUUCUCAUUCACUAACUACUGGGGGACUACGAUAACUACUAAAAUUAUUUCACUAACGAAUAGAGGACUACUAUGCCUACUAAAAUUUUUUGAUAUACUUAUUGUACCAUUUAAAUUCUGAAAUUAAUUUUUAUAACUAAUUUUUAAAAUUAAAUUUUAAAAUAACUACCCGCAGCAUCGCGCGGGUCCCUUAACUAGUUUAUAUAUAAAGUUUCAACUAUUCGAUCAAAUUAAAUGGGUAAUAUCUCAUAAGUUUAUUCUCUAUGCAUAUCAUUUGUAAGUCUUUUAACUUAUUGUUCAUGAGCCAACUCAUAUUCGGAACGAGCUAAAUUUUUCGACUCGAUACUUACAUGAGCUAGCUCGUAUUCUGUUCGUUUACGAAAGGAGCCGAACACGAGCUGGCCUCAACUUGCUCGUGUUCGGCUCGUUGACACUCUUAUUUGUAACAGAGUUUCAAAUUAUAAUUGACUUUCGAUAGAGCUAAAAUUCAGAAUUUUUUUUUUUGUUUCCAAUUUUUUCUUUUGUUUUACUGGAAAUUUUAGUACUAGUACAUAAGAGGAUGAUUAAAGAGUUACAACAAUUAAAUUUAGUUAAAUUUUAAUUAAUAAAAAUUCAGUUCAAAUCUAUUUUCAAAUAAUUUAAAAUUUUUGUUUGCAAUAAAAUUGGAGUUCUAUUGAGUAUCAUUUCGUUUGUUGUUUGGUGAAAGAUGAGAUUUUAUUUCAAUAGUUUAAUUUUUUUAAAAAAAAUUCUGUCCUUAGUUGUGUAAAACUAUUUUUAGAAGGGAUAUUUUAAAAUUAAGUAAAAUAUAACUUAUAGCAAAUUAAUGUUUAGAUGAGAGUCAUUUGAAUAGCAAGAAAUUUCAUCAAAUCCUUGCAAAUGAACCAAAUCUCAUUAAUUAAUAAUUCCAAGUAAUAAAAUUAGAAAAAUUAAGAUUUUGGAGAGCCAAAUAGAGUGUAAGCACAACUAAAUGUGCUGUUUGUUUAUGUUUGUGUGCUUCAAAUUAAUUUGAUAAUUAAAACUAUUUAUGUUUGUGAGCUUCAAAUUUGGAACUUCUAAUAUUGAACCUCAAAAAGUAACUCAUGCUUUUGCACCAUAAAAAAAGUCUAAAAUCCUUAGUUGUCAUAUGCUCUAUUAAUGAUGACUGUGAUUGAAAAUGUAUAGCAACAGAUUGUAUACUAAUCGAGCACUAAAAAUAUUAACGGAGCUGAAUUGCUUCUGAAAGCACAGUUCUUAGAUCUACCUUUUUGGCCAUUGAAUCAGAAGUCAACAAUAAUAUAUAUAUAUAGUUAAGACAUGGUUUAAGGGCCGCUAGGGUUACUCUAAUAGUCUAAUGGUUAAAAAGACUAUAAUAUCAACACAAAUGCUUGCGCAUAAAAUUUCUCAGGAAAUUAAAACUAUAAUUUCUCUCAAGGAAAAAUUAUGGUUGGGAUUGGUGUUGAUGGUAUUUUUUUACAAAUAAUCUGCAAAUGUAAGGAUUCAAAAUGCAAAAAAAAAAGGGGUUAUUUGCAUACACGUCUUACAAACAUAGUAAAUUACAGAAAAAUCCCUGCAAAACAAAAACUCCAUAAGUUAUCCCUGCAAAAGUCUAAAGUUAUGCAGAUAUGUCCCUGCCGUUAAGGACUGUUAGAAAAUUUUCGUUAACCACGGUUAAAGUACUUAACCAUGGUUAAUUAUAACGUAAAUUUACGAUUCUACCCUUCUUCUUCUUCCUCCUCUUCUUCUUCCCUCUUCUUCGUCGCCGGCGAGGGCGACAGCGGCAGCGACGGCAGCGACGACGGCGGCGACGGCGAACCCUCUCUCUUUCUUUUCCUCCUUCUUCCUCUCCCUUUUCCCUUUUCUCCCUUCUUCUUCCUCUCCCUCUUCCUCUUCCCUCUUCUUCAUUGCCGGCGAGGGAGAAGAUGCGACGGCGACGGCGAACCCUCUCCCUCUCCCUCUUCUUCUUCCUCUCCCUUUUUCUUUUCCUCUUCCUCUUCCUCUUCCCUCUUCUUCGUCGCCGGCGAAGGAAGAGAUGCGGCGGCGGCGCGCGGCGACGAACCCUCUCCCUCUUCCUCUCCUUCUUCCUCUUCCCUUUUUUUCUUCCUCUCAUUCUUUCUCUUCCCUCUUCUUCGUCGCCGGCGAGCUCGACCCGUGCCGUCGCCGCCAUCCACUUCUGCGGCCCGAAGAGGAAGGGGAAGAGAAAGAGAAGGGGAAGAUGCUUUUGGAGGGAUAUAUUUGUGAGGGCAAAAUGGUCAUUUCACAUAAAAACUGUUAAAAAAUAAAUAGUUCUCUAACAGAUGUUAAUCAGAGGGACAUAUCCGCAUAAAUUCGGACUUUUGCAGGAACAACUUAUAGAGUUUCCGUUUUGCAGAGAUAUUUCCGCAAUUCACUAUGUUUGCAAGAACGUGUAUGCAAAUAACCCAAAAAAAAAAGUCCCUACUUUUUUAUUUUUAGGAAUAAAAUAAAGCAUUGGAGUUGAAAAAUAAGCUGAACCACUUUUCAAUUUAUUUUACUUUCCUUUUAGGUAUUAGAAUAGAAAAAGACAGAUUUUAAUAUACCAUGUAAAAUAUUUUUCGAAAAUAGGUGUUUAAUUAGUGACUUAUCUUGAGAGGUUGAGACAUUUGCUAAAAUUAGUACUUUUUUCUUAGAAAAGUAUGUCUCUAAUUAGUAACUUUUCUUAAUCCUGGCAAAUCAUCUGAAUUAAUCUUCAGCUUUUAUUAUUUUUCAAGCAUUAGAGUAGAAAGAUAAAUGUUAAUAUAUAUUUUCAAGCUUCACCAGAUCAUAUAUGAGACAACAUAUGUUGCGUAAUUUGUAAAUUUUCUUUAAAAGAAGGAUUAAUUUCAUACAGAUCCUGAAAAGAUAUCAAACAAUAAAUAAAUUUCUAUAACAUUUUAGUUAUCAUAUUUAUUCCUUCAAAAAUUCUCUAGUUUGCAAAUAUAUCCUUUCAAAAGUUCUAAUUUAUUUAUAUAUAUAUAUUCCUAUCGUUUGAUUCACUUUUAAUUUUUUUAGGUUAAAUACAUAUAGGUCCCUACAAACAUAAUAAAUUAUAAAUAUAUCUAUAUUAAGUUUAACUUUCAUAUAUUGUCUAUACAAAAGCUCUAAUAUUUUCAAAUAUGUCACUCUGAUUUGUUACUGUUAUAGAACUAUUUAUAUUUUAUAUGAAAUGUUAUUUUUGUCAUCAUAAAUAUUUCUUUCCAAGAGACACAACAGUAUAAUAUAAGAGGGACAAAAAUAUCAAGUUAUUUUAUAAAUUAAUCAGGAUUAAGCAUUUAACCUAUAGUUAACUAAAGUUUCCGAAUUAAUUCUAACGGCAAGGACAUAUUUGAAAAAUUAUGACUUUUACAGAGACAAUAUAUAAAAGUUGAACUUUGUAGAGGCAUAUUUAUAAUUCACUAUAUUUGUAUAGACUUGCAUGAAAUUAACCAUAAUUUUUUAAUGAUGGGUGUAAAAAUGCCUAUCUUGUUCUUAUAAAUUUGCCCAUAUAAAAAAGUAUUUUUAUUUCUCUCUCUCCUCGCCUUCGCCGCGGCACGUGCGGCGUACCUUAUUUUUACUGUGAUCGAAUAUCUCGCCUUCGACAUCACCGCCAUCAUAGGCCUCGCCGUGCCCAUAGUCCCAUGAAUAAAUAGAAAGGAUAAAAAAAAGUCAAACCCAACAUUAGAAUACAAAUUAUAUUUAUAUAAGGGGUAAAACACUUAUUUUACUUCUUAUUUAACUAUGGUUAACUUUUUUAACUCACGAAUAUCCAAAUUUUGAUAACAAAAAAAUAUAUUUUCUGACGGAAGGACUUUUAGAGGAAUAAAUUUGACAAUUUAAAUUUUAUAGGGAUAUAUUUAUAAUUUAAAAUUUGUACAAAGAGUCAUAUACAAUUAUCCUCUAAAAAGAAUAACCAAUUGAACUAUUUGACAAAGUUUAGAAAGGGGUGGAAAUUUGAAGGGGAAAACUUUAAAAACCCCCCGUGGUUUCGCAGUUUUUUAUUUUAGUACCUUAUGGUUUAAAGUGUAUCAAGUUAGUACCCGGUGGUUUCGCACAUUUUCACUUUAGUACCCUAUAGUUUAAAGUGUAUCAAGCUAGUACUCUGUGGUUUUAUUUUUGUAUCAGGUUAGUAGUCAGUGGUUUUAUUUUGUAUCAAAUUAGUAUCAUGUGGUUUUAUUUUUCUCUUAAUGAAAUAUUAAACUACAAAAUACUAAAGUUAGAAAGUGUGAAACCACAGGUUGCUAACUUGAUACACUUUAAACCACAUGGUAUUAAAGUGAGAAAGUGCGAAAUCACAGGGUACUAACUUGAUACACUUUAAACCACAUGGUACUAAAGGGUACUAAAGUGAGAAAGUGCGAAAUCACAUGGUACUAACUUGAUACACUUUAAACCACAUGGUACUAAAGUAAGAAAUAGUGAAAUCACAAGGGGGGUAUUAGAAGUUUUCCCAUUUUGAAGUUCAGCGGAGUGGGUACUAAAAAAUAAACUAUUAGGGGUGUUUGUACAUAUUUCCCGUAUUAAUUUUCCAUUCUCCUCUCCGCCAUCGCUUUCUUUCUCCAACCCGCGAUUCCGACCCCUUUCUUUUUAUUUUUUUAUUUUUUUAUUUUUUUAUACUCUUUCACACCACCGCUUUCACUCUCCACUCCCCAUCGCACCAAAACCCUAGAUCUCCUCCUCCUCCUCCUCCACCUCCUCCUCGGAUUCCUUCUCCAAGGUUCGUCCCGACACCUCUAGGGCUUUUCUCAGCAUCAAAUGGCUCUUCUCCCGAUCCAAUUUGCGCUCCGUCUCGCUCUCUCUUGAGCUACUUGUUGACGGAUCUCCUUUUUGCGUCGUCUAGGGUUUCUGGGAGGAGCAAUCGGAAUGGCUUCGUCGUCUUCGAGCCAACCGGAGUUCGACUACCUGUUCAAGCUGCUGCUGAUCGGGGAUUCCGGGGUGGGGAAGAGUAGUCUCCUUCUCCGCUUCACUUCCGAUUCCUUCGACGAUCUCUCCCCUACGAUUGGUGGGUUAUCUCUUGAUCCAUGGACGUGCUCUUUGUUCUGGGUGUUUGGGUAAUUGUGAUGCGUUUAAUUGAAUUGGUAUAUCAAAGGAUCUUGCUUUGUAGGUAUAUUUAACGUUUCUCAUUAUAUGUAGGAAAAUUGAGAUCUUUGGGCUGUUUGUAUAUGAUUUGGUCAAAUUGCACCCCUAUAAUUUGAACUAUAAAGCGUUUUACACAAACUUUAAUUUCACUUUCUAAAUUGUCACAAUUAACCGCCGCCGUCAAAAUUCAGUAUUGCAAUGGUAGUUGAUAGCCUGGAAUGGUGGAAAUAACUAGGAUGUCGCGUCAGCACCAAAUAACCUGAUUGCAACAAUUUGAAGGUUUGAACCAAGAAUUUUGUAAAUUAAUGUUUGAGCAUCAAAGUACCACCUUCUUCAUAGUUUGAGAUCUAUGGUUGUAAUUUUGCUCAUAUAAGAUUUGUUGUAAAUUAUAGUUGUCAAAGGCAAAUAAGUUGGCUAUCUUUGUUAGUUUGGCUCGUGAUCUAGUGUUUUUGGAGAUUUAGGGCGUAUAAAAUGGAUACAAAACCAUAUGAUAAACAUUUCCAUCUUGGCUCAUGGUUCAAUGAGUUCUAUACUAUCUUCCUGCACAGUUUAUAUUUUCAUUUCGACUAUGUUGCCACGAAAGUGCAGAAUUUCCUAAUUGUGUUAUUUAGUCAAGCUUUUAUUUUGUAUAUUAGGUUUGAGCAGCAAUUUCAUGUUUUGAUAGAAGUGUUAUGUUGCUAUAAUUUGUCUCUUUUUUUUCCCUCCUAAUCGUAGAUGAUUUUCAUGGUUCAGGUGUGGACUUCAAGGUAAAGAUGGUUAAUAUUGGUGGAAAAAAAUUGAAGCUUGCGAUAUGGGAUACAGGUGAAGCAUUUUUCCUUUUUUGUUGUUUCGAACGUAGUAUGAAUCUUCUUCCUUCUAAUUUCUAACGAGAAAUGUUUAUCACUUACUAAUUGGCGUUUCUCAUUGGUAAAGCUAAAUUGAGGACUUAAUGAAGAAAAUGAUUCAAAAAUGAUUCACCCGUUUUUUGGGUUUCCGUAGUUCACUACUGAAGAAUUAAUAUAAACUGUUAAACUGUCAGGAGAACUGUACAUAGGUCCCUCAAAUGUUGAACAUUGCUCCAUGAGUACAUUAGAUAAAAAACUUGGUUGUUUUUGUGUUGCUUGGGUCUUCACCAUUGAUGUGCUUAACAAGUGGUAUGGGACUAAAAUAGUAUCCUAUGACGUGAAAAUACUAUCUAUUUUAUUAAUAUUGUUCAAGCAUAUUGGUUAUAUAACAAGAUGUGUCGUCAUGCAGCUGGACAGGAGCGAUUUAGAACUUUAACCAGUUCAUAUUACAGAGGAGCACAAGGGAUUAUCAUGGGUAUGAAGUUCUUUUUAAUCCCAUCCUAUUCGCUGGAAUCACAUUAAUUCUAUACUAGAAAUCUUGGUAUAUGCUCUACACCUGUAAUAUUGCAUUGGAUGGAACUGCAGCUUGCUCAAACUGUCGAGAAAUUUUUCAAAAAAUUUUGUAUGUUUUUCUUCCUGGCUUCUUGUUUUCUCCUUCUUGAGUUUGUCUUGUUAAAAGGAGACUAAUUUGCUUAAUUGGUGUUAUGAUUUCUCUCUCCCUUAUUCCUGCAACUCUGCAACUUCAUUGUAGGCUUAUUUCUGAGUCUUAUGUGAACUGCAGAUUUAUCUUUUUUUUGUUAAUCUGUUUCAGUUUAUGAUGUGACACGAAGGGACACAUUCACCAAUCUUUCUGAUGUCUGGGCCAAGGAAAUUGACCUUUAUUCAACAAAUCAAGACUGCAUAAAGAUGCUGGUUGGUAACAAAGUAGACAAGGUGAUUCCAAAUUUCUAUUUGAAACAAUUACAUAUAUGCCCUGCAAGAUUAUCUUUUUGCUUAUAUAAACAUACAAAAUCUGAGCCUGCAUAUAUUUCCUUUAAGAACUAAAGUUCUUAACUCAUAUAUCCAUGUGCUUGCAAGAACGCCUCUCUUUAAAAGUUUUUCUUGAUGCAAACCGAUUUUCCACAUGUAUUAAAUGAAUCCCCAACUUUAGGGUAUUUCUGUAAGAAAUUGCACUUUGGAGGUGUAUACGAAAAUCAAAUUUUACAUGGAAGUAUAUGUAAAUAAAUGAUUUUGCAAGGACGGGUAUAUGUGAAGAGUGAAGGCCUACCUGUUUUUAUCUGUACUACUUUUCAUUUCUGGUUUCCAUGAUGUUACAUGUAUGUUUUUUUCAUUUAUAAAUGGUGUGGCUUUCUAUUUUCGAUUCCCUGUUAGUAAGGGAUCAUAUUGACUGAAGACAUUGCAUUUCUGCAGGAAAGUGAGAGAGUUGUCACAAAGAAGGAAGGCAUGGACUUUGCCAGGGAAUACGGAUGUUUGUUUCUAGAAUGUAGUGCUAAGACGAAAGUCAACGUAGAGCAAUGCUUUGAGGAACUCGUCUUGAAGGUAUGCUAAUUUAAAUACUUAAUACCUGCAACAUAUAUAUUAUGUAAUCUGAAUUAAUCUAAUACAACUAUCUAUAGAUGGAUUAAAAUUAUAUAAUCUUAACUAGCAUGUCAGUUUGAGCACAUAGCAUCCACAAUUAGAAGAGUUGCAGUUGAGAUGAGAGAGCCCCAAAACUUACUCCAGGAAGUCGUUUUGCUACGUCUUGUUUUCUUUAAAUGUUUGAUACAGAACUUGUGCCCUUCCUGCUUGAAAAUCUCUGCUAACCAACUUUUAAAAUCCUUUAUCUCUAAACUAAUACUGUUGUUUUUAAUUUAGAUCAAAUGUAAAUGCUGGAACUUUAUCUCGUCUCAUUGCGAACCCCGCCAUUUUCUGUGAUCGACUUCUCAGCAGUUGCUAUGAACUAUGCUAAUAAUAAUGAUCUUUUAACCGACAUGAUGCAGAUUUUGGACACACCGAGUCUCGUAGCCGAGGGUUCAGCUGGGCCGAAGAAGAACAUAUUUAAGCAGAAGCCGCCAGAAGCUGAUGCUUCGACAAGCAGCUGCUGCUGACCUGUUUCUAUCCUUUCACAAUCUGAUUCUCCUGUGUUUUCGGUGAUAGCAUCUUUUCUGAUGGUGUGAUAUAGAUGAUGGUUGGAGUUGGUAGUGAUUUAUUUUGUAUCCCUCUGAUGUUCAUUACGAAAAUAACAAAGCUCUUUGAUCCAAUUAUAGAUUUCUAUCUUCUUAAACCUAGUUUGGUAGAGAGAGUCUGCAGAUCUGACCAACUUUUGUUGUCUCGGAACGCCGAUCUGAAGCAGCUCAAAUCCGAAGCUAUCCACAACUUGUGGGACUUGAAUCCUACACAAUUCGGAGACGCGACAGUCUGAAACCUGGCAGAAGUUUGGAUGACAGGAAACUGACGACUGCUUGAACAUGAGAUCGGAAACUCGGAAUUAAGUGAUCAGAAUCGAGCCUGACCAAAUCCGCCCACUUUGCCACCUCUAACCCUACCGAGUUAGACUGUUCCAGGAGGAAAAUCACUCAUAGCUGUCUUCUUUUUUCUGCACCUUUUGCCUUCUAUUUUGAUGGUCAAUGUAGCUCAGCUUUUGCAGAUAUUACAUUUGCAGCAGAGGCACUAAUACAAAGCUUAAAACAGGGUUUGGCUUCGUAGAAAUUUUGACCAAACUCAAUAAACCUGAUACGUAGUAAGGACAAAAUCUGAAAUAUAAUUAAUACCCUUUUAAACACCCCCUUUAAAUUCUUAAAUCUUUUAAUAUUUAGGGAAAAUUUUAAAUACCCUUAUGUGGUUUCGUAUUUUCUCACUUUAGUAUCUUAUGAUUUAAAGUGUUUCAAGUUAAUAUCAUGUGGUUUCGCACUUUUUUACUUUAGUAUCCUGUAGUUUCAAGUGUAUCAAGUUAGUAUCAUGUGGUUUCAUUUUUCUAUUAAGUUAGUACCCUGUGAUUUCAAUUUUUUUUUUAUUAUUCAUUUUCAAGGUAUAUAAUUUAACAAAAUAUUAAAUCACAGGGUACUAAAGUGAGAAAGUGCGAAAUCACAUGGUGCUAACUUGAUACGCUUGAAACCACAGGGUAUUAAAGUGGAAAAAUGUGAAAUCACAGGAUGCUAACUUAAUAAACUUUAAACCAUAUAAUAUUAAAGUAAAAAAAAUACGAAACCACACGGGUUAUUUAAAGUUUCCCCUAAUAUUUAUAAAGCACCGACGACAUUUUACAAUUUAAAAAGGUAUUUAUGAAAUUACAACAUUUGGAGGGUGUUGAAGAAAAUUAACUAGUAAUAAUUAGCUCUCAUAUUAGUUAGUGCAGUAUAUAUACCACCUCUCUCUCUCUCUCUAUAUAUAUAUUUCCCCCUCUCUCUCUCUCUCUCUCUCUCUCUCUCUCUCACUCUCUCUCUACAAAUGGGGGGAAAAGUAAACAAAGUAGAAAAAGAAGAGAAACACAAUCUCAAAGCACGCACAACAAAAACCACUCAUGGGAGGGUUUCACCCUCUCCCUCUCCGCCGGUACCACCACCACCACUCACCACUCCUUAACCCCAAAUGCUCUCCUCCCCUCCUCACACCAAAAGACUCCGCCUUUCCACUCUCUCCUCCCUCGCCCACCUCCCCUCCGCCGCCGCCGCCGCCGCCGGAGAAUUUUCCGGCGAGCCCACCACCACGAAGAGCGCCUUCAGUUACAACGCCCUCCUCUCCGUGCUUGCGAAAUCCGGCCGCGUCGCCGAUGCCCGCCGCGUGUUCGACGAAAUGCCGCAGCGAGAUGUCGUCUCCUGGAACGCUAUGAUCUCCGGGUAUCUCUCGCAUGGUCACAAAAAUGAGGCUUUUUGUGUUCUUUACCGAAUGCAAGAGGCCAGAAUUCGAGUUAGUGGGUUCACUCUCUCGAUCACCGCCUCUUCCAUAUGUUCUCUGCAACAUGCUAAGCAGCUUCACGGGAUCGUUCUCCGCAAUGGUUUGAUCCCCACAAACACCGUGGUCGCCAAUACGGUUAUCGGUAUGUAUGGGCGGGUCGGCCUCUCCGACUAUGCUCGUGCUGUUUUUAAUUCUAUGGAGGAGCCAGAUGUAGUCUCUUGGAAUUCCAUGCUUUCGGUGUUCAAAGAUUCGCGUCGAUACAAUCAAGCGUUAGAGUGUUUCUAUUCGAUGAGGGGUUACGGUUUUCCGGUCGACGAAUUCACCAUAUCGACCGUGAUCAAUGUUUGUGCCGACAUUAGAGAUUUGGCCGAGGGUGAGAAGCUCUUGGCUCUUUGCUUCAAGAUGGGAUUUUUACGGAAUUCUAUAGUUUCUAGUGCUGUUAUUGACUUGUAUUGUGCAUGUAACAGAAUGCUUGGCGCGGUUCGGGUGUUCGGAGAAAUCCAAACGUGGGAUUCGGCCCUCUGCAAUUCCAUGAUAUCGUGCUAUGCUCGAAAAGGGCUUACGGAUGAAGCCAUGGGCCUUUUUGCGGAGGCGACAAGGAAGGGUGUUCUUCCAAAUGAAAUCACUUUUACAAGCAUAUUGAGAUCGCAUUCCUCUUUUGGGUUCGCCAUGGAGAAAACACAAAUUCAUUGUUGGAUUUGUAAAUUGGGUCUCGAGGCCGAUUUAAUCAUUUCCAGUGCUCUUGUCGACAUGUAUUCUAAGUUGGGUUCUAUAGAAAGUGCAUUGAAAAUUUUCUAUGAGAUUGAUUCCAAGGAUUUAGUUUCAUGGAAUACCAUGAUCCUGGGUUUGGCUCAAAAUGGAAGAGGGAAAGAAGCUCUUAGCUUAUUCGGAAAAUUGCUCGAUAGUCGUAUUCAGCCAGACAGAAUUACUUUGCAUGGUGUUCUACUCGCUUGCUCCAGCGAAGGAAUGGUUAAUGAAGGAAAGAGACUAUUUUCAUUAAUGGAUACAAAAUAUCGAGUUACGUAUAACUGGGAACACUGUAUUUGUGUAGUGGACAUGAUGGGUCGAGCGGGGAGGUGUAAAGAGGCACUUGGUUUUAUCGAUAAAAUGCCUUACAAUCGUAAUAUCGCACUUUUAGAGACACUUCUAGAAGCUUCUAGAAUUCAUGGAAAUUUGGAGAUUGCGGAAUUAGUAGCAGAGAGGAUGGUGAAGUUGGGGCUUCGCUCCUCUCUCCCUUACACUGUGCUGGCUGAGCUGUAUGGUAGUAGAGGAAGAUGGGAAAGUGUGGCGAGGGUUUGGAAACACAUGAAGGAGAGAGGUGUUAAGAAGGUUCAAGGAUGCAGUUGGAUUUGCAUUAGGAAUUGUGUUUACGAAUUUAAGGGUGAUGAGUUAUUGCAUUAUGGAGGAGAAGCUACUUACAGGAUAUUGGCAUUGUUAGAUUGGGAGAUUGAGGAUGAGGGAGACGAAACAAAACACUUUGAUAAUCAAUUUUGGACUUGAGCAGAAGUGCGGUUUGAGUAGAGCUGUUUUAAGAAGCUCUAGUGCCUUUUUCACUGAUAUGCACCCAACAACUUUUCCACAAAGCUGCAAAUCGAAACUUCAAAUCGAGUCUUGUGCUUUUGCAGCCCGGAAGCUCAUUUUUGGACUCUGUUUUUUAAGAAGCAAAUCUCAUGCUUACUGACAAAAUUCAGAUCUACUUAUAUAGAGGAUCAUAAUAACACUCUCUGGACCAAGCAAUCAAAGGUAAAAUAAUUAGUUAAUGGUAUCUCUUACCACACCAAUUUUUAUUUACAUGCUAUUCUCUCGCAACCUUUAAUUUUUGGUUUUUUUUUUGUAUUUAACACCCUCAAAACUUGGCACUCGCGUGGUAAGGAGAAGACCAUAUAUGCAAAUAUAAAUUUGCUAGGACCAUUUGUAAAAAAAGAAAUUUUGAAGGGGCUAAAUGUAAAAACAAGCCCUAUUUUUUGAGAGAAUGCUAAUAUGCUACUACUUUGUUCAUUUUUGUUACAAAUAAACUUAGCUGGUAUUCUUUCGCAACCUUUGAAGUAACUACUAGUUGUUUUCAGCAACAAAAUGAAGCUUGAUAAUUUUCUGGUCUUUCCUACCCAGAAAAGGUGUCUGAGUUUCGUACUUUACUGUUUUUUGAGGUACAUGUCUUUUUCUGCUAUGAUAUUAGAAGAUUAUUUCCAGUAAAGAUAACUUCUAUUCCAGUUGAACUUUAUUGAUCUAGUGAAGAUAACUUCUAUUCCAGUUGAACUCACCGGUGUCACUAUUAUCACUUGCUAUAUUUAUAUUUUCUAGUACUUUAUUGUUUUAGUGAAGGAGAAGCUAUUAAUGUGGCAUCACAACUUUUGGUUUGGAAGAUGCAGAGUGAUUAGUGCAUAGUAUUCCAUGAUAAGAUAGAAAGAUAACGCAAAAACCUAAUACGUUUGUUUCUGUUUAAUUUUUUUUUUCACUUUUGGGCUACUUGGUCAAUUGGAUGAUAAGAUAGGAUAAUAAGCGGAAUUUUUUCCAUUGUUAUCAACAGAUGAAGUUACCGCAACUUUGCAACACCUCGACUGCAGUUCAAUUGGUUUUCGAGAACUCUAUUGAUCUUCCAGUAUCGAUCCAAUCGUUUUUGUCGAAAGUGAGGCAACAAAAUUUCGACCCAGAAUAACCAACGAACUGCAAGUGCUUUAUGCUGGUGUAGAUGCAAUUGCAAUAGGAACUUGACGAGUUGAUCCUUACACAUAGAACUGGAGUAGUCGCAAGUGUGCAACACCUCGACUGCAGUUCAAUUGGUCUUCGAGAACUCUAUUGAUCUUCCGGCAUCAAUCCAAUCGUUUUUGUCGAAAGAGAGGCCAAACUGUAUUUCGACCCAGACGCUUUCGGGAUGCUCCUAAUAACCAACGAACGGCAAGUGCAUUUUGCUUGUGUAGAUCCAAUUUCAAUGGGAACAUGCGAGUUGAUCCUUACACAUAAAACUGGACAAGUAGUCGCAGGUGUGCAACACCUCGACUGCAGUUCAAUUGGUUUUCAAGAACUCUAUUGAUCUUCUGGCAUCGAUCCAAUCGUUUUUGUCGAAAGAGAGGCCAAGCCAUAUUUCGACCCAGAUUCUUUCGGGAUGCUCCUAAUAACCAACGAAUGGCAAGUGCUUUUCCUUGUGUAGAUCCUAUUUCAAUAGGAACUUGAUGAGUCAGAUCCCUACACAUAACCUGGUCUUCGGAAAAGGAAGAUAAAUCAAAGCUUCUAAUACCAUGUGUAUUUGUUCAAAAAUAUAGCAAAGGCAACAAUUUCUUUUUUGUUGAUGUAUUUGUAUGGAAUAUUGCUUGAUCAGCAAUAUUCAGAACAUUUUGCAGGUGAGCCUGUAAGUUGUAAUUGAGCUAUAAACUUUAAUUUAGCUGAUUUCUGUAUGUCCCUUAGUUGUUGUUGCGCAAAAUUAAUGGACUACGUACAAUGUAGAUGUAAGAUUUACACCUGAGACUUUUCAUAAUCAGAAUUUAUCCAGUAGCCUUAUCAUUUUUUUUUUAACUAGAAAUUCUAAAUGAAUUUUUAAAGUUCUUGAAUGUAUGGGUGUAAGAUAUACACUCCCUGUAUGGCGCCAACAAGUACUAUUUUUUCAAAAUCAAAACUUCUGCUGUAGUCAAAAGCACUUGGAGGGGAUUUAGAUGAAUAUAAUUGUUAGACUACUGCAGAAGCUCCAACUGGACCAAACGGCUCCAAAUCAUUCUUAGCUUUUUCAUGUACCCAAUGUGACACCUUGAGCAGAGAAAUAGCAUUUGUUGAUAACAACCACAACCAUUUUCCGGAUAAAAGGAAAUUUGAUAAUGUAAGGUUCAAGCACUACACAGCCAUGUUUAAAGCAAUACUAUCACAUUUUGGAUCAGAAACAUACACUUAUGAUGAUUCAUGUACAGGGCGCGCCAAAUGAGGGCUGAUCAAUUUGUAAUGAGAGUAAUGGCGAAAUGUUUGUGAAAAUAAGUACCUUGAUGACGGUAACAGUAAACUUAAUACGCCGAAAACACGGUUUUAGUUGAUAUUUCUCGAUAUUUUAUCAACUUGUGUGCCUGUAUAUUAGGAGGAAAACUUAUGGCAUGAAGCUGUGAUUCCUCAUUAUUUGUCGUCGUCGUCCGCUGUAUCUUGUAAGGAAACACCUCUUACUCUUGCUCUGUACCAAAACAAACAAGAGAAUAGUUAUAACAACUUUCGAAUUAGGUAAAAAUGUAUGAGACCUCCUCCACUUAGAACAUAAUGAAAUGCACCCUCGAAAUUUGCUCUUUUUAUUGAAACCCUUGCUCAACUUUUACUUGUUUUCAUUUGAGUUAUUUUCCAUUAAUUUUAUGGAAACAACUCAAAUGAAUAUAGACGCGUUACUACAUAUUUACCCUUUGUGAAUAAUAGUAAAAAAGGAAUUUUUCAUGAACCUCCGAGAGACGGGGGCCACCCGACGACCAGCUUUAGUAGGAUUAGAAGCCUUGCUAGCUGGAACUUCUGCACUUGCAGUAGCCAGAACUUCUGCAGCAGCUAAAAUAAUCGGUAAAUUGAAUAAGACUCUUGAGUUUUAAAUAUCAGUUUUCAAAGAAAGAUGUGUUUAAUUAUGGCAUACUGUUAAAGAAAGUAAAGAUCAGUAAAUAAAGCAUCUACUGGUUACAAAGAGUGAGAAUUUUGAAACAAGUCUCCAAUGAAAGAUGUGUUCUAUUACACCACUAAACUUAGACACAAUUGGUAACCAAACUAAGAUGUGGUUACUCAUGGAUCGGCAUUCCUUGCUUACUAAACUAAGACACAACUGCUGAUCAAUAAAUUAUACGAGAAUAAGAUAUAUCAACUAUUCAGAUUACUUACAUCAAACUUUGCAUGAGAUAAUAACUCUUUUUUUCUUUUGAAAUAUUUAAUGUCACAAUAAUGUAACUACUCAAUGCCUUGAUUCAUCGUUACAUAAAGUUAAUUAGACAAGUGAUUUUGUUCAUUUGUUCAUAUCCAUUUCUAGUUCUGUGCAUUCUGGGAAAGCCGAAGGCGUAGGUUCACAGGGUGUGAUGUUAUUACUCAAAAUAAAGUAUUAAGCAUGUUUCUGUGCUAAAUGCUAAAUCAGAUGAAUAACGGACCAAAUUUAAGUUGCAUCACUAUAACCAAGCACUGAAAUUCAGAUAAAAACACAUUAAGUAAACUACACAAUAUUUUGAUGGUACUAGAGGUUGCACAUAAUUAAAGCAAUGAAAAUAGAGCAAUUUGUAUUCUCUUCACGGAACAGUGUUCAAAAUAGAAAAAAAAAAAGGAUAAAUGUUUCACCUGAAGGUUGUUGCGCCUCAGAAACUAAUACUUGAUCAGGGUUUGUAAUGGUAUCAGAUGGACUUGGAGCUUUUUCUGGUAUCUUUGACUUAGGCACCUUCCUUUUGCUCAGAAAGGAAAGAGAAUCGAGCUGCUUCUGAAGAAUAUCAUUCUUUUCCUGUAGAACGAAAACAAGUUGGAUAAUCUACUAAUAUGAACUCGAUUACGAGGAAAAUUGUGAAUCAGCCCACUCCAAUUAUGUUAAAUAACUGUACAGAUCACCAUACAUAAAAAAAAAAAUGGCCGACAAUAUAACCAAAAGGCACACUUGUCAGCUAUGGAUGCGACUAAUAUGUUUUCAGUGUCCAUAUUUGACUCAUACACAGAAUUUUGCUUGAUGAUAAAAUCUAAACAGAAAUAAGAACAACAAGAAAAAGAAAGAGAAUUAAGCAAUUCGCUUUCAAGAAAUAAAAUAUGAGGUAAAAAUAUUUAUACAUUACCUGAAGUACCGCGCCUUUUGAAAUGAGUACUUGAACUUUAAAUUUUUUAUUCUGUUACCUAUCCUAAAAAUUUGUUUGAUUUAAGUAUGUGCCUAUCAUAAGUCAGAACUUAUUAGUAUUUUCAACUUUUUCGACAGGAUAUUUUGUAACCUAACAUAUUAUAUUGAGGACCAUCCAAUUGAUGGAAUAUGUUAUUCGAUGGAAUAUUUAUAUUUAUAAUAUUUUGAUGGGGAUCACUAAUUUUAAUAAAAUUCAUAAAAAAAGUCUAAGAGACUUUCCGAAAUUGAAAGAAAUGUAAGAUUAUCUAUGGAGAAAAAAAUAAAAAAUCAAUUCUAGGUACUCAUUUCAAAUUGCGGCAUAAUUUCUGCAAGGUCCAUUUAUUCUCACCAAAAUAGAGUAUCUUCGUAAGAAACAUACGCAAGCUAAUUGCUAAAGACAGUAACGAUGUUUCCCAUAACAAUAAAGAAGAAAUACCCUUUCAGAUGAUAGCAAUCCAGUCAACCUUGAUGAGCGCUCUUGUUCUAGAACAGAAGAAGCAAUACACCCGUCAGAACAAUAUCAAAGCAAAAGCAAGAAUGAUAGAAAAGCAUUUUUCAUACAACAUUUUAAAAAUAUAUAUAAUGGUGUGAAAGAACUGCACGAAAAAUUAUUCCAUAUUAAACAAUGAAAAUAAAGAAAGAUAUAUAUUAAGAAUCAAAAGUAUUGGAACGUCAAAAGCAUCAUUGAACUCAUACAAACUUUUCUCCAACACCACGAGAUAUGAAGGAAAUGCAUAGAUUUGAAAUCCCCUAAUCUCAACUAACACGAGAGAUUAGAAGACUAAGAAAACACUAUCCAGAAAUCUAUAUUUCCAUAUGUAGUUACUUAAGGAAUUGUAAAGAGAAAAAGAAAUUUGGGAACAAAAAAGAAAAAUGACAUUAUAAGCACUGGAAAAGCACAAACUGCAUCACUCUAUGCAGAUUCCAAAUGUAACAGCAAAAAAACAUCACUAAACAAUAAACCAAAAAGGCGAAAGCUUCUACCCAAUUUAAGGCAUGAAGAUUUGCGCUACCCUCAACAAAAGGAAAAGCUUAAGUACUCCAACGUGGGGAAAGAAGGAAUUGAAAGAAAUUACAACCUUUUAAAGAGUCUUUAUCCUUUUUCUUGAAUGCUUUAUAUAGCGCUAAUGAGAAGUCGGCUAUUGCAUCAUGAGCUGAGGAGCUCGCGAGUCUGUUGAGAGAAAUGGAAAUUCGAGGUAGCCCCUUUGACUUGACUGCUAUCAACUUAGCAUUAGUAAUACCUGAAUAUCAAGUAUAUCACAUAAGGCACUCAUAAGUAAUAUCCUGUCAUAGAGAGCUUCCAAUUCAUAUAAUAGGUAUUACGUAUACGUCUUUGGUGAAUUAUUUAACUACAUGUCUACAUUUAUCCUAACAAAAUCUAAACUUUCGAAAUCGUAGAUUCGUACACAUUGUACAUACAAAGAAUUCCACUGGUUGAAAAACUUAUUCUAAUAAAGAACCAACUUCCCCCAUGAAUUAGCUCACUCUCCAACUAAUAAUAAGAAUGUUGUUGUAAGAAACUUCACGAUGUAGCGGUAUAUAUGAAAAUUCAGAUGCUGUAUACCAUAAGCAUACAUACACAAAUUUGACAAUUAAUUAGGAUUGUUAGACUCACUCGAAUCUACAUUUGGGUGACCACUCAAAAUAAGCUUUACAUCCCCAGAAGAAAGAGAUGAUUUGAGAUAAUCAACAAACUCGGCCCAUGCACCACCAAUUCCAAUGUCAUCUCUCUGUGGGAUAACACAAACAUAAGUGCUCGAAAAUAUUAAAAACCCUCAAAAGAACCUCACAUAUAUAGCAUAUAAGAAGCUCAAAAUGAGAAGAAUAACCAACAUCAAUUUAAUGGGCAAAAAGCUAAAUAGUUGUAGUAGUUGAGAGGGGUCUCCAUACAUUUUUACCUUCAAUUUUCAACAACCAUAUCCUUUUCUCGAACAAUAUUGAACCUCUAAUGGUGAAGAAUCAAAACAAACAAAAAACCCGACAAAAUUUUUGACCCUAAAUCUGAUUUUUUUUCUCCCUUUUCUACUUCUAAUUCAUGGGAAAAAUAAAAUUUACCUUUGCUUUUUCAACAACAAUCUCCUUUUCUCGACCAAUAUUGAAUCUUUAGUGGCAAAGAAUCAAAAUCAAAACAAACAAAAUUGUCGACCGGGAAUCAAAUUUUUUCCCCUCUUUCCGCUCUUAAAUCGUAGGAAAACAAAAUUUACCUUAUUUUCCAAACAAGUAUCUCCUUUAUCGCGGCUAAUAUUGAAUUUUUUAAUGUCUAAACUUUGAAGCAAACAAAGACCCAACAAAAUUCUCGACCAAAAAUCCGAUCUUUCUUUUUUCCCCCUUUCUACUCAAAUCGUAGGAAAACAAAAAUUACCUUUACUUUUCAACAACAUCUCCUUUUCUCGAUCAAAAUGAACCUCUAAUCGCUGAGAAUCAAAGAUCUAACAAAAGUCUCGGCCCAAAAUCACUCGUACAUUCGUAGGAAAAAACACAAUUGAAUCAGUAAAAAUGAUGAGCAUUACGAGGUCUUCAAGCUCGGCGACGGUGAGGACGCGGUCCCAGGCGAGGGAGUGGAAAUCGGAGGCGACGACGCGGAAUCGGGAGGAGUCGAGGGCGCGGGCGCAGAAGAGGAGGGGGCGGAGGGAGGUGGAGGCGGCGCCGGGCUCUUCGUCCCCUCCUCCCUCCCACUCCGCCCUCGCCUCGCCGAAUAUGGGCUCGGAGUCGGCGUCGUCGAAACCCUUCUUCGUCGCCAUGGGCGAGGGGGCCGAAAAGCUCGAGGGGUUUGAGGGGAGGAGGAGAACGAAGGCGACGCCGUGGAGAUCGAAAUGGGAUUCGAGGGGAGGGAGUAGUAGUAAUAGAGCAUAGUCGGCGCCGAGUUCUAAUGUUCUUGACUUUAGUAAGGAGGAAGUCGGCGCCGAUAUUGAUAUCGGCCAAUGGAGUCGUCGAUGCUGAACAUUUUUUUGCCGGCUUUUUCAUCAGGAGUAAUCACGGCGUGACAUGUCGGCUGUUUAGGUUUUAACUAAGGGGUGUUUGGUUAUACGAAAAAUCAUAAAAAUAAUUUUUGUAGAAAAAAAAUUUUCAGUAGAAAAAAAUAUAUAUAUUUUAUAGUGUUUGAUUUGUUAAAAAAAAAAAAAAAGUAACUUUUUAUCAAUAUUUAUUUGGUUGAAAGGAAAAAAAUGUAUAUAUAUUUCUUUGGUUAGGUGCAAAAAAAAAUGAAUUAAAAAAAUUUUACGUAACUUGAGUUUUUGUUUUUCGUUAAAAAACAAUCAAAAACAAAAAAAAAUUAUUUUUUCUUAAAUCUGUAAAAAUACUUUUACGACAAAAUAUUUUUACGUCGAACCAAACAAGCAGAAAAAAAUAUUUUUAUACCAAAAAUAAUUUUUUGAUUCGUUUUAUGUUGAACCCAACACCACUAAGGCUAGAAUGUAAGUGGCAAUCACUUUUUUUUUCAUAACAUAUAUUAAUCAUCUCUCCAUACCUUAAUUGGUAAUAAAUUAGAUGAGUAGACAAGAAAGAUCGACUCUGAAAGAAAGGAAUUUAGGCGGGGUAGGCAGGCAGGCAGGCGGGCGAAAUUGGGCCGGACGGAUCCAAAAAUAUGAAGAGUACAAAAUUAAUAAGACUAAAGUCUAGAUAUCCACAUCCAUAUUCAUUUUUUUUCGAAUAUCCGAAAAAAUUUGAUUCUCUAAAAUCAUAUCCGUGUCCGUAUCCGACCGGAUCCGGAUAUUUUCUAUUCAGAUCCGGAUAUUAUCGAAUGCAAAUACAAAUAUUUUCGGAUGGUAUUUUCUCCGUUUUCACCCCCUAGUGAUGUCCAGUUCAAUUUUACAUUUGUAUACAAUCCGAAUUCUGGACUUUCGUUCAAUAUUGUUCUAUUUUGUAGCAUUGUUAUCAUAUAUAGGCUAUAAAAUUCAAAAUCUAACAAAAUAUUAUCAAAUAUAGCAUAUAUAAAAUAAAUUAAUAAGUAUAAAAUAUCAUGUAUUUUUCACAAAAUGGGAAUUUUUUUGACUACUGGUGCAAUAAGAUGUGGUGUUUGUUCAGAGGGAAAUUAGAAAAUAACAAGUGAAGUUCAAAGCAAUAGAAAGAUUUUGGCCUAGAGUAUUAGAUAUUAAUAAGGUUUUAAAAAUCAUAAUUUUAUUGAUACUUCAAUUCCACCAGAUUAUUUGCUUGCUUAAAAGUAAUUAUAAUAGUAAUAAAAUAGAUUUGUCGAAACGAAGUAACUUUUCUAAAAUAAGUCCUUUAUUAGGAUAAGAGCGAUUUUUUGUACGCAAUAUGAAUUACAAUCGUUCAAUUUUGUCCAUCUAUUGCCCCCAAAAUCCAGUGGUAUUAGUAGAUAACCAGAGCCUAUAAUUCAGUAUUUCAUAAUUUAUGUUGUAUACAAUCAAUAGCACUGAUAACAAAUGUUCAUUAUUUUUCUCAUGUUUAUUGUGAAUACAUUAAAAUUUUAAAAAAACAAAACCCCACUUUUGCAAAUUCAGAGAAUCAAAGUGGGUAAACUUCAAUUCACCUCUUUGCGGCUUUUUCACUUUUUCACCAUGGAGAUCAAAAACCUACAACUUACUACCUUAUAAUUUUAUUUUUAUUUUGCCGUGAGUAUUUAUUGUUAAACAAGAUAGGAGAACAACAAAUUUUGCAAACUAUGAAUAAUAUAGGAGUAGGUCUUAUGUGCUAUUAGAGGUACAGAGGUCUCUGUGCUCUUAAGCCGUUUUCGAUGAUGGAGCUUUCGAAUCAACGAUCAGUUCCGUUAGAUUUGAUCUAGCGUAUUUGAAGUAUCUAAAAAAUAAAUUUUAUAAUUUUUUGAUAUCAUUUCCCUAGCAAUCGAAAGGGACGAAAAUUAAUAAUAUUAAUGGCUGAUGUAUACCUUUUGUAAGUUUAGCAGUAUAAAAGUAUUCAAAUCAGAUUAAAUUUUGAUAGAAAAUUUUUAUACUCUUUAUAGCAUGAUUAAUAUAUCUGAUCAAAAAUUUUAGUACUAUAUCAUCACUUUCAUGAGAUUUUUAUUUUCAACUUUUGAUUUUGAACCCUCUCGAUCGCUAAGUAAGUGAUAUCGAAAAUCGUAAAAUCUAUUUUCUGGAUACUUUAAAUACGCUAGAUCAAGCCUAAUAGAGUCGAUCAUCGAUUCAAAGGCUCCAUUAUCAAAAAUGGUACAGGAGCACUGAGGCCUCCGUGCUCCUAGUAGCACGGAAGACCUACUCAGUAAUAUAGUAUAAUAUUUUAUAAUAAUUCGAUUAUAUUUUAUCAUUUUGUUGUUUGUAAAAUAUAUCAAUUUACUGUCAUCUAUUUAAUAAAAGGCCCCUAUGCUAAAAUAAAAAUAAAUCCUCCGUGCUCCUAAUAGCAUACAAGAGCUACUCAAUAAUAUAAUAUAAUAUUUUAUAAUUCUAUUAUAUCUUAUCAUUCUGUAGUUUGUAAAAUGUAUCAAUUUACCGUCAUCUAUUUAAUAAAAGGCCCCUAUGCUAAAAUAAAAAUAAAUCCUCCGUGCUCCUAAUAGCAUACAAGAGCUACUCAAUAAUAUAAUAUAAUAUUUUAUAAUUCUAUUAUAUCUUAUCAUUCUGUAGUUUGUAAAAUGUAUCAAUUUACCGUCAUCUAUUUAAUAAAAGGCCCCUUCGCUAAAACAAAAAGAAAUCACAUGAAAGUAAAGCAUAAUUGCACAAUGCUUAAACCAUCGAAUUGGAGAGUGCAAAUACUCAACAUCUGGGGCAAAUUGAAAUUUUUCCCAAACAAAAACAAGAAAAAUGAUGUAGCAACUUAAAUUCGGCACCGAGACACGAAUCUUCGCCGAGUUCAAUGCCGCGCACUCCUCCGCAGCUUCUUCUUCGUCCGCGAGAAACCCUAAAUUCGGCUUCUGCUUCUGCUUCCUCAAACCCUAGAAAAUGGAGCUCGACGCGGUGAAGCGCUCGUUGGAGGCUGCGGCGGCGGAGACGCUCCCCACGCCGUCGCUCUCCUCCCUCCCCUCCCGUUUCUACGACGCCUUCGUCCUCCGCGGCCUCCGCGUCGACGCCGCCGAGCGCGGCCGCCUCCUCUGCUCCCUCUCCGUCCCCCCUCGCCUCCUCGUAAGCCCCCCCUUUCUCUCUCUCUCUCUCUCUCUCUCUCUCUCUCUCUCUCUCCGAUUCCUCUAUCUCCGUGGUAAAAUUUGAUCUAUGGAUCUCUCUCUCCCCCCCUCUCUCUCUCUCUCUCUCUCUCUCCAUGUUGUGGCUUAGAACACGGGGAACUUCCUCCACGGCGGCGCCACCGCGUCGCUGAUCGAUCUCGUUGGAUCCGCCGCGUUCUACACCGCCGGGGCCACCACGAGGGGCGCGCCCCUCGAGAUGAGCAUCUCCUACUUGGACGCCGCGUACGCGCACGUAGGGUUUUGCUAAUUCCCCUUCCCAGUUCCGUUUCUUCGCUGUGGUGAUUAGGGUUUGAUGAUUCUCGUUUUGGUUAUGCAAAUUGUUGAGAUAUAUGCUUUAAAGAUCAUAUGAUUGAGUAAUUUUGAAUUGGAAUUAUACGGAAAUUGAACUGUGAAGUGUAUCUAUGUAGUUUGAUCCUGUUUAGCUAGUUUAAUGACAUUGUAGUUUUUUGUAUGUCAUGUUUAUUUGCUUCCCAUAGUUAAUGAAUAGGAAAGAAUUGGAAAAAUUUGGGCACGGUUGCGGCCCGGAAGACCCUAAAUUUAGUAAAAUCAGUUUAGUAUACGGUGGCUUAGUUUUUAACUUGAUUUUGAGAUGGUAUUCAAUUGUUCGUAAGAAUUAAUCACUGAGAAAGAAAACAAAAUUCAAAAUUAUUUUUGGUUGGUUCUUUAAAUAACAAACACUUUGAAAAUUUGAGGAGAAAUUGUCGCUGUAAACAAGUAUUGACAUCAUAAUAUGUAAGAGUUAUAGAUACUUUUUGUCCACACCGUGAAAUUGUCUUAGUUAUGUACCUUUAUUUUUAUUAGCAAAUAAAUGGAUUGAUACAGUUCAUUUUCUAUUUUAUACCCUAUUUGUUGAUCUAACAUAUUUCUAUUACUUCGUAAAUGAUGAUACUUAAAUGACUCAUCGCAAUAAAAUGAAAUUGCUGUUGCAUUGUUGAGCUCUGUGGAAAAACUAAUUGAUGUGUACUUUUACCCUUUAAACAAUUAAAAGAAGAGCGCUUCAACCAAGCCGAUUCAAACCAAUUGAAUGUUCUAUUUUGAACUGGUUUUGGCGAUUUUGUAGUCUAUUUCAACAACCAGUACAGUUUAAGAAUGGCAUACUGGUUCAUUAGUCAGGAAGAAAUUGAUCGAGCUAUCACUUUGAGAUUACGUUAACCUACGCAAGUUUUAAUUAAUUGUUUCGAGCUGGGCGUGUUCCAGUUUGUGUCAUGUUUAUGACCUCAAUUUUUUCACUCUGACUAUAUAUUUUAGAAAUUUGUUCUUAUCAAGGAUUAGGGGGAAAUUACUUUAAUGAACUUGUUGGACAAUUUUAGUCUUCUAAAAUUUUGGUCUGUGUCCUCUUGAUGUUGUCGAAUGCAUUGAAUCAUUCAUUAUGGGAGCAUUUGAUUGACAUAAUUGUAAUUCGACAUAGAUAAAGCUUGUUUAGAGUUGAAACAUUAGUUCCACCGUUGACCAUGAUCAUCUAGCCUUGAGGUCGAUUCUUGAAAACAGUUUCACAAUUUAGCAACAUGAAAAAAAAUAUUUGUAGUGAUUUUUCUCGUGAUAUUUUUCAUUUUGCCUUUCAAUUGCAGUUGUAUCCUUCUUAUUGCUCAGCUUUUGUUUUUGCUAACGAAAUGUAUACUUCGGAAUAUAUAUAUUAAUUUCACAAACAGCAUAAAUAAGUAGGAUAAUAGGUAUGAUAUUAGAGAUAUUGGUUUCGUAUCUCUGCUUCGCAGUUACAGAUUGUGGGGUUUUUGGCAUACGCAUGUUGAGAAUGUUACUAAAGAGAUGUUCCUACGUGUGCUUUUCAGGAAGAGAUUGAAAUAGAGGCCAAGGUGUUGCGCGCGGGAAAAGCGGUUGGUGUCGCCACAGUCGAGCUGAGGAAGAAAAAUGGGAAGCUAAUCGCUCAAGCUCGCUAUACCAAGUACCUUGCGGCAUCUAGUAACCUGUAAAGGGGGUCGGUUGAUUUGUUCGAUUCUCGAUUUUCAUGUGAUAUAUCAAAUCUACGUAGGAGUUAAACUUGAUAUCAAAUAUAUAUAGGGGUCAAUAUUAAUCCUAUAAUGCAGCAUCUUGUUGUAUGUUGAUUGUAAUGUUUAAUAACUUCUACGUAUAUGGGGCUAUUGUUGAUCCAUUGUACUAAUGCGGGUUCGUUUGGAACCCAUCAUUUAAGUGGAUAGGAAGCGGGUUUUAAUGACUCAGAGGUGGUGAGAGUAAACUAAAUCCCGUUGGGACAGGACUAUGAAAUACCAUCAAGAGAUUGGUGCGAUUGAAUUCGAAAUUUUUGUCGUAUCUCACCGCCCGGUCACCACCCACAGUAACCUGCAAUGCCUCUGAGUCGCUAAACCCUCCCUCCGUUCUGACAUGAUUUUCUGUAUCCUAUCUAACCUAUCUUGGAUGCCAAAUGGGUUCUUAGGCUCAGUAAUACACUUAGAAUGAAGAUGGAUUUUCUUUUGUUUUUUUUUUUUAUGAUUUUUGCUCUGGCACAAAGGAGAAAUAAGCUUUUAGAUUUGAAAAGUAAGAGCUAUUUCUACUUUUUCUGUAAGUUCAAAAUACUCUAUUUAGCUAGUACUUAUGCAAAAGCUCCUUUAAGCAUUUAAGCCCAAGGAGGUGCCUAACAAAGCACAAUAUUUAUUCCAUGUAAUUAAUAUGAUGUGAAGCUAUUUAAUAUUGUUGUGCAAUGUAACUGAAAUUGUCUAUUCGGUAUUAACUGCUUGUUUGCAUGUGAUUCUUUAAUUUCUCUACAGUACAGAGUAUGUAUUUAAGUCUAGGGAUGUCAACGGAGUAUGUACUUAAGUCAACGGCCGAAUUCGGGACGGAUUUUCUAAAAUCCGAAUCAGUUUCCAAACCCAGCUACCAAAUUCGAAAUCUAAACCCGAAUCUGAAUGUGAUGGAUUUUAAAAAUUCAUAUUCAAACCCGACCCAAGAUUCAAAUACCUGGGCCUCAAUAGAACCCAAAACAACUAUUUUUCUUUACUAUUUAUUAUAUUUCAAAAUAUAUUACAAUAAAUCUAAAUUUUUAAAGUAUAAAUUCAAAAUAACAUCAUGCAUUUAUACAUAUUAUAUAAUAUAAAAUUACUUCGAAUUGGACUUCGGGUCAAGUACAUACAAAAUUCAUAUCCAUUAGGGAUGCAAAUGGAUCUAAGUUGGUUGAGUUCUUUCUCUAAUUCAUACCAAACCGGUGGUAAAAAAAAAGUUAAUUCAUCUUAAAUUCGUCCCAAUCGGUUAAGUAAAUGUUGCAGAAGGUGUUUGAUAUUCGACAAAAUUUUGUUAAAAAAUUUGCUUCUGUUUGGAUCCACGGAGUAAAGCGGUAAGUCGUGACCAUAAAUUAAAAUAUUUAGACUUAAUUUGAUAUUGAGGCCUAUCUAACGCUAUUAGAUAAAAUGGAGUUGAGAAAAAAGCAUAUAGGAAUAUAAUUCUGCGUUAUCCGAUGGUACCGCAGAAAAUAUAUCGUAACCGACUCAUCGCGUAAUCUCUCCGCAAUCGCAAAUGAAGCCUUAAUCCUUAUCGCUGUGUUUGCAUCUUUACUAAUAGGACUAAAAUUAUACAAAAUUUUUCAGGUUAUCAGUAUCGAGGCAGACGCAAGGGAUAAAAAAAGAAAUAAAGAUAAGCAUCCAUCCGUAGAACGGAUCUAUUAUCUGGCAACGGGGUCCAGCGAUUCGCCCUCUCAAAACCACCGCGCACGGGGAAAAAAAAAAAAAACGCGUAUUAAGAACCGAACACGCCAUUCUCACACCCCCCCUCCUCUUCUUCUCCUUUCAUCUUCACCUCCAUCGACGAUUCUCUCUCUCUCUCUUGCGGGCCUUCCACGGCCACCACCAGAGGACGCCGAUCGGAGCUCCGGCGAUCCAUGCGCCGGCGACGGCGCCGCCACGGCUGAUUCGGCGGGGAUCUCGGCGAAGAGUCGCUGCGUCGGUAGGGUUUUUAUGCGUAGAGAUGGCGCCGGGGGCGGCGGAGGGCUCCGGCGGCGGGGGAGGCGGAGGAGGGGGAGGCGGCGGCGGGGGAGGGGGAUGGGUGGAGUCGUACACGGGCAUGUCCUCCGAUAACAUAAAGGGCUUGGUGCUCGCGCUCUCGUCGAGCUUCUUCAUCGGCGCCAGCUUCAUCGUCAAGAAGAAGGGCUUGAAGAAGGCCGGGGCGUCCGGGGUUAGGGCAGGUAUACACGAUCGGGCCUCGUUCACAUCAUUAAUGGUUUGCUGAUCGUUAGGUUUUAGGCUUCUCGCUUGGUAGGAGGUUGAUUUUGAGGGAUCUGAUGAUGAUAACUGUGAAAUUCGACGUGAUUUUAGGGUUUGGUGGAAAAUUCGGUGGUGAUUGUGCUAUUUAUGAUGCUUUUUCUUGUAUUUUUGUGCAAUUUUGGGGAUAUGUGACUGGAUUAUUGGGUUAUUGCUGAUUUCACAUCAGACAUUUUUGUUCUGCGUGUGGAUUUUAUCUCUAUGACCAAACUUCUUCCAAAUUUGUCGAUUCUAACUUCCACCAUAUGGAGAGAAUUUGUGAUUUGUUAUUCAAUCUUCAUAAGAAAUUUGGCCUGCUUUAAGAUGUUGUAGCAUUGAGAUUCUAUUACUUUUCAAGUUCCAACUUGUUGUACCGGAUUGCUCUUUCACUAGCUGGACUUAAGAACUAGAUGCUAAUUCUUUAAUUAAGGAUUCAUAUACAGGUUACUUUGUAUAUGGUAAGUUCUUUAGUAAUUUUUGCAAUUGUUAGUUGUACUGGUGUAACAAGUAAACCCAUUUCCAGUUUCCAGUGCUCUGAUUAGUUGAUUAGUGAUAACCACCUUUCGCUUUUCAGUACAAAGUGCUUUGCUGUGCCACUAGCUGUGAUUUAGUCCAUCUAAUCCCAUUUAAGGGCAACUAAAUAAAAUUAUUUGCCGGCAAUGGCUGGGUUUUGUAAUUUUAGAGAUCUUGCUAGCAAUGUUGACUUAUAUCCCUAUUAUACUCACAGGCUUUUAUUAUUUGCAUCGUGUUUGUGUUGAUUGUUUUUGCCUUAGAAACGCCUUAAAUCCUUUGCCUCAUAACAGGAGUUGGAGGCUAUUCAUACUUGUACGAGCCACUUUGGUGGGCAGGCAUGAUAACAAGUAAUCACUCUAAUUUCUUUCCUAUAUGCUAUACCUUCUGGCUUUCUGUUGUGAUUCUUAGUUGUUCUUUCGAUAGAGAUAUUAACAAGUUUAUCGUUAUGCUACAGUGAUUGUUGGGGAAGUGGCUAACUUUGCAGCUUAUGCAUUUGCUCCUGCUAUUCUGGUUACUCCUCUUGGCGCUCUUAGCAUUAUAAUCAGGUAUGACUCUGAAUUGUAAAAUCAAAUAUAUGUUCACAAUUUUCAUCAUAACCAUGAAAUGAUGCAUUUUCUGAUAUGAAGCUAACUUUUAUGUCACAGUGCUGCUCUUGCACAUAUCAUAUUACGGGAGAGACUACAUAUAUUUGGCAUUCUUGGAUGUGUUCUCUGUGUUGUGGGAUCAACUACCAUUGUCCUCCAUGCCCCUCAAGAACGUGAGAUUGAGUCUGUGGCAGAAGUAUGGGAUCUAGCUACAGAACCAGGUUUUGUCCCUUUUUUUGUUCUUCUCCGUAGAGCUUGUUUGACUUUGCUGGAGCUUCUACUAGAGCUUCUAGAAAAUGGCUGUUGCUAGAGCUGUUUGAACAAGCACUUGUGUAUUUUCAAAUUUCAACGGCCUAGUUUUGUUGGGUAAAUUUCAACAGCCUAGUUUUGUCGGGUAAAUAGAAGCUUCAAAUUAGAGCUUAUUCUUUUGGGGCCUAAAAGUUCAUUUUAGCUUUCUGAAUAGCAAAAGCCUUUGUCUUUUCAUUCCAAAUGCUUGUUUUCUAACAACUUUUACUUUCAAAAGUAGAGAAGAUGCUCCAAGAGCUACGCUAAAGAGGCAUCUAGGCUUUCUAGGUUGGCAUGAAUUUACAUGUCCUUCCGCAUUAAUUUUGUAGUGAUAUGCUAAGCCCAUAAUUUGUCUUCCCUGCAGCUUUCCUUCUGUAUGCAGCAAUGGUACUUGCAGCAAUUUUCAUACUCAUUUUCCAUUUUAUACCACAAUAUGGACAGACGCAUAUUAUGGUGUACGUUGGUGUUUGUUCUCUUGUAGGCUCUCUAUCGGUAAGCAAUUCCGCAUGGGUGAUUGAUCAUAGUUUAUCUUGGUUUCAUGGUUUUUUAGAUGGGCUGGACCCAUUUAAUUAAUUAAUUAAUUUUUAUUUGAGCAGGUCAUGAGUGUGAAAGCUCUUGGAAUAGCUUUGAAGUUGACAUUUUCAGGGAUGAAUCAGCUAAUAUAUCCACAAACAUGGGCUUUCACUAUAGUCGUUUUUGCUUGUGUGAUUACCCAAAUGAAUUAUUUGAACAAGGUUAUAUGAUUUACUCUUUGAUUAAAGUGAUAGUUAUUAAUAAGACUUUAGGUGGUUAUUAUUUUAAUUGAGUUUUGACUAAUUUUUAAGAAAUAUAUGUAGUUUUCCAAUGGGAUAAUUUCAUAAUUUGUUUGCUAUGCAUAGUACUUCUGAUUUUUAGAUGAAGAAAAUAACGAGUUGGAUUUCAUUUUAAGUCUUUCCGCAUUAAAUACACAAGUUGUGAACCUCUCUGGGGAAGUCAACUCUAGGAUUCUUAUGUGGCUUGUUUGCAUCUUGUUUAGGACUUUUGUUUCUUUAUCACUUAUGCUUCUUAUUCCAGGAUUCUUAUGUGGCUUGUUUGCAUUUUGUUUUGGACUUUUGUUUCUUUAUCACUUAUGCUUCUUAUUCCAGGAAUCUAAUAUGCUUUUAAUUGUGUAAAGAUGAGGGACAUGACACGGUAACAAUCUGUAGAUUCUCUUUGUAAAUUGCAUGCAUGUGAUUCCAUCCAAAUAUCAGAACAUGGGCUCAUUCUAAUGUACUUGUCGAAUUCAUUUCAUGGCCCAGCUGCCCAAGAAUAAUUGCAUAUUUACGCUCAUCUAUCAGUAGCAUUGUCCUUCGAAGUAAUUUUGUUUUCUUAUCCUAGAUUCUUAGGCUUAGUUGAUUUUUUCAGCUAGGUGUACAUAUCUCUAGUUAACUUGAUAUCCAUCAGAUAUCUUAAAUGCUUUCCAAGCCUUUCUUACAUGAAUAUCAAAACUUUACCCAAGUAUUAUUCCAUUCGGCUAUAUGGAUCCUAUUUCUUUCAUUCAAAUGGUUUUAGGCAAGAUUCUCAAACCAAAUACUGUCAUAUUUUUUCUCCCUUUCUGCUUUAAUGUUAAUUUUGGUUUGCCCUCUUUCCCUAGGCUUGUGCUAGCUUAGCAGAAUCACACCCUUACCAGUAUGUUAUGUGGUUCAUUGCCCUCGACCAUACAAUCUCAACUGGUUUUCAUGCUCUUAUUUCUAGGUUCAAGCUACCUCGUAUCAGAUACUAUAUAUAUAUUUUUUCCCCAUCUUUCCUAGCGACCCAAGAAUUUACCUUACAUCCUUAGCUCGAUGACACCACAUCCUUAUCUCGAUGACUUUUCAAUUUUUACAUAUUUUAUCUGAUACCUCCUUACAUUUUGAUCAGUAAACUAUGGCAGGUGACAGCGAUGCAACAAAUUAGAGACGAACAAUGUUCUAAUUCUACACACAAUGUUGUAAUUAAGCUUCUCUUCUUGUCCUCUCCUUUCUCUGUGAAAACAAAUACAGAGUUAAUAGUCAAGUCAGGUAUUCGUUAGAUAUUGCUCAUGUUGUUUUGAUGGCCCUUGUGAAACAUUCAGGGCUGAUGGACAAGUUAGAGUCUAUAUAUUACAGCCUGUAUUUUAAGCUCAUUUAACUAGACUAAGCUUGUUUUUAAGUUCAGCAAGCACGAAUCUACAAUCUAAACUAGAUAUUGUAUAAUAUUCUUCAAGGGCCUGAAAAUUAAGAAUACAAUAAUUUUCAUGAGUUACUGUUAAGUUUAAGUACUUGAUCUAUGUUACACCACUCGUCUCCAGAUUAGUGGCAGCAAAUCCUAAUUAAUUUAAGGUUAUACGUAUGUACCUACUUUUGUUUGAGUAAAUCUGAAGCUGAUAAAUAUUUUCCACUGCAGGCUCUUGACACAUUCAACACAGCAGUUGUCUCACCCAUAUAUUACACAAUGUUUACAUCGCUAACCAUUUUGGCUAGUGUUAUCAUGUUCAAGGUAAAAAAAUCUUAACUUAUUUUAGUCUUCGUCAAUCAAAUCAUUGUUGUCCUCAACUUAUGUGUUUAUAGUUAUUUCUCUGUUAGAACGUAAAUUAAGCUAUAAGAAUGUGAUGAUUCAUAUUACCAGUGUGGUAAUUCUAAAAAUAUCAACAUUUGAUGACAACUGGUAAAGACAAAGUUGCUUAAGCCAAGUUUUAUAAACACAACUUUGUACAGUUGUUACUGCUUAUAGACAUUUGGGGCAGAACCAUGUUUUUUUGUCCAUUUGGCGGCAUUUAUGAUUCUGUACAUGCUUUAAAUAUUAUUCAUGACUAAGAAUACUUCUUUUAACAAAAAAACAUUAGAAUUUUUUUUUGGCAUUGUGCUAUAUGAUGUUACUGUUAUGCUUGAUAAACACAUAAUAUAAGAUGAUCUACUACAAGUAACAUGUAAUUAAUUUAUAUGAAUAUCUUAGAAUGUAUAUUUAUAUUUUUUUUAGUGAAAAGAAAAGUUGGCUCAUAAGUCUAAAUAUUAUUUGAUUAGUACCUAUCACUAGAAGCAAUAAAACUAUACAUAUUUUUGCUAGCAAUUCCCUUCAUGUUGGGCAACAUUCAUUGGUGUAGCAGUUCUGUAAUUACAUUCUCUUUAUUAAAUGAACAUGUGAAGAAAUUUAAGUAAAUUUUAUAUGUAUUUGAAAGCUUAGCAAGUGUACGAGUCAAGCUAUUCCACUAGUUGUGCUCAACUUCAGUUUCAAUGAUACAUCAUUUUAAACGGUGAUAAGUGUGAAAUAGUCUGUGCAUAUGAAUAUAAACUGUGUAUGCAGUUAUAUUUUUUCAAAGCAGAGAAAUCGGACAUAUAUGAACAUAAAUGCAACCUAAAGGCCUUAACUACCUAACUAUCAUCUCGAUGCAUAUGCUUCUCUUAUCUUUGUCAAAUCUCUGAAUUAAAAAAAAAAAAAAAAUCUUGAAGUGUGUUUAUCGGUGUGCCAUCAACUUGAAAUCUUGCAUGUUUACUCCUAAGAUAAAUUAGGGGUGAGAAUCAUGAAAUGCACAUGUAGCCACAGUGAUGCCCACAAAUGUUACUGUUGAAUGAAUUUAUGUAAUCUUCGACUUUGAGAAAGCUAUUAAUAUGUUUAAUUAGUACUUCUUAACUUUCAGGACUGGGAUCGGCAAAAUCCAACGCAAAUAGUAACUGAGAUGUGUGGUUUUGUUACGAUUCUCUCCGGAACUUUUCUUCUUCACAAGACGAAGGACAUGGCUGAUGGUAUGGUCCUGCAUCAUACCGCAAUUAUAUGUGUAAUAUGCAUGAAAGCCCCAUAUAUCUAUAUAUAUCAUGAUCCUCGCAUUACCUCUCUGAAGUUUUAACAACUACAUUUUACCCCUUCCUAUGAGCAGAGUAAUAGAUGUUGUCUAACUACAUUUUACCCCUUCCCAUGAAGGUUUCGUUAUUUUAAGCAUGUUAAGAGAAAAUCUUUAUUUAUACUGGGGGCUUUCUUGCUCUAUUUAGCCUUCCUUUUUUCUUUUUAUUUUACUGGAAACUUACUUCGUCCUAACCUGUCAUGCCUCUCAACAGGGCUUCCACAAUCUCUAUCAAUGCGGCUUCCAAAACACGCAGAUGAGGAUGGCUAUCCGGCCGAAGGCAUUCCUCUGAGGUCUCAGGAAUCAUUUCGGUCGCCAUAACCCGUACAUCAUAUUCCAUCUGCUUUUUGCGCAUUAGGGUUCCCUCCACCAUCCACUCUUGAUGUAACUAAGCAAAGUAGUUUGUAACUUUUCCGAGGAAUACAAAAUUGUAGAUCCUUUCAUUUUUCCUUUUCCUUUUUUUUUUUUUUUACAUCUAGGCUUUGCAAACCCCCCCUUGUAUGCGUCACAUUGUUAAAAGAGUCAUGGGGAUCACACUACUUAUACGGUCCACUGUAAUUUAGCCUCAAUUGCCGCGAAACUCGCUGUUCGCUUCAUAAUUUCCUUUGAAGUGCUUUAGAGCUGAAGGUGCUAUUCCUGUAGAGCUAUUUUGCUUCUUCUUACAUAAAACAAUGUGGACAUCGGAGAAUGCCGAAGAAGAGCCACCAUAGUAGAGACAACGGAGCAUGCAUUGAGUCGCCUUUCGGUGAGUCGUCGCGGCAAAUUGUUGGAUGUGUUAGUGAUCAAAUGGAGUGAUUGUUGGAUAGCCUCAUGCUUGUUGCACUACUUUGGUAGCAUGGAACUAUUGUGGUAGCGUACUUGAUCUGAUCAGUUUUUAUAUAAUACAUUAGACAAAUUUAGUGCUUCUGAUCAGGAACUAUUGUGGUGAAGUACUUGAUCUGACCAGUUUUUAUAUAUAAUACAUUAGACAAAUUUAAUGCUUCUGAACCGUCAAUAAGUUUGUUCCGUCUCAAUUUUGUUGGUUAUUCGCUGCAACCUGCAAAUUGAAUAAGUCUUUUUCUUUCUUUUUUCUUUUUUUCUUUUUUUUUUUUUUUUGGGUGCGUGUGAGAUAGGAAUGGCAAAUGUUUGUGGGAAAGCAUUGUAACAACCCCGAAGAAUAAAUGGUGAGCUCGGCGGAGCGAUCCGGCGAGAAGGCGCUUGGGCGGAACUCCAGCGGCAAGGCGCCUUCGAAGGGGCUCAGGCGAGCUCGACGGAAUCCAUGUCGUUGGGGCGAAGGAGAGAGAGCUAGCGGAUUGGGCGGUCGGAUUACCGGAUCGGGCAUAAAACGCGAACCCAAGCCCCGCCGGGUCGCGGAUGAUGCGAAGAAGGAGGAGUCCGGCACCCGCCUACCCACUUACCAGCACUACCGGGCAGGGAGGCCCAGAGAGGUGGCCCAACAACCCGAAUGGCAGCCCAGCCCAUCAGCAUCUCAUUUUGUCACUUUGCUACUUAGCCCUCAAAGAUUAUGUAAUUUCCAUUUCAGUUUAAGUCCUAAGAAGUAUAAGUACGAGAAUGUAUGGCAAACAGAGGCAUCGAUGAAAUGAAAUAUUGCUUAUCUUCUUCCCCAAUCCUUCUCUAAACCCUUCUUUGCUUCUAAGCUCCCUAACUCUCCUCUCUCUUCUCUAUUUCUAAUCCCUAUCCUCAUCUCUCUGUAUCUCUCUCUGUCUCUCUCAUUCCCAUCAUCUCCCAAUUCACGCUCCUCAAUCCGAGGUCUCAUCGGAUCGCGAUUGGGAUCAGGUUGGUCACGCCAUCAUCCCGGUUAGCCAUCCAUCUCCAUCGAGGGUUGCUAACAGGUCCGGCUCAUUACAAGCAUGUCCCAGCUUUGUGAUAGGUCCAUCUAUCUAACUGUGUUUAUGCAUAGAAGACACUAACGUCAAAUGAAGGCCGUUGUUUCCGUCCGCGAAAACCACGUGGCGAGCCGUGUUGGCAUAGACAAUAUCUCCUCUCAAAAAAUUUCAUGGCCAAUUUUUAUAAAAAAUUCGCUAAGUUUAAGAUUUUGUAAAAGUACGUAGUUGUUUUGAUUUUUCAGAUUCGGUCUGAAAAUCAUAAUCAAACUAUUUUUCUUUUAAUAUAUAAAAAAAAUAUGUAUAUUAAAUAUCUUAAAAAAUACAAUCAGUAAGUCAUUAUUACUGUUAUCUUUUUUUUAAAACGAAAUUCUCAUCUAACAUAAUAAAAAAGAAAAAAAAUAAAAUACUUCUUAAAUAGUGCAAUAUCUUUUUAAAUUGUGUAACUUUUUUUUUAAAUAGUGUAAUAUUUGUGCAAAUAAUAUAACAUUUGCACAAUUUAUAUAACAUUGCAUAAUUUUUAUACUAAAGUAUGAAUAAUAUUGUAUAUUACGCACAAAUAGUAUAAAAUAUUAUAAUAUAUUAUAAAAAUUAUUUGAUGCGUAUAAGCUAUGUAUAUAUUGCAUCAUUUGUAUAAAUAUUUAUAUCAUUUGUGUAAAUGUUAUAUUAUUAGAAGAGAAUUUUACACCAUUUAGAUGGUAUAUUACACUCUUUUUUAAAAAAAAUUAAAUUACAUUAUAUAUUAAAUAAAGUGUCAAUUUUUUUAAAAAAGACAACUGUUAAGUUAUAAUUGCAUAUACUUUUCUUGAAAGACGAAAAUUCACGUUAAGAUAAAAUAAAAAAUAAUAUAAUAUAAUUAAUAAGAUGAUCAAAAGGGUAGAUUGAACGGCGGAAAACUUGGUAGCAGCUUCGUACUAUUAAUAGCAUAGUAGCCGGACUCUAUAAUAUAUUACAAUAUAUUAUAAAAAUUAUGCAAUAUGUAUAUAAACGGUAUAUAUGUUGCAUUAUUUGUACAAAUUUUACAUUAUUUCUAUAAAUAUUACAUUAUUAGGAGAGAGUAUUGCACUAUUUAGAUGAUAUAUUGCACUUUCUUUUUAAAAAUUAAAUUAUAUUGUAUAUUAAAUAAAGUGUCAAAUUUUUGAAAAUAACAACUGCUAAAUUAUAAUUGUAUGUACCUUUCUUAAGAAACAAAAAUCGUCAUUAAGAUGAAAUAAAAAGUAAAGUAUAAUUAAUGAGAUGAAAGAGUACAAUAUCCUCUCAAAUAAUAAAAAUCUUUUCAAAUUGUACAACAUUCUUUUUUAAAUUGUGCAAUACUUAUGUAAAUAUUGAAAUAUAUACAUCAUUUGUACACAUAUUGUAUAAUUUUUAUAAUAUAUUAUAAUAUAUUAUACUAUUUGUACGUAAUAUACUAUAUUAUUCGUAAUUUAGUAUAAAAAUUAUGCAAUUUGUAUAUAAACGAUAUAUAUAUUGCACUAUUUAUAUAAAUAUUAUACUAUUUAGAAGAGAAUAUUGCACAAUUUGAAAAGAUAUUACACUAUUUAANUUGGGUUGUGGGGGGUAGGGGGUGGGGGGAUUGAUUUUCGUCUUCUUUUGAUUAUGAGAACAAUUAUUUAAUUAUAGGAACAAUUAUUAGAUAGAGGGAGAGUGCGGUUUAUAGAGGAAACACGCAAACGCCAACAAAUCAAAGAGUGUAAUAUAUAAAGAGAAAACAAAAAAAGAAGAAAAGAAGCAAAAAACAGGACACACAAGAACUUCUCACAUGAUGCAAAUGGUAGGCUUAGGUGGCUCAAUUUAGGUUGUGUGAGGGGAGAGGCAAUUGACUUCAUUAGAGUAAUUUAGGGGGCAAUCUUUUUUCAUUUUUUUGUGUUCACAUGGAUGAAAUUUGGCAAAUUUGCAUAAAAAAAAUUCUAAGAUUUUGUAGAAGUGGGCCACCAUCUUUUUGAAUUUUGCAGAUUCGAUCUGAUUUUUAGAAGAUGACUAAAUUACCCUUUUCAAAAUGUAUAGAAAUAUAAAUAUUAAAUAUCUUGAAAAAUAUAACUGACAAGUUAUUAUUGUAGCUGUCCGAAAUUCUUAUCUAACAUAUAAAUAUUAUACUAUUUAGAAGAGAAUAUUGCACAAUUUGAAAAGAUAUUACACUAUUUAAAUGAUAUUCCAUUCUUUCUUUCUUUCUUUCUUUUUUAUUUAAAGCUUUUUAUUUAUAUGUUAGAUAAGAAUUUCGGACAGCUACAAUAAUAACUUGUCAGUUAUAUUUUUCAAGAUAUUUAAUAUUUAUAUUUCUAUACAUUUUGAAAAGGGUAAUUUAGUCAUCUUCUAAAAAUCAGAUCGAAUCUGCAAAAUUCAAAAAGAUGGUGGCCCACUUCUACAAAAUCUUAGAAUUUUUUUUAUGCAAAUUUGCCAAAUUUCAUCCAUGUGAACACAAAAAAAUGAAAAAAGAUUGCCCCCUAAAUUACUCUAAUGAAGUCAAUUGCCUCUCCCCUCACACAACCUAAAUUGAGCCACCUAAGCCUACCAUUUGCAUCAUGUGAGAAGUUCUUGUGUGUCCUGUUUUUUGCUUCUUUUCUUCUUUUUUUGUUUUCUCUUUAUAUAUUACACUCUUUGAUUUGUUGGCGUUUGCGUGUUUCCUCUAUAAACCGCACUCUCCCUCUAUCUAAUAAUUGUUCCUAUAAUUAAAUAAUUGUUCUCAUAAUCAAAAGAAGACGAAAAUCAAUCCCCCCACCCCCUACCCCCCACAACCCAAAAAUUAAUAAUAAUAAAAACUUUCAAAUGCCAUCUCUGCGAUUGCGUACUUUCUUACUUUAGUACCAGAUGGAAUAUCUGAAGUUUUUUAUAUAUAAUUUAAUAAAAAAUUAAUGAAGGGACUGACGAAAAAAAAAAAAAAAUCGCGAGAUAUUAAAUUGAUACACUUUAAACCACAUGAUAUUAAAAUGUAUUAAAGUGAGAAAGUGUGAAACUACAUAAAUGUUAUUAAAAAUUUAUCCUAAAUAAAAAAAAAAACAGCUCUAAAAGAAAAAAAAUUCCUCCAAUCAUAUAAAUGAAAAUAAUCUUAUGCAAUGUCACAGACGAUCCAUUCGUCCAAAAGGAAAAACAUUCCACUACAUCAACCACAAUUCAAAACAUCCUUUCUCUCUCUCUCUCUCUCUCUCUCUCUCUCUCUCUCUCUCUAAAACUCUUUCUCUCUCUAGAACAUUAACAACAACAUCUUCGUCAUGUCUCUUCGCGCGAGAGCCAAAUCCGCCAUUAAAGAGGGACCCUCCUCCUCGUCGUCCUCGUCCUCACAAUCUCACUCCCCACCACCACCACCACCUUCAUCGUCAUCGUCGUCGUCGUCGUCCUCGGCGCUCUCCCAGGCGCUCGCGGGGACCGCGUCGCUCGCGAAACUCCUCCCCACGGGCACCCUCCUCGCGUUCCAGCUCCUCACCCCGGUGUUCACCAACCACGGCUCCUGCGACCCCGCCGCGCGCCUCCUCACCCUCGCGCUCCUCCUCCUCCUCGCCCUCUCCUGCUUCCUCGCCUCCUUCACCGACUCCAUCCGCAUCCCCUCCCACGGCCGCCUCUACUACGGCCUCGCCACCCCUCGCGGCCUCCUCCUCUUCGACUACCCCCCGGCCCCGGACGACCCCCCCGACACCUCCCGCUACCGCCUCCGCCCCGUCGACUUCGUCCACGCCGCGCUCUCCGUCCUCGUCUUCGGCGCCGUCGCCCUCCGCGACGCGAACGUGCUCGGCUGCUUCUACCCGAGCCCCCAGGGGCCCCAGGCCCGCGAGGUGCUCGACGCUUUGCCCCUCGGCGUCGGCCUCCUCUGCAGCUUGCUCUUCGUCGUCUUCCCCACCACGCGCCACGGCAUCGGCUACCCCCGCUCCAUCGCCCCCGCCCCCUCCUCUUCCAACUAAAUCGUCGAACACCUUGCGUGCGUCGGUGCGCUCUCUCUCUCUCUCUCUACAUAUAUAUUAUAUUGUUUAAAUUGAAUUGUAUGUGUGGUUCGGAUCUAAGACACUGCGAUUAAUUUGUGUGCGUGAAUGGAUGAAUAAUAAAUAAUAACACUCGUUGAGGCAUUUCAUCGAACAUCUAUCUUAGGAAUGAAUAAUAAUAAUAAUAAUAAUAAUAAAGGAAUAAUAGCAAUUAUUAACACCACUGUUAUUAUUAAUCUCUCUCUUUCACAUGGAGAUGGAGCGUAGUUUCCAUAGCAAUGGUGAUCAUGAGAGAGAGAGAGAGAGAGAGAGUCAACGUAGGGGAAAUUGACCAGGAAAUAGAGGUUACGUGUUGGAUUAUUUGGUGGUAAAUUUCAAAUUCUCUCGCUGUUCAGCUCAUUUUUAUGUUACUAACUUAUAACUUAAAAUAAAAAAAUUUUAUUUUGCUCUCCUGUAGUAUAAGUUUUAUUACUAAAAAAUUAUAUAUGAAAUAGAAAAUUAAAAUAUAUUUAAAAAAUUAUAGAAUAACAAAGUAAAAAAUAUAUAUAUGCUAAAUCAUAGAAAAAACGAAGUGUAAAUUUUUGAACUAUGAGAUAACAAAAUGAAAAUGAACUAAGGGGUUGUUUGGUUGUACGUAAAACUGGAAAAAAAAAUUUUCGUGGAAAAAAGUUUUCCGUGGAAAAUUUAUUUUAUGAUUUUUAGUGUUUUGUUUGUAGGAAAAGAAAACUUUCAGCUUCAGUUAUUUGGUUAGAUGGUUGAAAGAAAAAAGUACAUUAUCUUUUAUUAUGUAUUCUAUAUAUUAUUUAUUUAUAAUUAUAAUAAUAAUUAUCAUAUUAUAUAUAUUAGUAUUAUAAUUUAUAUUUAUAAACAAAUAUAUAUUAUAAUUAUCAUAAAAAUUAUUAAUCUAUAUAAAAAAUUAUCAUAAAAAUUAUUUGUAUUAUAAUUAUCAUAUAUUAAUUAUUAAGCUAUUUAUUAUUAUGAGUCCGGCUACUAUGCUAUCGGUAGCACGGAGCGUUCCGUGCUACCAAGUUGUUUUCGAUGAUUUGCCCGGUCUUCCAAUCGGACGAUCGGUUCUCCGUUAGAAUCUUGAUCUACACUAUGAAAUAUAUGGAAAAAUAAAUUUUAAAUUUUUCGAUAUCAUUUGAAUAGUGAUCAAAAGAUUUCAAAAUUGCAAUUUAAUGGCCGUGUGGUUGUGUUGUGAGUUUAACGGUGUCAAACAAUCCAAAUUGGAUGACAAUUUUAUAGAAAACUUCUUUUCAGCAUUUAGAAAAGAUCAGUAUAUCUGAUCUGAAUUUAAAAUCUUUAAUCAUUCAUUUUUUAUAUGAGAUUUUUAUUUUCAGGGCCGUUCAAUUUGCUAGACUACUUGUUUGAAUAGGAAAUAUUCGAAAAAUUUGAAAUCUUAGUCUAAUACUUUCAAUAGUGUAGAUCAACUCUAACGAGCCGAUCCGCGACGAUUUGAUAAGCCAAUCAUCGAAAACAACUGGUAAGCACGGAGUCGCUCGCGUGCUACGCCGAUAGUAUAGAGCCUAAGCUCUUAUUAUAUUAUAUUAUUAUUAUAUAUAAUUUUAUAUUUAAUGAAUAAAUAUAUUAAAAUUAUAUAAUAAUAAAAAUUGAUAAGUAAUAUAUUAAAAAUAAUAAUAUGCUUUGUCUUAACAAAAAUAUCAUAUAAAAUUGAAUAAGAUAAUCAACUAUCAAUAAUAAAAAAACUAUAUAAUAUUGAUAAUAAAAUAUAGAGAAUAUGUAUAUAUAAUUGAUUCGAGAGCCUUUAUAAUAUAUAUAUAAUAGAGAGAGGGGGAGUGGUCCACAUUGGACCACUCACGCGGUCCACGAGAACCUGGCAAUCUCGUGGACCGCGUUUUUUUGAGCAGCCUGUGAGCCGUGCUUUUUUGGAGGAAGUUUUCGUUUUCCGCCGUCUGCGGCUGAAAAUGAAAACUUCGUUUUUUUAGAGAAUUUAUAAAAUAAAUUUUUUUGCAAAAUUUUUUACGAGCAACCAAGCAACGAAAAAUCACUUUUCAAUCGAAAAAAAAUUUUCGGAGUAAUUUUACAGCCAACCAAACAUACCCUAAACCAUAUUCUUUUCAAUUUGGUCCCUAACUUUUUGUCCCGCUUUUAUAAUUUUUAUGUCUUGUCUCCUCAAUCAACCAAUUUUGUAAAAUUAUGACAAAAUAGACCAGGUCGACUUCAACAAAAUCUCAUCUAUUUAUACAAAUCAUAGUUAUAGUCUAUUAGUCUCUGAUUAAUGUCAUUAUAUUUUUUUUUUCAAACUUUUCAAGUUUCUGAAAAUAGUGAUUGCAUAACGAUUAACGGACUAUCUUUUUUUAAUUUCUUUUUUUUUUAAUUAUAAACCUCGUUUAAUUUAGAGCGACCCAAAAGAGAGCUAUUUGUAUACUACGGUGUUUGCACUUUGUAAUGAUGAUGUGGUACAUCAGGUCCAAGCAAUUUAAGUGGAAGUAACUUGGAAGAAACUAAAAGCUCUUUGGCCUUAAGGAACACAAGCAACCUAACACUUCAAUGUUUUGGCCAAUCUAGGCCCACAGAUUCUCGCAGAAGCAGAAACAAUAAAUUAGCAUCAUUAUCCACAUAUUUAGCCUCUAAUAAAGGACAUAAAAUAGUCCAUAAUAGUGGGGUCAAACUCUAUGAAGUAAAUUACUACAAUUCAAAAAAUUUACAAGUGAAAUUGAAGCACAUAUCAAAAUUCAGGGACUAAAUUCGCAACCAACUACGAAACAACACAACAGAAAGAUUAACGAUAACUCGGAGGAUAACUCAGCGUAAGACGACUACUUCCUCCGCUGCUUUUGCGAAGUCGAUUUACAGAGGCAGUGAAAACUGAAAUCAGAGUAGUUGUCGCACUUUUCAGCAAUCGCAGAAUAAUUUUCACGAAAACAAGAAGGUCCACUGAAUACUAAUAAGCCAUUUCAAUUCUAAGAUUAAGCUGAACCCUUCAAUACAUGAGAUAACCAAGAAGUUUUACAAACUUACAGUCGGAUCAAAAGUUUCGAUACUAAGAGCAAGAAAGAUUCAGAUGUUCAGAUGAUAUAACAACAGAUAAUAUAGCAGACAAAGUCGAUGGCAGAGACGCGGUAUUAGGAGAUGUAGGAUACUUCUGUUACUUGUCCUCCUGCAGGUUAGGCUGGAUCGGCUGCACCCGGAAGCCCAUCGGGAUCUGCGGUUCCCUCAUGUUCCCAUUCAUCGCCAUCUCUUGGUGGUGCUGAACAAAAAACAGCAGAUAAUCAUAAAAAAAGCACUUCUGUCAGCAGCAGAGCAAUCAGCUACACACUACUUGUACACUACACAAAUACAUAUACACGAGUCGGACUACAUAAUUUACAACAACAAAUCUUUUAGAAAGGGAUUUAACACUCCCUGAAAUAAAGAACCGAAAUGCAGAACUCUUGGGGGUCAUUUCAAUACAGAAACUGCUUGAUUUAGAGGGAAUUUAAUAAUGCAUGGGUUUAGUAUAAAAAAAAUAAUAAUAGUCGGACUUCAUUAUUGAAUGCAUUGGUCUAUUAAAGCUCAUCACUUUUCUUUUUUUUUCUUUCACUAGUAAGGCUCAUGAAUAGCAAAUACGUGAUGAUCUAUUCCGAUCCUGUAACUGGAAGCUGUAUCAUCUGUUUCGAGUUUCGACGACACCAGUAGUUCUAAUAUACUUCCACUUUUUGACACUUAAAAUGCAUAGACGAGACUCUACUAUAUGAAAUUGUUCGCAUAAGAUUCACACGGAUAGUCCUAUCCUGAAUGCGAAUGGCAUUUCAGGUGCAAUACAAAGUGGAGAAAUAUUAAUAUAUCAACACAACAAAUUUUGUGUAGGACGAAAUGGUUAAACUGAGUUACGAUGCAGCAGCAUACACAACAGACACAGAAAUACUCCAUUGUUUGCCAUCGUCUAGGCGAAAAAUAAUAUAUCGAAUUAAUUUUCAAGUGCAUCUAAGGCCUAGAAGAUUAUGGCAAGGAAAUUUUAAAGUAAUUACCAGCAUAAAAGCUAAUUGCUUGUUCUCCUCCUCCAACAAUCUCCCCUGCAACAUCAAGCAUCAAUAUUGAAGGAAAAAUGGUCAUCAAAUUCAAACAGUUGAAUAACAAAUCAACAAAUAGAAGGAAUGGAGUUAUUUAACCGAUGAAUAGAGCAUACAUUCUUCUUCAUCAUCCUCAAAUAAUCCAUCUGCAACAAGAAAAGGAAUGAUUACGAACAGAAACCAACAAACAGGAAAAAUGAAAACUAAAUUUUACAAAGAAUAAACAGUAAGUUUAACGGCAGGAGAUGGUAAAGUAUUCUCACCUGCUUAUCCCGCACCACGGUAAGCCCAUUCUGGAGAGCUUCUUCUAUCGGGAUCAGCUCCUUCGGAUGCAAUGAAUUCAAAUCCUCACCUUUCAUAUGCCUAUUUAUAACAACUUAGUGAUCUAUUAGCAAAGCACCAAAUAAUUUACCGAGAAAAAAGAAAACAAAAGAAACAUAAAGUAGAUCAAAGAGAAGGGCAUCCAAGACGAACCUGAGCUCGAUCUGCAUGUUGUCAUUCUCUUUCUUAAUCCGAUCGAUCUCAGCACUCAAAUUCUGAAAGGGGUUUCCACGAACUUGAAAUAAAAAAAACGAAUAAAAUACCCAUUUUUCCAGCACUCAAAUUCUGAAAUGGGUUUUCUUAAAUCUAGAUAAAAACUACCAGGGCUUCUCAACUAGAGACCAUUUUGAGAUAAACCCCUGAACCAUUAUUUCAUUUGAUUUGAACAAUUUUCAACAAUUAAAUUUGGCAAUUUUGUUGAAUUUAACUGUCGGAAAAAAGAAAUUCUGCAAAUAGAACUGCAGAUCUCAUGAACUUUUAUCGGCACCGAUUCCACGGGAGCUGUUAAUUUUAAAAUAUCUCUAACAUUUUAAAAAAUAACUCAAAACCAAAAGAGUAAACAUUGGAGAUAUCUCAUAUAAUAAUAAAAUAAAAAGAAAAUUUUAAAGACCUAACAACCUGUUCCUCAUAUAAAGUUGCAAACUUUCGCUUUCUUAUCAUUCACAUCCAUGAAAGAAAUUUUUUUAAAAAAAAGCUCCUUUUUUUUUUACAAAAACAACGUCAAAAACAGGAUUUUGAUCCGAGCAUUACCUCAUGCUUCGCAUCCCACAGCUUCUUCCCCGAAUUCUGCUGGUACUUCUCCAGCAGCUUCGGCAACCUGCAAAAUCACACCGAUCACUUCCCAGAAACCCUAGAAACCGUAGAAACCCCAGAGAAAACCCUAACCCUAACCAAAACUACUAGCACAAGGGCAUUGAUCGAGAGAGAGAGAGAGAGAGAGAGAGAGAGAGAGAGAGAGAGAGCUCACGUGGUGGAGGGGCUACAGUACUCGGACAUCUUCCCGGAGCUGGAGAAGAUGACGACGGAGACCUGGGCGUCGCAGAGCACGCUGAUCUCGCGCGCCUUCUUGAUGAUCCCGUUGCGGCGCUUCGAGAACGUCACCUGCCGAUUCGUCGAGUUCUCGAUCCGCUUGAUCUCGAUCUUCCCCCGCCCCAUCCUCCUCUCCCCCUCCCUCUCUCUCUCUCUCUCUCUCCUCUCACUCUCCCUCUCUCUCCCUCUCUAGGGCGAAGCAAAUGGACGAGAGAGAGAGAGGGAGGGGGCGGAGAUAAAGAGGAGCGGGGGCUAGGGUUUCCAUUGUUGGGGAGAUGAUGCGGGAGCUUUCGGGGCUGUUUGGUACGGGGAGCAUGGAAAUGGGAGGGUUUUGUGCGUACUCGAUCGAGCCUUCGAUGGCGAACGAGGGGGUGUUGGAGAGAGGGGUGACGUUUAAAAUUAUGGGGUUGGACGGGAAACGCGAAACGGAACGGGAAACGUUUUGAUGUCGAUGGUAACGGAUAUUUGAAAUAUUAUCUGAAUCCGAAUUCGGACAAAGACCGGUUUCUCCCAGCUAAACGGGUAUAGAUUAGAUAUAGAAAAUAAAAACCUAACGGAUAUGAGUAUAGAUAUGGAUUUUGUAUUUACCGGAUUCGAAUCCAAACCCGACCCAAAUCCGAAUCCGAACCCAAUAAAUUAUAUAUAUACAUAAUUUAUUUUUAUUUAUUUAUUUAAUAUAUAAAAUAUUUAAUAAUUUUUAUUCUUUAAAUCUUCAUUUAACGGUAUGGAAUUUUAAAACCCGUCGGGUUUGGCUCUCGGUUCGGAUUUCUGGUUUUUGGUCGGAUACGGAUAUGGGUAUGAAUUUUUAAAACCCGCUGGAUUCGUGUCCGAAUAUGGGUUUUAAUUUGAUUUUCGGGUUCGGGUUCAGGUUCGGAUUCGGGUUCGGGUUUUUAAAAAUCCAACCCAAACAUGACCCGUUGACAUGUUUGUACCGAAAAAUUACGGCUAAAUUACACUUUGACCCUCAAACUAUGAGGAUCGCCGUAGAGUCCUCUAAUUUUAAUUUAGUUAAAAAAAAAAUUAAGAAAAACUUCAAAUACCACAUCUAUGAUUUUAUAUUUUCACACUUUAAUACCCAAUGGUUUGAAAUGUAUCACUUUAGUAUCCAUUCUGUGGUUUUUUUUUCUCUCUUUCGUCAGCACCUCCGUUAACUCUUUAUUAAAUAAUAUAGAAAAAAAAACUUCAAAUACUUCACCUAUGAUUUAUCAAAUAUUUACUUUAGUACUCUAUGGUUUACUAAAUUUUUACUUUAAUAUUUCGUGGUUUUAAUUUUCUUACUAAUUAGAUAAAAAAAAAUUAACGGAGGAAUAAUAAAAAGGAAAAAAUAAAAUCACAUGAUACUGAAGUAAUACACUUUAAAUCAUAUGGUACUAAAGUGAAAAAUCGUGAAACCACAAAGGUGGCAUUUGACAUUUUCCUAAAAACUAUAAAAUUUAUCUUAACUAUAGCUCACUUAGAUUUGAUUAUCUAAGUUUUAAGAAUAUUAAUUUUACUAUCUCAUCUUUUAAUUUAUUAGAUUUGAACCAAUUGAAAACUAAAUGAAAAAAUCAAACAACUAACCUAAGGGGUCAUUUAGUUGGAUAUAAUUAUAAAUACUAUGUAAUUAGAGAUACAGACAAUUAUAAUUACAUGCAUCUUGUUUAGUUGGAUAUAAUAAAUAGCGUCACAAUUAUAAAUAAUUCGUUUAGUUAUAUGCAAUUGAAAAUUGUAUAUUUACAAAUUUAAAAGGUUAUUAAGAAAGUAAAUUUAUAUUUUAUUUAAAGUUAUUUUCUCCAAAUGAUGCAGUUGAGACUGCAACCAAUUUCAGCAUAGUUCUAAUUGAUGCAGUUGAACUUUCUGGUACACUUCCAACUUCGAUAGUUAUAUUCAAAUACAUCAAACUAAACAACAGAUUUAAAUUUAAAUGUAUUUAUGGCUGCAGUGUAAUUAUCAUUAUUUACAUCCAAAUAGCCUCUAAAAGAAAAUUCAAUAUUCAGAACAUUAACGGACCUGUGGAUGAAACUUUCGUCAGACUGACUCAACUGUAGCUGACCCCCCCCCUUUUUUUUUUUUUUCUCGCGUCUUCUUGUCACUUGCCGAGGCCUUGCUGCCUCACCCAUAUAGCUUAAUUCACGUUCUUACUGAAUGAAGCGGGUAGCGUGCUACCUUUCUCUCAAAAAAAAUAUUCAGAACAUUGAUUUUUAAAAAUUAAUUUUUCAGAACCAACCAAAUAAAAUAAAAACCAUGUGCAUUGAACUGUAAAUUUUUAUAAUAAAAUAAAAAUAAAACAAGCAAAUUUGCUAUCCUAUUAAAUCUGCAAUAAUAAUUUUAAGGCUAAAUUACAGAAAAUUUUCCUGUCAAUACCCGUUUUUUCACUUUCUCCCGUUGUCAUUUAAAAAUCUACACUUUGCCCUACACUUUGCCCCCUUGAAAAAUGAAAAAUGUUCACUUUGGCCCCCCGACAUCAGUAUUCCGGUGUUAUCUUUCUACUUGUUUAAGCAGUGCUUUCCCUACCUUUUAGAUCACUAGGCUUUUAUGCUUAUUAAUAAUUAAUUGGGUAAAUAAAUGCCACCCAUGUUUAUCCCAGCUUCUUGAUUCUUCGUUAAUAUUUCGCUAAAUUCUAUAUAAACAACUUCAAAUACCCCACCUAAGUUUAUCGAAUAUUCACUUUAGUACCCUUUUUUAGGUUUAACUUUAUCACUGAUUUAACGAAAAAAAUUAGUGAAAUAGAUAAUAAAAAGAUAAAAAUAAAACCACAUGACACUAAGGGCGCGUUUGGUUCAAAGUCGGAAUCGGAAUUAGAAUCGAAAUAAGGUGGAAUUGGAAUCGGAAUGAUUCAUUACCUAAUUCUGUUUGGUUUGUUACAUGAAUCGGAAUCGGAAUAAAUCAUUUCUAUUGUCGGUGUUUGGUUCAUGUAGAUAUAAAAAGCGUAAUCAAAUUAAUAUACUAACUUUAUCUUUAUAAUAUAUUAAUUUAAAUUCAAAUUAAAUAUUAAAUAUUAAAAAUUUACAUCAAAAUUUUGAAAUAAUGUCAAAAUUUUAAAUCCAUUUUUUUUAAAAAAAAAUAAACUUUGAAGUUGAGUGGAUAAUUCAAAAUAUAAAACUAAAUUUCGAUUUAUUCAAAUUCAAAUUUAAAAUUACAAUUUAAAUUUUAAUUUGAAUCCAUAAAUUCAAUUUAAGUUUUAAAUAAAAUUUGAAUAAAACUUUAUGUAAAUUAAAAUUUAAUUUAAAUUCAAAUUUAUAAGUUAGAUUCAAAAUACUUGAUUAAAUUUUAAUAUUUAAUUCAAAUUCAAAUUUAAAAAUAUAAAUUUAAUUUCUAAAUUUAAACUCAUAAUUUAAUUAAAAAAAUUGAAAAAAUAAAUUUAAUCCGAAUAAAUACCCAUUUUGCCCGGAUUCAACUUCCAAUUCGGUCUUCUAUGCCGGAUUGGAAAAAAAAGUGAUUGGGGGAUUUCCAUUCCACUCGGAAAUCGGAAUCGGAAUGAAACUCCUGCAUGCCAAACACCCACAAACAGAUUCAUCCAUUCCGAUUCCGAUUUCAUGGUGAAAAAGAAGUGAACCAAACACGCCCUAAAUUGGUACAUUUUAAACCAUAGAGUAUUAAUAUGAAAAAAUGUGAAACUAUAGAAGUAGUAUUUAAAGUUUUUCCUAAUUAAUAUUAUUGCUAUUGAAAGAAGCCCCGCACACAUUUACUUUUCCUUUUUUUAAAAAAAAGGAUUUUUUUAACAUGGAAACAAAGUGCUAUAUAUAUAUUUUUUCAAUGUAUAUAUAAUUUUGAGAAGGUUAUUUGAUUAUUAAUGUAGUAAUAAUUGAAUUAUUACUAUUAGUAUGUCCUUUUGUUUAAAAAAAUUUAUUUAAAAUUUAACAAAGCAAGCCGGUUAAAACAGUCCUUAGAAGCUCAAUAUUUUUGUUUUUUUUUUUAUUUGAGAGAUAGAUAGCACACUACCCGCUUCGUUUAUUUCAUUUAGAAAUAAACUUAGUUAGAAAUGUGAAUCAACUAGGAUUCAAACUUGGAUCUCGGGUAUCAAUCACCAAACCCUUUGCCACUUGUUCUAGGAACGGUCGGUAGCUCAAUAUUUUUGUUGAAUAUAUUGAAGUGUGGUUAUGCGAAGUAACUUGUCCACUGUUGUUUAGUUGAUAGGAAUACACGUACUGAUUGAAGUUAAUGAGUCUUUUUUUUAUCUAUUUUUUCAUAAUAAAUAAAUAUGAUGUAAGUGAAUCUUGAACGCUAAAAUCUUGGCUAACAAAUCUUUCAAUUUUUCCAAUUCAAGCGAAUCUACGAAAUUUCACUUAAAAUUCAGUGAGUAAUAGAGCAAUUAACUUAUUUUUAAAUGGUCUACACCUAAGGGGUUCUUCAAAUGUUAAGGGAUUCUUCAAAUCUUUUUUUUUUUUUUUUUUAGAAAUGCUAUUCAUACACCUGAAAAGAGAUACAUAUUAUACAUUCUACUCGUCUAAAGGUGAGAUUUUUUCUUUUUACUUGUAAUAUCAUAGGACAAGUAAUAUAAUCUCAUCCAUUAAAUGAAAUGGUGUAAAUCAUACACCCCGAAAUGGUCUAUAAUGCAAAAUGCUCUUUGAGAGUUCUGAUAUUUUGUUUUAUUAAUAUUUAAAAGGAAGAGCAAAUGGCCAUGUAAAAUUGUAACACAUACAAUUUCUUAUAAGGCAGCGUUUGGUUAGGGGAUAGGGAUAGAAAUAGAUCCUUAUCCCUCCCUUUAUAUCCAAACACUAAUUUUUUAUCCGAGAAUAGUAGUUCUCGGUUAUCCGUACCAACACCUUCAUUUUCUAUAUAAAACUAUCUAAAAUUGUUCUUAUCCACGGAAACAACUCAAUUUUCAUCCAAACAUUAUUUUUCUUAUUCCCAUACUUAUCCCUAUUCCUAUAAUAAGUAGUUCUUGUUUAUACCCGAACCAAACGGUACCGUACACAAGAACAGAUUCUGUAAUGCAUAUGAUUUUUUUUUUUAAAGCUAGGCUUAGGUUGAAGAUCUCUCUCUAUGUGUAGUCUAAUCAUGUCAUGUGACAUUCUAUGCUUCAUUUAAUGUGAAAGCCAAAGACAUGACAAACACAUGGGAGAGGAUUCACUGUUAAAAAGAUGAGGCAUGGAGCUUUAUGCACUCAAUCUACAUCACAUGCCAAUUUAGGUAAUUGCUGAUGCACCACUCAAUAAUUGAAGAAAUUAACAACAAGAAAAGAAAAAGAUAAAGAGUCAGAUUAAUUGCUUCGGUUUGACAUUGAGGAAACUAUGGUACAUUCCGCAAAAAAAUCUGAUAAAAAAAUAUUUUGUUUAUUUUUAUGCGUAAUAUCACGUUUUAUAUAUAUCAUAGUAAGUCGAUUGCAAUAUACAUUUUACAAUUGCAUCGAAAAAUAAAAAAAAUAUAUUAUUAUAUACUUUAACCGUAAAUCUAUUGAUGUUGAAAUAACCAAGUGCCCUUCUUUUUUUUUUUUGUUUGGAUUUUUUGACCGGUUUUAAAUUUAAAGGCUAAUUUGUACAAAAAUGGAAUUUACUAGUUUUACGUCUUUGUAAAAGUGAACCAUUUUUUUCGUUUUUGCUAAUUCAGGGUUGAAGUUUUAAAAACUAAUAAAAGUAUCCCUAUUGUCUCUUCUUUCUCUAUUUCUCCUCCACUUCCUCUCACUCCUCUUCCUCCUCCCCCGGCCCAGGGUUGCCACUGCGCUCCUUCCCGACCUCGCCCACUCGUGAGAUGAUAGUAACGAAGCUUAAGUUGCUAAUCGUUGUGGCUUCUCUCGACAUUUUUCGACGAGGUCGUGGCGGUAGCUAGAGACGAGGGUAGCCCUGCUCGGAGCGUUGGCGGACAUAAAAAACGGAGGUCACAGAGGAGGAGGGUGAUGAUCGCUGGUGAUGCUGCCGAAGCAGGUUUGUGAGCAGGUUCGCAACGACGAAGUGAUGGCAACGGUAGUGAGAAAGAAAAUUUAGCAGAUGACACGAAGUUGCACUAUUUUAAAAAAAUAAUACAAUUUUGAACACAUAUUAUACUAUUUACUAAGAAAGUUACACUAUUUGAUACGUAAAAUAAACUAUAAAAUAGUACGAUUUUUUACUAAAUAGUGCAACAUAUAUUUAAAUAGUGCAAUUUAUUUUUAGAAUAGUGCGACAUCAUGUCAUCUGCCAGCUUGUUCUCUCUUACUACCGCCACCACCUCACCUCGGUCAACUACGCUUGCACAGCGAACAUGCUUUGAAAAUAUUCUUGGUCGGCGAUCGUUGCCCUCCUCUCCUUUGCCUCCUUGUCUUCGCCUCCGACGAAGCUUUGAGAGGCCAUGACGAUGAACAAGCAAGUUCAUCAUCUUCCUCUUGCACGUUUGGAACACCACAAUGCAGAUGGAGGAGUUGAUAUGAAGGCAGCAGAAGUGGGAUGAAAGCUCGAGACUGCCAAUGGCAGCCUCAAUAUAGGCUAGUGUGAAGGGGGUAGAGGAGAGAAAUAUAGGGUGUUUAAGGUAUAAAGAUAUUUUGGUCAACUUUUAAAUAAUUCCGUCCGAAUCUAUAAAAAUAAAAAAAGUGAUCGAUUUUUGUAAAAAUGCAAAACUGUUCAUUUUUUUAUGCAAAAAGACCUUACUUUAACAAGCAAUUAACUAAUGCUUGAAAAUAUUAAGAAGUACGAAUUUUUUGUACCAAGCUACUCAACCCACCAUUUACACCAAACCAUAGGGUUCAAAUGAAUGGUAUUAUGCAUAUCCAAAGAAUGAGUAAGAGUAAAAUGUUAACUGCAUUAAUUAGUUUUUAUUGCCCAAAUAUUACUCCACCAUCUAUUUCUAAAAGUGAACAUGAACUCCUCCAAAAGAAAAAAUAAAAAAAAAAGUUGGUCAUGUGAAAAAUCUUUUUGAAUUCUCUUUUACGCCUAUCCCUAUUUAAAAUUUACCACCCAACAUUCAAAAUUUAUAUCUUAUUGGAGAUAAAGAAGAAGAGAAGGGGAUCACACAUUACGCAUGCGCCAUGCGGAGUCAUCAUCUAUCAUGAGAGUAGAAGAAGAGGAAAAUAAAUUUAUAAAGCUUAGAUUUACGUUUCUAAAAACAGAAAAAACUAUCUUCCUACUUUCACAAUACGUGUUGCGCUGUAUCAGCCAACUAUGCAUUUUCUCCGAGUUCAUGGCCCAGCUCGUCUCGCUCGGAAAACAAUCUGUUAGAAACGCGAAGCAACUAACCUUCGAACUUGAAACCUCGAGUAUUAACCAACAAAGUCUUUAGCCAUGUGCACUAUAAGUAUGAUUGGUUAGCUUAAUUUUUUUUUUUUUUUUUUUUUUUUUUAGAAAUAGGUAGCAAGCUACCUGCUUCAUUCAUUAAGCGAAAUGAACUAAGCGUACAUGAUGGAGACAGCUAGGGCCUCCUGAAAGAGCCGAGCUUAAAUUAUAUUGAAGACGCAAGAAAAGGAGUUUUACAUAAUAUUAAAGGAAAAAAAAGGUUAUUGGACCGUAUUGGGCCAGGCCAUGGGCUGCGAAUGGCACAACCCAACAUGAUCCAUGGUCAUGCCGGCCCGGGAACUAUCACGACCACGCACGGCCCGUGGCCACAGUAAAGUUUCGGGGUUGUUCGGCCUACCUUUUGAAAGCGAUUUUGGGCUCAAAAGUGAAUGUCGCUCAAUAAAGCGUUUGGCAACUUUAUUUUCAAAAUCUGAUUUUGAUUUUUGAGAAUCAGCUUUUUAAUUUUCGAGGCCCAAAAUUGGAAGUAGCUAAAAUCUGCUUCUUGAAAUUUGAUUUUGAGUUUGGACUCAUAAAAUUUAAAAUUUAGAUAUUAAAUUUCAAAUUAUAAAAUUUAAAUUUAAAUUUUAAAUCUCAAAAUUUAAAUUUUAAUUUUUAAAAUACAAAAUUUAAAAAUUCAAAUUUAAAAUUUAAGAUAAAAUUUAAAUUUUGAAAUUUUAAGAUAAAAUUUAAAUUUUGAAAUUUUAGAAUUUAACAUUUUAAUUAAAAAUUAAAAAAAAUAAAAAUUAAAAUUAUACGUUUUAAUUUUUCAAAUUACAAAUUUUAAUUUUUAAAAUUCAAAUUUUAAAUUUAAAAUUUUAAAUAUUAAUUUUAAAAUUUAAAUUUUAAAAAAAAUUUAAAAUUUAAAUUUUAAAUUUUAAAUUUCAAAUGUCAAAUGUCAAAUUUUAAAUUAGAUUUUAAAUUUGAAAUUGAAAAUUUAUAUUUAGCUUUAAAAAUUCAAAUUGUAAAUUUUAAGUUUUCAAAUUUCAAAUUUAUUUUUUAAAUUUAAAUAUCAAAAUUUAAAUUUUUUACAAAUUUUAAAUUUUAAUUCAAAUUUUAAAUUAUUUUAAAAUAAAAUUUAAUAAAAAUAUUAUCAUAUGCAGAUAUUAAUUUUUUUUGCUAAACAUAUUUACAAAAUCACUUUAGAAAAAUCGUUUUUUUUUAAAUUCAGCCAAAUGCUCUAUAGUUUCUAAUCAAAAUCAUUUUCCAAACUAAAAUCAAUUUUGCAGAAAUUACUUUUUCAGAAUUUAGCUAAACGGCCCGUAGGCAUAAAAUUUGAAUUAAACCGGACAAAAAUUGAGCUCCAAUAGUGUGAAACAACUGUUUUUUUUUUAAAAAAUAAUAAUAAUAAGAACUUCUAAAAUGGAAUGGGUGAGAGAAAAAUAAUAAUGAUUGAAGGGUUGAGAUGGAUUUGGUAGCAAAAUAAUGCAUCUUAAUCUAUUAAGAAUGGAGCCAGUAAUAUUAGAGUAUUUUCCUAAAGAUCAGUGCGAUAAGAAAUGGUCCAAGGAAGCUUAUUUGCAUGAUAAAUAUAAAAAAUACGUAAAAUUUUAAUCUAUUGAAUUAAACUACCUUGCUUAUCUGCAUGAUAGAUAUAAAAAAAAUACGUUAUAUUGACUGAUAAAAUAAAAGAUGUAAUUUUAAUCCAUUAAAUUAGAUCUUUGUAAAUGUCAGAAGCUUACAAUUCGCCCUAAUAUCAUGUCAUGUAAGAUCAUGUUUGAUAACAAAAUAUUCAGAGGAAAAAAUGUAUUUUAUCGUGUUUAUUCUAUCAAACUGAGUAAUUUUUUUAUACUUUGCCUUGUUUAUGAUAGGGAAUGAGCUUGAAAAAAUAUGUUUAAAUUUCGUUUGUGAUUGCAAGAAAGUUAUAUUACAUACUGUGAGAAAGUACGAUUGGAAAAUAUCAUUUUUUUUCCAAACGUAAUAUUUGUUUUGUGUAUCGUGAUGAGUCGGUUACAGUAUAUUUUCCGCGGUCUCAUCGAAGAACGCAGAAGCAUAUCUCUGUAUGCUUUUACCCCAACUCCAUUUUAUUUAAUAGUAUCAGAUGGACCUUAAUACUAAACUAAGCCUUAGGCUUCAUUUGGGAUUACAAGGAGAUUACGUUGCGUGCUGUGAAAAAAUAUGAUGGAAAAAUAUUAUGUUUGUUUUCGUAUAUAAUAAUGCAUUCUGCAUAUCGCAACGAGUCGAUUAUAAAAAAAAAAAAAUUGCAUUUCGCAUAUCGCAAUGAAUCGAUUAUAAUAUAUUUUCUGCGGUGCCACCGGAAAACACAAAAGUAUAGUCCUAUAUGCUUUUAUCCCAUCUCUAUUUUAUCUAAUAACGUCAAAUGAGCUUCAAUAUCAAACUAAGGCUUAAUAGAAAAAACCAAAAAUAAAAUGGACUGAUUAUUUUUUUAUUUUAUAAUUACAUUUCUUCUUCAGCCUUUGGAUGGAGUGGGUAUAAAAUGUACACUUUUUUUUGGUUAUACUAAAAACCAUUUGUUUUUGUAACUUAAAUUGAAAUAUUUAUAAGAUUCACUAGUGAUUUACCAAUUUAAUAGUUCCAAUUAUUAUUUAGCAAGAAAAUCUAAGAUAAUUAAUGACUGGUAACUACAUUUAAGGAGAAAUUCAAGGUAUCUAUCCAAAAAAGUAAAGUUUGGAGGGUCUAUUUCAAAAUCGACUCUAGCAGAGGGGGUCUCCUUGCAUUAAAUAAUAAUAAUAAUAAAAUCUAACAACUUCAUUAAGUAUUAAUAAUCAUUAAUUACUCUAAUUAUCUUUACUAUAUGGAGAUCAAAAUUAUUAAAUUUGAUAAAAUUAAACGCAAAUUUUAUAAAAUAUUUAAUUUAGUUGAUAAAACUCAUUUAAUUAUAAAAAAACAAAAGUUGAGAUAUAUCAAUCCAAAAAAAAUAAAAUUGAGGGACCAGUUUAAAAUUUCUUAUAAAUGAAGGGGCCUGCGUACGUUUUAAUUCUUACCCCAUUUGGUAAGAGGCGAGUGGGGAGCAAAAAGAUUCAGUGCAUUUAAUUCAGUACGAAUUAUACGACUAGUCCCUUACAGUUAGCUUAAUUUAAUUUUGGUACUUGUGUUUUAAAUUCGAUAUUCAAGACCCUAUACCUUAGUAAUAUUUUAUUUUAGUUCAUGAAUUUUUAAGAGUAUUUUAUUUUAAUCCAUAUCUCGGAGUAAAAUUUUAUUGUUGUAUUUAUUUUAUAUGUAUAUUUAUUCAUACGAAUUCAUCGAUUCUCCAUUCAUUUUAUACUUUUAAAUGUAAUAAUUUAGCUUCAAGUAAAGAAAAUAUUAUAACUCAAACUGUAUUAGAGUUAAAAUAUAAUAUAAAAUAAAUAAUCUAAAAUAUUUAAAAUAUCACUACUUUAUAAUUUGAGUUUUUCAAGAUAAACGAUUGUUUAGGUGUAGAAAAUAAAUAUUAAAAAUAUGGUUAUAUGAUAACUUGAGGAAGACGGUUAUUUAACGUCUAAGUUAAGACAUGAUAAGUUCUAUUCAAUUUAACAGAUACGGGUUAUUUUUUUAUAUUAUUUGACAAUAACUUUACAACUAGAUGGGUAGAAAUUCAAUUGAUAAAUUGCAUAUUUGGUCCUCAAGUUAUAAGACAAAUGAUAUAUUUAGUCCUCAAAUUUUAAUUUAUUAUAAUUUUUUGAUCGAACUUUUAGGAUUAUUACAAUUAAGUUCAACAACCCAAUUUAAUCAACUAAAUAUUAAUACAUCACUAGUAUAAGAGUGAUGUGAUAUCUUAAUUAUUAGCGUAUUAUCAAGCACAACACUGCUAUAUUACUUCUACCACAGUGAUAUUUCACUGUUUAGACAAUUAAAUUGGGUUAUAAAACUUAAUUGUAAUAAUUUGAAUCAGAAAUUCUAAUAAAUUAAAGUUUAAGGACCAAAGUGUCACAACAAUCAUAGUUUGAGGAUCAAACAGGUUAAGGGCGAAAUUGGGCACGAGCAGGACGUUGGGGACUUAAUUGUAAAAGUUUAGGGUGCUCCCAUGUAAUUUUCCCUGAAGAAAACAUUAUAGGGGUCUUUUUGGUCGCGCAAAGCAUUUUCCAUUUGGUGAGCGUGGAGUGGCGAGCAAUGGUACAGUACAUUUAACGCAGUGAAAAAAAAAAAUAAAUUAAAUUAAAUUAAAAAAAAAGACAAAAAAAAAGAAAAAGAAAAAAGAGAGAGCGCUUGGGCUCUUCUCCGCAAUAAUCCCGCGCGAGCUUCUCGUUUUCGUCCUCCCCUGCAAACCCCACCCCCUCUCCCCGACAAAAAGCGUGAGCACACGCCGAGGCCCCAAAUCCCUCCCAAUUUCGAAACCCUACCUCUCCGAUCCCCACAAUCCCCGCUCUCAUCCCAAUCCCCCAUGUCCUAGAACCCCCCCUUCUCCCUCCCUCCACCAGUGGACCCCAUGGAGCCGGCUAACCCUCCGAAUGUGGCGGCGGCGGCGGAGGUGGCGGCGCAGUCGCCGGAGGAGGAGCGGAGGAUGCAGUUCUACGUGGAGCUGAAGCCGGGGGAGACCACCAUUGUGUCGUGGAAGAAGCUGCUCAGGGAGGCUGCGAAGGAGGGUGGGGAUUCGGCCCCGCAAGUCGGGGUCGAUCCGGUGUUCGCCGACCAAGCUGGUCCUUCUGGUCCGGUAGGGUUUCGGCGCUUUUUUUUUUGUUGUUGGUGUUUUUUCUUUGCUCUUCUAAUAGGUAGGUUUGUUUAAUGUGUUUUAAUUUCAGAUUUAUAUGGGUAUACCAUCGCCAAAGUACUUUUUUUUUUUUUUUCCUUUAAAGAAGGGAUUUUGUGUGGUAUUAACCUGAUAUACUUGCCAUCUUUGUUGAUCUCAGUUCAUCGAUAGGAUUAAUCAUAAAGGUUCUCGCUUUGUCUUUGGAGAAAACACUGGAAUUUUGAGUACAUUUGGUUGAACCUAUAUCGGGAAUUAUACCUGAUAUACUUGCCGUUUUAAUCAAGGUUUAAAGUGCCGUGGUACGGGAGCGUGUCGCUAUCUGCCUGGCACGGUGUGGUACCGGCACGCUUCCGUGCCGACACAUGAUACAUGCACGCUUUGGUACGGACUUAUUUUAAAUUUUUUUUUUUUUUAAUCUCAAUAAGCUCUUAUAAUAUUAUUUUGAAAAUUUUAAUCAAAUAAUUAUAAAUAUUUGCUAUGUAUAUCUUACUAUACUUAUUAAUUAACAUACUUGUAAGCUUUUUUGUAUGUAAAGUACAACUAUAUCUGAUGUAGAAUAGAAAUUUUUAUAGGUUAGAGUUUUUAAAAUGCGAAGAUAUCUUUUUCUCUUUUUUCUUUUGACCAUAUUACAGUCUUUCUUUUAUAAAAUACAAAAAAAUUAUUUUAAAAAUUAUUUUAAAAAUCAUUUUUUAAUUAUUUUAAAAAUUAUUUUUUAAUUAAUUUUUUUUUAAAAAAUAGUAGAUCUAUCAAAAAAAAUUUAAGCGAUAAAUUAUAUGACAAAUAAAUUAAAUAAAUUUAAGUAUCAAUUGAUUUAAUUUAAUUUUUAAUUUUAUCAGUAUUUUCAAUCUUCUAACGCAAAAAUAAAAUUUUAUGUUUGAUGUGCUUCAAAAUUUAUUUAUUGAGUUCGAUUUUGCUCCCCUAAUUCCGCAAAAGUUUCGCGGUAUUACAAAUUUUGAUAAAAUAAUUUGUAAAGAAAAAAUGGAUGUAUGUGGCGGAAGCGGAGGGUUCGGACCGAUCGGAUAUGUAAAUUAAAAAUUUGCCCUAUAUUGAUAAACAAAAAAAAUUAAAUUAUAAUUUUUUUGACUUGCCUAACAAGUAAAUAUUUAAUUUGUAAUGUCUUUGGGAGAUGUGGGGUACCCAGAAUACUUUGAAUACCCCAAAAAACAAAAAAAAAAAAAAACAAAAUGCAAAAAAAAGUGCACAGUGCUGGCACGGCAUUGUACCCCGGCAUGCGUCACUAUGCUGCUCUAUCUCGUGCGGCAUGGCCUUGCUUGCCGGGGUCUGAGACCCCCUCGUACCAUGCCCCCUUUUUGGGGCACGGUACGUAUCGCCCCGUGCCGUACAAUCCUUGGUUUUAAUCGAUCUCAGUUUAUUGAUAGGAUAAUUCGUAAAGGUACUAACUUUAUCUUUGGACUUUGGAGAAAGCACUGGCUUUUGAGUAAAUUUCGUUGGACUUACGUUUAGUGAGGAUAUAUAGGCUAUUGUUUUGUUCAUUUUUACCAGUACCGAAAUUCUAAUCUGAUAGUGAUUGUAGUGAUAGAGAAUAGUUGAAGCUUUAUUACAGAACACGCACGAGGAACAUGGAGAUUUCCUAAAGGUGGUAAAUUUCAUAAACUAGCACCAGAUUACAUCAAGUUGGAGUCCAACUCAAGAAACUCAUCUCAGGUCCAAAUUCUGGAAUCUAAACAGGGAUUACGGAACUCGACACUUAGCAAGAUGUUGAAUUCCGGAAUCUGGAAUUUGCUACCAAACUCUGGAAUCUCAACAUCGCGCAGAAACAUACUUUCGGGUUCUGGAAUUCCUAAAUCAAAUUCUGGAAUUCCAACUCCAGUCAAAAGUUCACACUUUUGGAUUCCGAAAUUCCUUCACCGAGUGUUGGAACCUGAACAUCCAGUAACUUGUUUUCUUCGGCUUUUCUCCGUGACAUUGACUCGGAAUGUGGCUUCAUCUCGAUCCAACAAUAUUAACAUGAUACCAUGAAUGCGACGUAUUUCAUACAAAAAUGAAUAAACCAUAGGCAUCUUAUAGACAGAAAGAAAAGCCAAAAUAAACUGAAAAAAAAUAUCAUGCACUAAAAUUUGAUACAUCAAAUUGGACUGCGAUUAUCUGUGAUGUUUGCUUUGUUUUUACUUAGUAGGAAUCAGAAAAUUAGGGAAAAAUCCACACUCUUGUUACCCCAAUUGCUAACAUGCAUAAUUCAUACGUACUUGACUAGUCUCAGUGGUUCCAUACUUGGAAUCCGCACGCUCCUCUACCACGGCACUUAAAUCCUUGGGUGUUAUUACUUUGAAACUUGCUAUAUUUGCUUGAACAACAUGAAAGUGUCUUAUUGUGUGUCGUUUUUCUAUUUUAAGAUGUAUGUUUGGCACUCGGUAUUGUCAUUGAUACUUAAUUGAGGAUACAUUACUAGACAUCUUUUCAUAUAUAGGAUGUGACAUAAUUAAUAAUAUUUGGUAAUAUAUGAUGCUUUUCUAUGAUCACUUCACCUAAAUUGACGAUUCUUGUUUAUUAGAUUAUACCUGCUGAAAAUGAACUGAAGGAUGAUCAACCACCUCAGAACAGAUUUAGCGCAGUCAUUGAAAAAAUUGAACGCCUAUAUAUGGUAAGAAUAUGUGACUGGAAUCUAUCAUGUUUUAUAUUUACUGUAUCAAUAAAGUGCAAGAAAUCAGAAAAUUGCAGGACAUUUUGCAAGUUGAAGUUGUAUUUGUAUGUCAGUCUUGCUUGUUUUAAAGUAUGUUUUUCUUUAAUUCCCUAUUGACUCAAAGGUCAUUUAUUUAGGGUAAGCAAAGCAGCGAUGAGGAAGAACUUGAUGACAUUCCUGACGAUGAUCAAUAUGACACUGAGGAUUCGUUUAUUGAUGAUGCUGAACUGGUUGGGUUUCCUUAUAUAUUCUGCAGAAGAUGAACUAUUUAUUAUAAUGCAUAUUAUAAGAAUAUAAAACUGAGUUUUCGUAUGUGUAAAGGAUCUAAUAUAGUUAUUUGUGGCGUAGUUUCUCUAUUACUAUUUUAUCUGAACAGAGUGAUGUCUCUCAGUAGUUGGGAAUUCACCAAUUGGCAUGGUUCCAUAUAUAUUUACUCUAAUAUUGAUGGCUUGGUGCUGUUCAUCUAGUUGUAGAAUGUCGCCCCUGUCAUAGCAAAUUAAAUCCAAUCUUUAGUAGAUCAGUGUACAAUGAAUUGAGAUUGUUUGAUUGAAUUAUGGCUUUUGUUAUAAUGUUUAUAUGGAAUGUGCCUUUUCCUUUGCAGGAUGAAUAUUUCCAAGUUGACAAAUUGGCAACUAAACACACUGGUUAUUUUGUCAAUAAAGGAAAGUUGGAACAGAUGUAAGACGUUAAGCACCUGGUUUGAAAAUAUGGUUGUAUACAUAUUAAUGCCUAGCUUUGUUAGUUUUUCUUACAAAUUGAUCUAGUGGAGGAAGAAGAUCUCUAAUAUUAUGACCCACAAUUCUAUUUCUCCAUCUGUCCAGCUCUUACUCAUUCAUUUUGGCUUUUCUGCUAUUCUAUCUCUGCAUAUUCGUUUAACUAUUUUCUUAUCUAUUAUCAGUUUUCUCCUCCAUAAUUAUAAAUCAAAGUAAUUCAUUAGUUAUGUAAGUACUCAGAAUUUCUAGUAAUUAUUAAGAUUCUCCUGGUCAGAACAUAAACUAAUGUGUAAAAGCGAAGAGGUAGAAGAUUCAAAACAUUAGAAAAUAACACUGACCUUUUCCCUCCAUACGACGUUUAGAUUUAAGAAAAACUAGUUGGGCUGAAAAUGAUGCUCUUAAUCAUUUGAACAACUCUUUUAGAGCCCGUCUACUACGAUAAAUACAUCUCUUUGAGUUCAUGCCGUAAAUUGAGAUUUUUUUAAACCUUUUGGACUCUCCUUCACGGAAAUGAUUAUGAAACUCUAUGGAUCUAAACUUUCCUAAAAAGAUUUUCAGAGUCCAUCUAGGAUACUCUAUAUGUUAUCGACAUUUCCAAGAAAUAUAAUCGACUCAGUACAAGUAAAUGUGAAUUAAUUACAAACCAAAAUCAUGAGAUUUGACUUAAAUAAUUUGAAUAAAAGACAAAAUCAGAGUCAAAAUGGAAUCCGUUUAAUUGACGUGAUUCUGAUUGCACCACCGGACAUAUUAUCAGGGGUCAGUAAGUUGGUGCCAGAACCUCUUCGUGAUUCGUUAUCACAUUAUUUAUGUUCUCUAUCAUUUUGACUUAUUAUGGCCGAUUUUUCGAGCUUACCUGUAAGAUCAUAAACUUUCGUAAAUUUUGAUUGUCAUCUCAACCAUCAACACCUAUAAUUAGUAUAACCGUGAGUCCUUUUAUUUUUCUUCAAUAAUAGGGAGUUAUUUGCGUGAGUCCUUUUAUUUUUCUUCAAUAAUAGGGAGUUAUUUGCAUUACUUACCAUUUUUCCAUUCAUGAUUGCUUUCAAAUACACUCAUUUGCGUAAUUAGGUCAAAAAAUGUUAUGAAAACAUUUUUUUGAUACACCUAUUACUUUUGAACAGCGAACCUAGCUCUACACCUAAUGUUAUGCUAAACAGAAGGAGAAGAAAAGAUUCAACAAAAGUUCGUGGAGAAAAGGAUCGAGAUCAUGAUGCUAGCAUGGGUGAUAUGCAGAUGAUAACUGUUGCAGGCAGUGCUUCUGUCGCAAGGGGAAAGUCAUCAAGUAGAGAUUUGGGUCUCUAUGGUGAACAUUUUCACGAAGAAAGGAGACGGAUGAAAAAUUCAUUAAAGGCCCCCACAGCAGUCCUUAAAAAGAAAUUUGGCGAUUACACAUCCAGUGUUGACAAUCCAACAUCUGCAAAGCUUUCGGAUAAUAUUGUCUUGUCUCUGCCUUCAGUGCGGAAGGAAUUCCAGAGACAUAAAGCUGGUGCUUCUUCACAUUAUGAAGGUCAAAUAAAGAAGUCAUCGCUUAUUGACGAAAAUGCCAGAGCAAAUAAAGUACGGCGCAAAGAACACUAUGCAGCUGGUGAAUUUGCUGACAUGAACAGUUAUGGAAGUGUCUAUCCUACACAAACAAUAGUAAGUAUCCAUUUGUUUCGUAAAAAGUUAAGAAUUACUCUCUACAUUCUUAGCUUAUGGGUAUGAGCUUUCCUUUCGAUACAUUGAGGCUAUUAAGUUAAAAUGAUUCAGUGCUUCUCUUAACUUAGGUAAUGUAUAUGAACCAUAUAAUCUCUUUCUUUUCUUUUCGACUGUGGUUGGUAGAUUGAACUGUGACAGGUUUUCUCCUUGAACAUAUGCUUCUUUUCUGUUUUGAAGUUGCAGCAGCAUGGUGGGAACAAGUUGAAUAUUCUGUUACUUUGUUAAACUCUUUGUAGCCCUAUCCUGAGCUUUACAAUCUGUCUAGUAGGCCAGCAAAGACACUUGAUAAAGCAGAUAGUUCUCUAUUUUUGAGAUUGUUGUUUAUUAUAAUCCAAUAUACAAGUGCCGUUUUAUCCAGUUAAAUCUAAAGAUUCUAAUACAGGCAUUCAAUUACUUGUUCAUUGGAUGCCACACCAUUUGUUUUAUGCAAAAGUGUAUAUAUCUUACUAUGGAUUUGCAUAUUUGGAAAGUAGUACCUGAAUUUGAAAAUUUUGGUUUUGCGGCCUAAAUUUUCAGGACUGAUAUUUCAGAAAAUCCGUUAAGUUCCAUAAGAAGUUUUAACUAUUUCCCUCAAAAGAGUUGUAGGAUAUUCUGCAAUUAACAUAAUAUCCUGUUUAAGUUAUGAAAUUUUCAUCAGAACCAUUUGAAAUACAGUUUGAUUCUGAUGGAGACGUACUUAAAUCACACAUAUUGUGAGUCAGGCAGUUAAAUCAAAAUAUUUACAAGUCAGGUAAAAUUAAAAUGCACUAUUGUAAAGGUAUGUAUUCUUAGCUUUAUCUUAUAUUGCAUUGUUCUUGAUUCUGAUUAAACUGUUUUUUUCUGUUUGUCUUUUGCAGCAGCCAACAUAUGCUAAGGAGAAGGAAGGUUCUUCUAUGAGGCCUAAGGGCACGACACUUGAGCGAGCUAUUCGUGACCUUGAGAAGAUAGUUGCAGAGUGUAAGUUCGCCACAAGUUCUAAUCUGCUUCUUGAUUUGAGGAUUGUUUUGUCGAGUACAUUGCUGUUGGAAGAUUUGACUUCAAAGAUUCUAAGUUUUCUUACAGCCAGACCACCAAGUCAUGAUGUCCAUGUUGUGGAUCCUGCAACUCAAGGAGCUAAAAGGAGAUUGCCUCAGGAAGUAAAGCAAAAGCUUGCUAAAGUUGCGAGAUUAUCGGUAUUCUGUUGAUUUAACCUUUUCUAUUGAUUUUUGUAUGCGUAUCAGUCUGUUACCAAGGAUAUAACUGUGAAUAAAUGCUAUAUGUUCCUCUGGAAGGUCCUUCAAGAUGAGUCAACAUUGUGCACAUUGAAGCUAGUGGUUUGUUUAACUUUUUAGAUAUGAUGGCUAUGUCUAUUGUCUUGUUUGAAAUUUAAAGUUAAACCAAUCGUACAUUGCCACACUGAUUCAUCAAAAAUUGUUCUGAGAGGGACCUUCUGAGGUGCAUGCAGCAUUACCCUAAUUGUGGAACAACCCCUGCUGUUUUGGAACCUGUCGCGAAAUGUGCCAUGGCACGUGCAAUUCAGACUGUCUCCUUGGACAUUGAAACUAAAAAAAGAAGAGGAGAAAAACAAGUAUAAUGUGAAGUUUUUGUUGCUGACAUGGUACGUGCUGCUCUAUGUGGCUGUCACAGUUUGCAUGGGAAUCCUAGUUUCUACAUUGUUAAAUUUUGAAGCUAAUGGAACUUGUGACCAUCUUUGUUUUUAUAUCCUAAUUGUUCAGAAAUAUUCAUAGGUGAAGUCAAAAUACUUCAGCAACAACAUUUAACCAUCCUAUAGUGGUUCUUUCAAAAUUUCCAUUUUAUAUCCUAUAGGAUAUUUAUUGGUUUAAAGAAGAGAAAUACUUCCAAAUUACUGGUUGGAAUCUGAAUACAAAUCCACACUUCGCUGACUUUAAAGAGUAGCUAUGAAUUUUAUAGUAUUUUAUGCAGCUUUGAGGGAUGGAUUUAUGACUUGUUGCGGGAGUUAGAUCUGUGCUACUGGGUUCAAAAUUCAAAUGAUCCAUAAUUCAAAUCAUGUUUUGUUUCUUUGUCUCACUAUAUAUGUGAAAAUUUUAUUGACGCAGCUAAUUUCAACACAAAUAUGAUAUUAUAACAGAAGGUGCAUAGAAUGCAGUUAUUUGGUAGCUAAAAUGAUGAUGGGAAUUAACUUUCUGAGAACCCAUUUAAGCCACUACUCGCCUUUAGGAGUAUCCGAAUAUGUGGGUAGUAUAUAGCUUUAUAAUUCAAAGAAUUUUCUGGUAGAGUCAUAGUUGUAGCUUGUUAUUGUGAUUUCGUUUGUUUUUGGCAUUGUUGUUACUUGAGAAAUUGUUCUUGUUAUGCCUCUAGAUGGCAUCUUCGCUUCCUUCAAUCAGUAAUCUGGAUUUCCUUCUCUCUAUGGUUCAAUUGAAUGUAGUGGUUUUUAUCUGAAUUUGAAAUAUUUGUGCAAGUCUUGUACACCAUGGUCUUGCAAUGUUCUUUUAGUGCUUAUUGAAAGAUAGUAGUCAUUGUUCGUGUGGCAGCAAUGCAAACAAGAACACUCCUAUAACAAACUGACUCAUACAUGCAACUUGAACUCAACAGAAUAUAAAACCAACUCUAUGAAAUAAACUUAAAGACUGCUGGGGACUUAAUCAACACAACUUGCGCUUUUGACUAACUUGGUUGAUACGCGCUUUGAUUUAGGCUCAGAUUGGAUUCUUUAGAUUACAAAUUAAUUGGAGGUGAGAAUCAAGAUCAAGAAAAGAUGUUUUGAAUCGUUUGAUUUGAAACUAAUCAGAUUUAAUCAUGAAUUGAUUGCAUAAAUGCUAAUAAUAAAAAAGGAAAAUUAAUGAAAUCUUAUGGUGUCGAAAACAUCAAUAGUUAGGAAAAAUGUUUUGUUAGUUUUUAUUUCAUUCGUAAAACAAAACUUAAACAAUCAUAAAGAGGAAUUAUUUAGAGAGAAAGAAGAGAAUGAAGAAGACAAACAGGAGUACAAAAAAACUUUUGUUCAAUCUGUCUCAUCCAUGUAGUGAAUGAAACUCUUAAACAACUUUUUUGACUUAUUUAGAAACUCCUGACAGAAAAGGAUUUGUGCUACUAACAGCCGUUUUCCUUAUUUUCAUUCCUAUUUCGGCUUAAUUCCUUUAUACAGUUGAAACUUCUGUUGGAUCUGUUAUAAGCAACCAAAUUUUCAUUGAUAUUUUUACAGUUGAAACUUCUGUUGGAUCUGUUACAAGCAACCAAAUUUUCAUUGAUACAGGCAACACGAGGUAAAAUAUCAGAAGACGAGUUACUAGACCGCCUUAUGGGUAUUCUUGGUCAUCUGGUUCAGCGCGAGACUCUGAAGGUAAUUUUGAAAUAGAGAAGUACAAAAGCAAGUGCAAUUUGGUAUCUCUAGCCUUGAUUUCCUGCUUUUGGUUUCUUACUUAAAAUCUGCUGAAAGAUAACCUUGCGCUGUAAAAAGAGAGGCUUGCUUUGUACUCUCUAUGUGUGUAAUCCAAUUAGCAUAAUGUCAUAAGGAUAUAUAAAAGGGCGUAUAAGUAUAUCGUUAGGGUGACAAUUUAGUAGUCAAGAGAGAAGAGGAUAUAUAUGAAAGGAGAUGAAGAAUAAAGUGCUAUUUAUGCUCAAUAUUCAUCCAAAAUUAAGUAACUGCCUUAGAACAUCUUGUUAGUAUAGUUUUGUAUGUAAGUAUCACUGAUUUGAAUACUUGCGCUACUUUAGGUCUCGUAUUUUUUUAUGCAGUAUACACUAACCAAUCAUAUUUUGGUGCAGAGAAACAUUAGGCAGAUGGUUGAAUUGGGACUUUCAGCUAAACAGCAGAAGGCUGACCGAUUCCAGCAAAUAAAAAAAGAGAUCAAUGAAAUGAUCAGAGCACAUGUUUCACAGAUGCAGACGAGGGUAAACUUUAAUCAUAGAUGAUAACCCGACUUCAUUUAUCUUCCUUCUUGAAUUGUGAAAACUGAUCAGAUUUAUUUUAAUCAUUUUUGGACAAUAUUAGUUUUGGAGGUUGCAUAACAUCUGAUAUGUAUCUUGAAAUAUGAAGCUCAACUUUUUAUAUGAGGCGUCUGAAAGACUGAAAGUUUUUCAUUUCCAUUUAACAAUUAUUAUACAAGAUUUUCAUAUAUAUAUCCCAGCAAAAUCAUCUUAUACAUAUAUAUUCCCUAGAAAUCUGAAUUUUUAUAUAUGCACUUCAAAAGUGCAAUAUGAUACAAGAAGUUCCCUGAUCUUAAGUUGUGGAAUCAGCCAAUUUAAAGGGGAAUUUUGUAUCGGAUGAAAGACUUUCAAGAGCCAUACAGUCAUUAAUUUAUGGGUAUACGUGUAAAAAAAAAAUCUGAGGGGAAUUAUACCAUAUAACUAUACAGCUAUCUUUUUUUUCGACCUAAGUGUUCAUAACAUUGAAGUAUGUCUUUGCUUCACCAGGCAUCUGAACAACUGGAUGGUUCAGCUGAUGAUUUUCAGGAAGGCAUUAAUAGCAAUGUAAGAAAAGAUCUGAAAGGGAGGUAUCGCAUGGAUGCUGCUCUAGAAGACAGAAUCUGCGAUCUCUAUGAUUUGUAUGUUGAGGUACCAAAUCCAUAUCCGAGAUAUGAUAAAUUAUCUUUUCUCAAGGAUUUAACUCACUUUCCGGUCAAUCUUUAGGAAAGAGCUGCCAAAGAAGUUAAACUUUUCUUUCAGUAGAAGAAUGCUUAUAAUUGUUUGCUCACAAUAUACUUAGCCUCAUAAUUUUAUUUAAACAGCUGUAAUAUGUACAUAAUAAUUAAAAAGGUUAUCUUAUCAGUAUCUUAAUCUAUCUUUCAUCUUAGGGAAUGGAUGAAGACAAAGGCCCUCAAAGCAGGAAAUUAUAUGUUCAGGUAGUUAACAUCUCUGUUCGAUUAUAUCAUAUAUCACUUCUGCUUCCAUUUUUGUUCCAGAGAUGUUACUCACCUACCAGUGUUUGUUAAUAAUCUCGUUAUCUCUUGCCAAUGGAGUUCCCAUAUUUGUACAAUGUGUAAAAUGCAGCAGUUUAUUGAACUCUUCUUUGUGAAAUUAUGUUUAAAUACACUGUGAUAUACUGUAAGUUUAUUCUGCUCAUAAUCACAUUUUCUGUUCUGGUCCCAGCUUGCUGAGUUAUGGCCGCAUGGUUAUAUGGAUAAUGUUGGGAUCAAAGAUGCUAUAUACAGAUCGAAGGAACGCAAAAGGGCACUUUACAGGCCACACAAGGUUCUAUACUCUCAUAUAACCGUUCUAUCUACCCAUUAAUCAAUUCUACUAUUAUGGCUGCAUACACUCACAUUUUUUUUCCUGUUUAUAUACGACAAAACAUUGGUUUACCAUUUGUUAUGAUUUUUUUUGAUAUAUUUCUAUGCUCCGUUGCUGUUUCUACCCAUAAAUAGUGUUGCAAUGGUAAGUAUAGUAGUUUUUGGACCUAUAAUUUUGUUUUUUGUCAAUUUUCACUGGAAGCUGGCACCUCGUUUUGGAAGCCACUUUAUUCAUUUUAAGGAUAUAAAUCACAAGUGCUUACUAUCUAUUUAAGAAAUGCUGCUUUAUAGUGAAAAUGGAAGAUGAUAAAGGACCUAUUUAGGAAAAUUAAAACCUUUCACUGCCUGAGGUUAAGUAACUUAAAAUAGUCAUUGUUGUGUAGCUGGUUUGCACGGUUCUUCACCUAAGAUUUUGAGGUGACAAUAUGUGGUUGAAAUGAUGAAAUAGUUUCCAGUUAUUGUGAUUCAUGCGAAGAUUUUUCGCAUGUUGUCUUGAAAUUUUACGUACUUGAUAAGUGAACAGCUUAUUAGUUAGUGUUCUAUUCCUUUUUAGCUACAUUUAGACAAAUAAGUGGUAUGAAACUUUCUACAAAAGCACCUUAUCAUAUGUAUUUACAUCUAGCAAAGAAUGUACCUUGGUUCGUUUCCGUCACUCCUCAUACCUGACAUUGAUGCAUUUUCAUCGAUAAUGAAACCCUAUAAACUAUUCUACCAUCAUAUAACUAUUCUAGUUUUUUGCUGCACAAUUGCAGUUAUGUUUAUAAUAACUUGCAUUCUUAAGAGUUUCAUUCUUUUUUGGCUAGACAUGGAUUUCUAAUCAAAUCAUGUAUCUUCUUUCUAAAAUCUUUCUAUCCCUCCUAUGUUGUUUGGCAAUAUGCUCUGGUAGAAAACUUAAUUUCUAUAUAUUUACGUAAAAACAUAGAAAGCUCACCUGAACUUUGAAGAAUUAUUAUUUGACUUCCUAAUCUUUCAUUACUUUUGAUAUGAGAAAUUUCUGCUGAAGUUCUGUUCGAACUUUUAAAGUUCCCUAUAAACCAGUUACAAAACAUUUUGUCAAGUAAUAGAACUUUUCCAUUAGCUAACAAAAUAUUCUGUCAAAAAAGUUUUGCCAUCAAAUUACGGCAAAUAUGAAUUUAAAACAUUCCAUUAGUUUGUAAAAUCAAAAUGCGCUACAGUUUAGGUAAGGUCUAUACAUUUUUUUCAUCUUUUAUUUAUUCCUAUCUGGUGAAUAAUGCAUGUGCUUCAAAAUGUAGGUUCGCGACGAGGAACGGAUUAAGAGGAAAAAACUCGCCUCAGCUGUCAGGGUUGAGGUAAACAGUCAAACUAGCACUCAAGGGCGAGCCAUACAAGAGCGACCGGCUAUCGAUUCCGCUAGCCACACCAUAGUUCCUUCUAACAAGCCGCUGUCCAAUCAGCCUCUGCCUUCGCCUACUGCCGAACCCGGACUUAUCCAAGGAUCGAAAAUGAUCGACAAGGCUCAACUAGGUGGUUCAAGCGCAAUUGCCGAUUUUGAUGUGAAGAAGAAGCUGAAGAGGAAGUCGGAAUCGGAACCGGGAGAAACCCUAGUCCAUCCGCUUAAGGUUGAUGCGCAGCAUGGCAAGGAAAGAAACAAGCCUCACAAGCUGGGCGACGGUGCGAACGCGACCAACCAAGCUAAGUUGAGUCCUCAGGUAAGUGGCGGUCCUUCAGGUUCGGACCACCCGAAUUGACUUCCGUUUUUGAGGUAGCAUUUUUUUUCCCCCUUUCUUACAUGGAUGAGCUAAUGUGUUCUUUUUGUGAGCAUAGGUUGGAUGUAACAAAAAUAUUAAUGCGGUUAGGAUGUGAAUUGCUUGCUUAAUUUUCGCCUUGUUUGUUUUAGAGUUUUGUUCUCUUUGCUUUCAUUUAUUUAAUUUCCUCUUCUGUUGUAGGUGCAGUUGUUCUUCUUUCUUUUUUUCUUUUUCAUUGUUUUGGGAAGAAACCUGUUACAUAGCUUUAGCCAUUCUACAGCUGAUAUCUACAAGGAGAAAGUAUGUUUGAAGUUAUCAUUUUUGUCCCUUCUAUUCUCGCUUGAUUUCAAUUCAACAAAGAAAAAUGCUUCUCCCAAAGGGCGGCGAUCGGUUUUAGGAUAUGUGAGGCAUACGCUGUCGGUGCUGCAUACUUGUAAAGUGCGAGCAAGUAUAGGCCCUGUUUGGAUACAUAUAUUUUCAAUGCGAAGGUGAGGAGUUGCGGGAUCUUAACUUCGCACCCUAUCAGUGCGAAGUAGAGGUCACCUGCGGUACCAAAAUUCUGUGCCUCUCACAUUAUUGUGUAGCAAAAAAGCAGGCUGUUCUUCGAGAGCUCCGCCGUCAAUCCAACUGCAGGCCAAUCUGAUCUCCAGGCCAAAUGGAGAUUCAUUUGCCAUUUUACGUGUUUCCAACUAACUCUGUAUUAGUACUUAAAAGCAGAAGGAAAUGGUUGACUGUAAUAGAUCUGUCAUACAUGGGUCAGUAGUGUGGUUCAAACAGGAAAAUCUAAUUCGAGCUGUUUGAGGAAGCACCAAAAACUUUCGCAUUACAAUACUACUUUGCAGCAGCAAAAACAGGAAAAUCAAACUCGUUAUAAGACUUGCUUUUAAGAUUUAAAAGCUUAUUUUAACUCUCUAACUAUAACAAAAGCUCAAAACUUCUCAUUCACGCAGCAUCGAACUGCUUCUGCAAGGGGCACAAUCCCAAGCUGGCCUUUCAACCAAACCCCAGCAUGAAUAAUUCACCACACAGCAAUAUGCUGCAUGUAUUUACUGUGACAACCCUUGCCAAGUAAAGAACUAUUCCAUACAUAAAGAAAGCAAACUCAUCAAAUCCAACAAAACCAAACAAACAAGGAGUUAGUCCCUAAAGAUGAUAUAAACAACGAGGGCGAAUUGUACACUCCGCGAGAAGGUAUUUGUACAUAAUAUUAUGAGUACAAAGGAGAUAGCACGGUUCAACUCGUUUCGGCUUCUCAAAGCUCUUUGUGCAGAGCUUCUGCUUCUUCAGAUACAAAUAGCUUCACAUCUGCAGCAUUUGAUGAUAGCUUAGAAAGCCUCGAUAUGAUAAGGCGUGCGACGUUUUCGGCUGCAACUGCGCUGGCUUCUAUUGCACUGGCCGCGCUCUCGAAGGAGUUUAUGUAGUAUAAGUGCUUCCCGUCUAAAAUAAUUGGCGCGAAGACUUCUGGAGCUUUAUAAUGAGGAUAUGCUGGCCAAUUAAUGCGAACAGUUUCGGUCCUCGUGCUGCAAAUUUAUCACCAAGAACAACGUCGGUUAGUACUGGUCUAUUGAAACUACGAGAUCACUUAAAACAUAGCUUGUUUUAGUAAGCCCUUCAAAAUUUUCUUCUAACCAACAUCCAUUUAUUUUUCUUUUAUUUAUUUAUUUAUUUUUCUCUUUGAGUGUUUCCAUCUAUUGAAGUGGAUUUGAUACUAGGAAAUAACUACAAUCUCAGCAUAGGUUUUCGCAUGAUCAUUCUUAUGGUAUCAAAACUACCAUUAAUUGUAACAGCAAAUCCAUUGAAAUAGACAGAAUUCCUCGAACUUGCGCAAAGAAAACAAUCAUAGCUGACGGCUGAUAAACAAAAAAAUUAAUUAUUCUUACAAUGACUUUAGUCUGAAGGAUUUUGUAAUUAAUUACCUAGCAGUUUUUCUCUCCUAUUUGUCUGAAAGUGAAAUUGAUUUCCUUAAUUACCUGAAAAUUUGAUCCAGUAAACCAUCAUCCAGCGGAGCACGAGAGAACAACUUGUAAGUCGCGUCUCCUUCGCUAUACUUCUUCAGGACAGAGAGGCUGGAGAAAGGGAUAUCAGAGAGCUCAAGAGUGCCCACAAGGUCCGGGAUUUCCAAUGCAGAUUUUAAGCCAAAAUAUUUCUGGAAAAUAACCAUGAAUUUAUCAGCCAAUGAUCCUAACAAAUUGCCGUUGAAACAGAAGCGUUUCAAAUGCUAAGGCAAAAUGGUAUUUGUAAUACUUAUUGAUCGAAAUCCUCUGCAAUUGGUGUUUUGAGCAUUGAGUAUAUAGGUUACAGUCUACUGCUGAAUAGCAAAAAACUAGAGUCAAAUUCAGGUUUAGGUAAAACAAUACAGGUUGCCCUCGAACUUCCAGCAAAUUAUUUCUAGCAAAGUAAUUCCCACGUGGAUUAUUGUCAAAAGUUUCUAACCUCUGCUAAGAGUUGUCCUCAUCAAGUAACAAAAGAAAGAGAUUUUGUUGGGCAAAUUAAGCUUCGGAUGAUUCUGUAAAUCAUUAAAAUAGUUCAGGACUAGUCCACUUCACUGAAAGAAUUUAGACCAAAUUGCAAUACGUCUAAACUUUUGGGGCUACCAAUACACUUUACCCUCCAGAUAUACCAGAACAUGUAAAGAGAACACUCACAGGGUUCAAAAGGCCCCUCACGAAUGUUGUAUAUGUAUGUUGAAGCUUUCGAGGUGGAAGAGAGACCACAGGAUCAAAUGUGAUGUUCAGCUCAUCGAGUGGCGUAGCGAUCACAGUGACAUCACAAUUGUACUCAUUCCCUUGCGCAGAUUUGAGCACAUAAUAGCCUUCUGCAUCAGAGAUGGAAAUUAUCUCUUCAUGGAGGUGCAAUGUGGCAUUCGCAUGCUUAAUAAGUCCUGUCGCCAGCAGGCGGUUUCCCCCCUUCACGGCCCACAAGCCUGAUUCAGAGCCUGCUAGGGACACUGCACCUGCUAGCCCGCUUAUGCUCACACUCUGACCGUAGUUGACUCUUGUAAUUACCUGUAGAUGGAACCAAUGUAUAUAUUUCCGGUCAGAAGGAGAGGCGUGCAACAUUUGAUCUAAACCAAAUUACUGAACUAAAUCGAGUCAUUUAUGUUAAUUGUUGGUUCAGGUAAUCAGGUGGGAGGUGUGCAGAAUGCAUGAACACGCAGAUGUGCAUGCGCCCACCCACCUUCCCACCCUAGCGCGUAUAUUAGCGGUCAACUGUGAGAUAAUGAUUGAAAAGCUAUAGUAGUUAACCACUAUACUUGUCAGACUAAAGCUUUAACCGACAGAAUCAGUCGAUACCUUUUAUAUAAAAGGCAGCAAUUCGGUCACAAAUCCAGACCGGAUAAACCAACUGAAAGAAUACCAUUUUCGGAUCAGUUUGGCUUAUGCCAACAAUAUAAAAGCAUUGACUUUCAUCAGAACAUGCCGUAUGAUUAAUAUUGGACAGCCACCAUGACAGUGAGCUGAACCUUUCUUCUAUAUAAACUAAUUGCUAACCCAAAAUCAAAAAAAAAAAAAAAAAUCAGAAAGAUUUUACAAUCUAGAAGCAUCUACUCGUUGCUUUAGAAACUAUCGCAAGGCAAAAGUGUGUUAUAAGAAUUGUUAGCUCAGCGAUUAAGCUUACAGAAGAAAUCUUCAUUGUGCUUCCACUUUAUAUGUAACAAAGACACGGAGAUAAAAAUGAUGGUUUAAACUGCCAUUUUGUUUAUGAUAAGAUCGUAAGAAAUAACUGCUUUUGACAACUGCUCAUUUCUAUUAAUAUUGUGAUGUCUUUCUAUUCCAGUAGAAAAUAAACCUCAAAAAAGUAUACCCAAAAAAGGAAAGAAAUUUACACCAAUGAUUGCAAACGUUGAUAACACUAAGAAUCAAACGUCUAUUCAGGCGGUUUCGGAUUAAAUCACAGGAGUUCAUAAAAAAAAAACAGAAUAAGAAAAGGGAAAAUCUUGCAGUUAUAAGAGGAGUAAAUACAAGAAAUAUAACAGAAAAAGCCAAGCAACUUACAGUUACAAGUUCUGAAAUUGUGCGGGAAUUCAACCCAGCAUCUACGAGUUCCUCCUCGAGAGUCCGUUGCGUGAGUCCAUAAAGAUCCGUCCAUUUCAGCAUCUCCUCCACUGUCUCGAACACAGGCCGUGAUUCAAAGCCAUUGUAAAAGAGCAUGAAUCUUUCCAACAUUUUCUAACCCACCAAAAAAAACCCAUAUGCAUCAAAAUGAGCAAGAUGACAUACAAACAGAGAAAACAGGUAUAUUGCAUGAGGUUUACUCAGACUUUUAGCAAAAAUUCCAAUUUAGUCCUCAACCUUUCGACUGGUGCACUUUAGUUCCUAAUUUCUAUACCCUGUUAGAAGUUAAGUCCACCUUAGUCCUUCAAUCAGACUUCUAUUAAAAUGACCACAAGCCUCUUACAACUGACUUGUAAGUGGUUAAACCUACAUAAUUAGAAGAAUCCAAGCAUUGCAUAUGGAAUUGCAUUACUUUGUUGUUGAGAGACAUGAAAAAAAAUGUCAAAAAGAUGUGUUAGAAAGAAUAGGUUAAUCCUAGUUUUAAGGUAUCACCUCAAAAGUGGAACAAGGUAUCUUAGAAAAAUAUGAGUAGUCCCUGCAAUGAACUAAAAUCAAAAUGUUAUACCUUAAUUACUAAUGAAUACCAUUAUCCAAACAAAAUACCCUCAUCCAACAAAACUUACCUUAGUCCAGCUUGUUCCAAAAUCCAAACAAAAACUGCAUAUCGACUACAUGGAUAUUUGGCCUAUUUUAACAGAAGAAUUUAACUAAAAAGACUAUAAUUCGAGUACAACAUAAAAGUUAAGGAUUCGAUUGCAAAGAGUUGAAAGGCAAAGGACCAAUCUCAAAUUGUGCCCAACAGAAGGUUUAAAAGAGAAAUUCUACCGGUACACCUUAAAGUGGGGUGUACAUCUUAUACCCACUCGAUCCAAAGGCCACUAAUUCUCUACUUGUCACAUCAAACUUUUUUUGUUUUUACUAAAAACCAUUUGUUUUUGUGAACGGUAGGAUACGGGGUGUAAGAUCUAUGCCCCUUUUGGAGUAUACAAGAAGAAUUUCUUGGUUUAAAAUGCAUGCAGACGCCCUCAAAUGUACACCGUUCUAAAAUAGGCCCCUGAACUAUAUUUGUUAGGAUUAACCCCUCAAUUUUUUCUUUGUUUUCGUCAAUUGAAUUGAAAACUACAUUAAACUCUAUACGAAAGGAGAAACCAAAUGGCGUUCCAUCGUUAAGCCACGUCGCUUUUUGUUAAUACGAGUUCCUAUGGGUGUAUUAAUUUUUUUUUCUCUUUCUCCUUUUCUCAUGGGUUCUAUGUACUCAUCUCUCUCUCACAGAGAAAAAUGUAUUUACCUCUUUUAUAUAUCUCUCUCUUCUAUUAAAACUUUCAUCUCUCCCUCUCUCUUCCCUCUCUCUCUCUCUAUAAUUUUUGUAACGCAACACACAAACAAAGGAACUCAGGAAAAGAAAAAAACACAGAGAGAGAAGCAGUAAAAGGGUGGUAAAAAGAGAGAGGGAAUUGGUUUGCUCCCUGUUUUUCCCCCCUUUUUCUAAAAUUAUUUAAAGCUGUUUUAGCAUUUAGGGUCGGCUUAAAUUUUAGUUUUUUAAUGAAAAUUUUCUCUAAAUUUGUUUUGAUUUGGUGAAGAAAAAGAGUUUAUCGAAAAACAGAAUUCCGUCGUUAAGCCACAUUGCCUUUUUUAAAAUUUGAAGUUUUAAUUCCUGUGAAUAUAUUAUUUUUUUCUCACUCUCUCUCUCUCUCUUUCGCAUAGGCUCUCCCUCCCUUUUGCAUGGGCUCUUCCUCCCUUUCGCAUGGGCUCUCUAUACUUACAUCUCUCGCUCACAGAGGGAAUGUGUUUCCCUCUUCUACAUAUCUCUUCCUAAUAAAACUUUCAUCUCUCCCUCUCUCUUCCCUCUCUCUACAAUUUUUUCUAAACUUAUCUAGGGAGUUUAGUGGUGGUGGUUAAGACCCAACACACACACACACACACACACACACACACACACACAGAGCUGGAAGAAAAAACACAAAAAGAGAGAAGAAUUAGUGAAAAGGUGGUAAAGAGAGGGAGGGGAUUGGUUUGCUCCCAAUAUUUUCCUUUUUUUAAAAAAAAAAAUUAUUUUAAGUUGUUUUUGCGUUUACGGCCUGCUUAAAUUUUUUUUUUUAUGAAAUUUUUUUUCUAAUUUGUUUUCAUCGGAAUCCUGAACGAUGGCGAACCCUGGCGGCGGCAGCGGAGGGCACAAAGGGAACAACUUGGUGGUGGCGUGGUUUUUUUUUUUUUUACCUUUUCUUCGGGUUAUACUGUCAUUUUUUUUCCCUUUUUUUUUCUUUUCAUGGUGGCAGCGUUUGUCUUGAAUGGUUUCUUUAUAUAUCUUUGUCAAUCAAUUUUGAUGUGGGCUUUCUUCUCAGACAUUGAAAUUUGAUUUGGGUUUAUUGGCCCUUUCUGCUUUUAGUUGGAAGACCUCUUGACAAAGCAAAGUGGAAAGAACAUAGUAUUAUUAUGUAGUCUAGAGUAAAUUAAGUUGGCUUCUUUUGUUUGAUCUUUAGUACCUUCCUUUAUUUCCUUUGGUAUUUUAACAGAUUGUUAGUUGUUAUUACUCUUAGGUUUCAGCUAUCUUUUAAUCUUUUGGUACAAUUGAGGUCUCCAAGUUUUUUUUUUUUUACUUCUUUUUUUUUUUUCCUGCAGGAAGUGAAGAAGCGGUUUAUAUACCUCAGGAAGAUUAGAUGUGCGGUCAAUUAAAUUUGUGCAGUGAAUUGUAGAGUGAUCUCAUCUUAAAAAACUCUGAAUCGGCACAGUCGGUAUGGAAAUUGGAUGCCAUGUUCAUAGUAGCCGUGAUGUACUUGAAUUCGAAGAUGAACUUAAGGGUGCGUUUGGUUCAUGUUAUCUUUUUCAGAUUCCUAGUAAUCCAAUAGAAAUAAAAAAAAUAUAACGGUGUUUGGCUAAACGCACUAAGUAAUCUAGUUGGUAAUACUGGAUUUACUUGGGAAUAAGAUGCAUCCCAAAGUACUAAUCUCAUUCCUUUGAGGGAGGAUGGGUAUUCUUAUAUUAAUGGAUUGGAGUAAUUAUAAUAUGUCUAAUCUCUUUCUUUCUCCCUACCCGCUGGCUAGUUGGUAUUAUUUUCUUAACACUCUAACCUCAUAUCUCUCUCUAAACUAAUCUUUUUCUCUCUCUAAACUUCAACUCUUUUUCUCUCUCUAAAUUAAGCUAUUUCUCCCCCUCUUUGUCUAAAAUCUCAACCCUCUCAUUCUCUCUAACUUUGACUCUAUUUCUCUUCUUAUUUUUUAAUUAUGAUCUCUCUUUCUAAUCUAUAUUCUCUCUCUCUUUUUUCUAAAAAGAUGCUAAAAUUUUUUAUAAUAUUAUUUAAAAUUAAUUAAAUAAAUAAAUUAAUUAAUUGUAUAUUUUUUGUAAUUUUAAAUAACAUGACUAAAUAAUAUGACCGUACGAACCAAAUACCGAAAUACUACAUUCUUAGUAAUAGGAUGAAUAGGAAUAAGAUUCUCGAAUAUCUUUUUACUCCUACUAAUCUUUCAUAGUGCGAACCAAACGCGCCAUAAACUUCAAGAACCAACAUUAUACACGCCGAGAACUGCUAAUUUUAGCAGAUAAAUAAAAAAAAGGUAUCAUUAUGUUUUUGUGCUAAUCACUGCACUCUGACUCAAAGAAAAACUCAAAUUAGCUCCCGGCGUUAUUAGCUCCCGCCGCGAGUAGCGAGACAUUACACUAGUUAAAAAUUAAACAGUGAUUCUAUUUUUCCUCUCUCAAAAUUAAUGACUCUACAAUCUGACUACUUUCCAUCCUUUCCAUGCGAUUAUUUCGUUAAUAAUUGACAAUCGAUAACACAUCUCAAAUUAUAUUGCUUAUAGCAACUCAAAUAAAAAGUAAAUCAAAAAGAAGAAGUGGAACUGUGGAAGGGUCUAUUACAAAAAGAUAAACAGUUUAGGGCAUAUUCAUUCAAUUUGCAAGCAAAAAGGAGAGAGAUGAAAUUGAGGAAGAAGAAGAAGAAGACCUUAACGAAGCGAUCCAUCCGAAGGAGAGAGAGCCCAUAGCGACGGAAGACGAGAAGCGAGUUGAGGAGCUCGUGAAGUUUCCAAUACAGGGACCCACUCGACGGGGGAGGCGGCGCUAGGGUUUUGAACACGAAGCUCGACCCGUCCCAAAUCCCCAGCCAGGAGUCAUCGCCGUCGUCGUCGGGCCUAUGGCUCAGGCCGAGGAGCGCGGCGAAGCGCGCGGCGUGGAGGUUCCGGGGGUGGAUGAUGGAGGCGCCGGCCUCGAACUCGUCGCCGGCGACGGAGACGGUGGCGGUGCGGCCCCCGGCGACGUCGCGCCGCUCGAAGACGCGGAUGUCGUCGACGCAAGGGGAAGGGGAGGGAUGUGGCCAUGGCGAUGAGUUGAGUGGUCAACGUAUAGAACGUACAUAGAGUGAGUUUCUCUCGUACUCUUUUUUUCAAAAUAAUCCAAUAAAAUUUCCUAAUUAAAUAAAGCACCCAAUUUUUUUGGCAACUAAUUCUUCUAUUGUCGUAUAUAAGAGUUGUAAUAAAAUUUUCUCUUUAAAAACAAGUGAAUUAUUUACCAUUUUUUUAAUUUUUCACAAAAAUAAUUAAAUUUAUAUUAAUUUGAAUAUUUUUUAUUCCGAUUAUAAUUUGAACAUUCUUUCAAUCAAUUUAGGCCUUUUUGCAUAAAAAAUUCACUUAUUUUGGACUUUUGCAAAAUCGGGUCACUUUUUUCGUUUUUGCAGAUUCGGUCCGUUUUUGCAGUAAACUGACCAAAAUACCCUUAUUAUUUUUUCUCUUUCCUCUUUGUCUCUCCUCUUCGUUUCUUNUCAUCGCCGUCGUCGUCGGGCCUAUGGCUCAGGCCGAGGAGCGCGGCGAAGCGCGCGGCGUGGAGGUUCCGGGGGUGGAUGAUGGAGGCGCCGGCCUCGAACUCGUCGCCGGCGACGGAGACGGUGGCGGUGCGGCCCCCGGCGACGUCGCGCCGCUCGAAGACGCGGAUGUCGUCGACGCAAGGUGCCGCCGCGGCGGCGGCGGCGCCGGGGGAGGUGGUAGUGGUGGUGCAGGUGUACUGUUUGAGGAAAUGCGAGGCCGAGGCGCCGCCGAUGCCGCUACCAACGACGCACACCUUGGGAGAGGAGGAGGAGGAGGAGGAGGAGGUGGUGGUUAUGGUCGAGAGGAGGAGGAGGAGGGGGAGGAGGGGGAAGGGGAAGGGGAGGGAUGUGGCCAUGGCGAUGAGUUGAGUGGUCAACGUAUAGAACGUACAUAGAGNNNNNNNNNNNNNNNNNNNNNNNNNGCCUAGGGCUGAUCCGUCCUGCAGAGCUCAUCCUCCAAGAAGUUGAGACACUCAAACCGAGUGUCUCGAUGCAGAUACAUCGGAUGCAGGCACUCAUUGAAGUUGCACAAUUUCAUUCAUGUACACUUGUGCGAGCCUUCUUCUCUGCGUCGCCCCCCCCCCGCAGGUCGUCAUGAAUGAGAAGUAUGUAAGUGCGACCGACUUCGUCAACCUAUCCACGAUCACCCAAAUGAGCGAUCAUGCCGCCGCCUGUUGAGCGUGGCAAUCCUGUCCAGCAAAGUCGCACCACCGUAACCCCUCCUCGCCCCUGUGUCCCUCCGUUUCUGGAUCUUAAUGUGCCACUUCGCCACCUCGGAAUAGUGCUCACACUGUCUCUCGCAGCUUCCCCCGGUGCGGGUCGAAGGCUCGCGUGCCUGCUGCCUUGCGAACUGUGAUCUUGUUGGCAACGUUACGGAGCAUUUAGCAGGACAAACUCGCAACAUGCCUUUUUGAUUCGGCCGGGCCACCAAUUUUAGGGCGAGCAUAUACGUGUUUAUGUCCUCUACCGUCAUCUUUUCGGCUCGCCGUCCCCGGGUGUAUUAGCACUCUAGCAAGCUGCGAAUGGCCGUCGGUGCGCUUCUUGGCAAGCACAAUACUCUUCUUUCGAAUCCCCCGAUAUCGCGGCUAUACUAAAUUCGGCUGCCGACGGAAACGCUUCAAUCCCUGUAUCGUUCCAGAAAAGGAAGUCGCCAGUGCAACAUCACCAUUUUUCUCUAAUCUUUGCAAUCUCCACACGGGAAGCAUUAGCUAAAUUUUCUUUAAUUCUCACUCCGCGCUCGCGCUCUCUCGCUAACCAAGAGUCUUCAAUCCGAGAAUCUCUUAAGGUUGUGUCAGGAAGGUCACCACCUCCAGGACUUCAACGGCUUAUCUGCUCGAUCACUGCGGAUAGCAUUGCUUCAGUCAGAGCAUCUCGUCUGCAUCUGCCUAAGUUUUCACUCCGAUUUCAUAUGGUGAGCGUCAUCUGCAUGGAGGUCCCACACGUUAGCCUUGCCUGCCGAUCGCUCGCCUCUUGUCAGUAUAAGAGCUCAGUCAGAUCAAGUCCGCCGCCGAGCCCCUCGCUGCCUCUCUCCGGCCGCCAGCCUGCCGAGCCCACCGCCACCGUCGUCUCCGUCGCGCCCGUCGGCCGUCGCCGAUACCCACGUCCGCCCUUGCCGGACCGCGCUCGUCAUCCCUCCAAUCGCCUCCGUCACUAUCCCUUGCUGAAGCCCUCGUCGACCCCUACCGUCGUCUCCGUCGCCGGUCACCUGUCGUCUCCGUUGCCGUCGCAAGCCCCGCUCCAUUAUGGGCCUUAAUGGGUGCAUCCAUUGCCACCAUUACACCAUCACAUAAAUGUCGUGUUUUAACUGCCCUCUUAAUUCAAUUUCGUCAGUUAUAUUUUGUUUAAAUUUUGCAAUGGUCACCAUUAACACUAUGUUUGACAGCCAUUUACACCAUUUACACUAUGGAAAUACACCAUUAAUGUUAAUGUGCAUAUUACACUAUGAAGAAGAAGAAGAACGAGCCAGAAGUGCCGCUGGCGCCGCCGCCCUGAAAUGCUGUGACACGCGCCCCGACCGCCGAACCCGGCCUCGUCCGCACCGCGGGCUGCGCGUCUCGGCCAGGAGUAAGCCGCGAUCAAGGCCUCUCCCGCCGCAAGCGGGCGGUACGUCGGCCGGCGGCCGAGGAUCCGGGCGGCUCGGACCUGUCACGACGCGAACGUCUGGCAGUAGCUGGACGAGGUCCGGCCGCUUGCCGAUGGCCUGGUGGCAGGCGUCGUGCAUCGCUAUAGUCGACGCGUCGCCCGGGCGCCGUUCGCGUCGCUCGCAUCUAACGCUGGCGAUUGCGACGAACCUCCGCCUAAGCCUCUUCUCAACGUCGCCGCGCACGACGACGUACACCGCGGCGGAACGGAAUGCAGGCUCGUGCAGACCGAGAUGACCGGUGACGGCGCCAAUAAGCCGCCGGCCGCCCAUUGCCUCGGUAACCUGGGUCAGCAACGCGACGGAUAGACGGCUGUGGAGUUGGGGUGGGCUCGGCGGCGGCGGCGGGGGAGAGGAGGAGGGGUCGCGGGCGGUGGAGAGGAGGGUAAGGAGGGAGGCAACGGUGAAGAAGGAGGGUGAGGAGGGAGGCGACGGUCCGAUCCGCCUUUUUUUUUUGGCGAGAAAAAAAAAAGAACGACAGAAACGAAGAUGAGAGAGAAAGAGGAAAGAGAAAAAGUAAUAAGGGUAUUUUGGUCAGUUUGAUGAAAAAGCGGACCGAAUCUGCAAAAAUGAAAAAAGUGGCCCGAUUUUGCAAAAGUCCAAAAUAAGUGGAUUUUUUAUGCAAACUGGCCAUCAAUUUAUGUUAUCAUCUACUUUUUAUUUUAAUUGAUCAACUUUAAUUUAUUUUUUUAUUAAUUGAAAGGGCGUAAAUAAUAAUCGACUUGAUGGAUAAAAUAGAUAUUUUAUCAUAUUUUUAAAUAAAAUAUUAACAAUAUGAAUAAUUUUGAUAUUUUUAAAAUUUAAAUAUACUUUUAAUAUUUACAACUUAUUGUGAGCGGAAGACAAAAUUAAGAGAGUGUUUGGUUCGGUGUAAAAUGAAUCGAAAAAUUAUUUUUAAUAUAAAAAUUAUUUUUUCACUUGUUUGGUUCGAUUUUAAAAUUUUUUUAUAAAAUUAUGUAUUUCUGAAAAUUUUGAAUUUUUUAUUUUACGCUCUUUUUUGACUGAAAACAAAAACGCAAGUUGCAUAAAAUUUUUUUCUAUUUAUUGUUUUCAACAAACCAAACAAAUAUAAUUUUUUUUUGGCCAAUUUGCAUAAAAAAUCCACUAGUUUUGGGCUUUUGCAAAACCGGGCCACAUUUUUCGUUUUUGCAGAUUCGGCCCAAUUUUUCAGCAAACUGAUCAAAAUACCCUUAUUACUUUUUCUCUCUCCUCUUUUUUUUUCUCUCGUUUUUUUGUUUUCUCUCUCUAAAGAAUGCAGCGAUGGCGGAGGCGGAAACGGCCUGCCUCGCCGCUCACCCUCAUGCUCUCGCUCUCACUCACGCACCCUGCGCCUUCCUCGUCUCCGACCCCGUCGAGACUCCACCGCGACUCUUUUUUUUUCCCUCUCCGACCCUCCUCCACCGCCUCCGAUGACGACGCCUCUCUCGCCCUUUCCCGCUUUUCUCGCCCUUUCCCUGUCCCUCCUCCUUCGUUUCUUUCGCCACUUCCGACGACGAUGCCUCUCUGCCGACGCCGACACCGUGAAGGUCGUUGCGACGCCGCAGUCUCGAAACGGGAAGUCCUUAGCGACGUCAUCGCCGGCGUAGUGGUCAUUGGCAGAGAGGUAUGACAAAAAAAAUUAUAGAAAAAUAAUAAUAAAAAAAUAAAGACAAAAAAAAUAGAAGAAGAAAUAAAAAGAUGAAAUUGCACUGUUUAAAAAAAAAUUGCAUUGUUUUAAAAAUUUUUGCAUUGUUUUAAAUAAAAAUUACACUCUUUGAAAAAAAAUUACACUCUUUGAAAUCAAAUUACACUAUUUAGAACAAAGUUGCACUAUUUUGACAGAAUUAAUAUUAUUUCUUUUUCUAUUUUUCAUACUAUUUCUCUUCCAUUCUUCUUCCUUUUUCUCCUUCCUCUCGUCCUCAUUCUCAUCCUCCACCUCCAGAGAAGAGGGUUGGAGGGGCGGUGGUAGCGCAGGAGCGAGCGCACGUCGUCGGGGAACCCUGUGGCGCGCAUCCAUCACAACCACGCCGUCGGCCCCUCCUCUGCCGCCGUCGUCCUCCACGCUCACCGCGUGCGCCCGUGCGCAGCUCCCCGCCACCGCGCGCUCUCUGCCCGCAGCCCUCUUUUUCGCCGUCGCGGCCGACUCCGCCGCGUCGCAUCGCUGGUUUAGGACGUAGAUGUAUAACUUCAUUUUGCAACUACUUACAAGCUCCAACGCAACGCAGAUGUAGAUGAAUAAAACUUUAUUAUAUAUAAGUUCGUCCAUAUAUAGAUAAUUUCACACACUAAGAGCGUGUUUGGAUCGCUAAAUAUUAACCCCAGAAUUGGAAUCGGAAUGAUCCAUGUCGAUUCUAGACGUUUGGUACGCCGUAAUCUCAUUCCGAUUCCGUUUCUAUUCUGGAAUGGGAAUCGGCUAAUCAGGGUAGAAACGAAUCCGGCCUCUCGAUUGAUAAAAUUAUCUGGCCGGGCUUCGUGCCGGGCCGGGCCGUGCCGGGCACGGAAGGCCCGGCUUCCCGGCACGGCCCGGUCUCCGAUCCGUCGAACCCGGGCCGUGCCGUGCCGGGCUUUAACUUCCGCCCGGCCCGGCACGGCCGGUGAUCGGGCAAAGCCGGGCCUUUUACACCCGGCCGUGCCGGGUGUAAUGUGGGGAUUCGCGCCAGUCCCUCUCAACUCGCCAGUCCUUCUCCGCUCCCACCUAAAAAAAAAAAAAAAAGAAUUCAACAUACCUACUUCCAAUAAAAUCAUAUUUUAUUAAUUCAGCCCUAAGUUAAAAAUUAGGCCCCAUNNNNNNNNNNNNNNNNNNNNNNNNNNNNNNNNNNNNNNNNNNNNNNNNNNNNNNNNNNNNNNNNNNNNNNNNNNNNNNNNNNNNNNNNNNNNNNNNNNNNNNNNNNNNNNNNNNNNNNNNNNNNNNNNNNNNNNNNNNNNNNNNNNNNNNNNNNNNNNNNNNNNNNNNNNNNNNNNNNNNNNNNNNNNNNNNNNNNNNNNNNNNNNNNNNNNNNNNNNNNNNNNNNNNNNNNNNNNNNNNNNNNNNNNNNNNNNNNNNNNNNNNNNNNNNNNNNNNNNNNNNNNNNNNNNNNNNNNNNNNNNNNNNNNNNNNNNNNNNNNNNNNNNNNNNNNNNNNNNNNNNNNNNNNNNNNNNNNNNNNNNNNNNNNNNNNNNNNNNNNNNNNNNNNNNNNNNNNNNNNNNNNNNNNNNNNNNNNNNNNNNNNNNNNNNNNNNNNNNNNNNNNNNNNNNNNNNNNNNNNNNNNNNNNNNNNNNNNNNNNNNNNNNNNNNNNNNNNNNNNNNNNNNNNNNNNNNNNNNNNNNNNNNNNNNNNNNNNNNNNNNNNNNNNNNNNNNNNNNNNNNNNNNNNNNNNNNNNNNNNNNNNNNNNNNNNNNNNNNNNNNNNNNNNNNNNNNNNNNNNNNNNNNNNNNNNNNNNNNNNNNNNNNNNNNNNNNNNNNNNNNNNNNNNNNNNNNNNNNNNNNNNNNNNNNNNNNNNNNNNNNNNNNNNNNNNNNNNNNNNNNNNNNNNNNNNNNNNNNNNNNNNNNNNNNNNNNNNNNNNNNNNNNNNNNNNNNNNNNNNNNNNNNNNNNNNNNNNNNNNNNNNNNNNNNNNNNNNNNNNNNNNNNNNNNNNNNNNNNNNNNNNNNNNNNNNNNNNNNNNNNNNNNNNNNNNNNNNNNNNNNNNNNNNNNNNNNNNNNNNNNNNNNNNNNNNNNNNNNNNNNNNNNNNNNNNNNNNNNNNNNNNNNNNNNNNNNNNNNNNNNNNNNNNNNNNNNNNNNNNNNNNNNNNNNNNNNNNNNNNNNNNNNNNNNNNNNNNNNNNNNNNNNNNNNNNNNNNNNNNNNNNNNNNNNNNNNNNNNNNNNNNNNNNNNNNNNNNNNNNNNNNNNNNNNNNNNNNNNNNNNNNNNNNNNNNNNNNNNNCCACCACACACACACACAAAAAAUUAAAUUAAGUUUUAAUUUGUUAAAUUGAUCAGAACCAUGUGAUUUUUUUUAUGACCAUGUUAUUUUCUUUUUUUUGUGUAAUAAAAUAUAAAAAUCGAUGUUUGCGUCCGGUUUGAGGGGCUCAACGCGACACGCUGCGGACGGUGGCGCACACUGCGCGGGCCCGGCCCGCUGCAGACUCGGGCGCGCAUCCCUGCGCACGGCGCAGGCUCGGCCUGCUGCUGGAGCGCGCUAGGGCACGCACCCGAGCAGGCGCGGCCCGUUGCGGCCGCAGAUCGCACCCGAGCGCACCGCGCCGCGUGCGCGGUCUGAACCCGCGAGCAGACUGCGCGGGCCCGGCCCGCUGCAGGCACAGGCGCGCAACCCCGCGCACCGCGCGGGCCCGGCCUGCUGCGGGAGCGGGGCGCACCCGAGCCCACUGCACAGGCCCGGCCUGCUGUGGGCGCCGCGGACACCCGCCCGCGCAGGCUCGGCCCGCUGCGGAAGCGGGCGCGUCCCCGCGCGCAUCGCAGGGGCCCGGACGGCUGCGCGCCCAGCGCGCACCUGCGCGCACAGCGCGGGCUCGGCCUGCUGCGGACGUGGGCGCGCCCGGUGUGUGUCGCACCGGCCCGGCCCGCUGCGAGAGCGAGGCACACCCGCCCGCACCGUGCGGCCCGGCCCGCUGAGGAGGGGGGGGCACCCGCCCGCUUUGUGCGGCCCGGCCUGCUGCGGAGCUGGGCUCACCCGCCUGCACAGUGCGGGCCCUGGCCCGCUGCGGGUGGGUACCCGCCGGCAGUGCAGGGGGCCUGCGGACCCGGCCCCAGCCCGCCGCGUGCUGUGGGCGAUUUUGCAGGCCCAGCCCGGCCUGCUGCACGCAGGAAAGCGACCCUGCGUGCCCAGCCCGGCUCGCAGCGCAGAGAUAAUUUCUUUAAAAAUUGAUAAUAAUAAUAAAAAUCCUCUGUGGAUAUUUUUAUUUCCUGCAUGAUAUUUGAUAUAUAUAUUUCCUGCGUAAUAUUUUUUGGAUACUUAUUAUGCCAUUUUUUUUAGAAUAUGCAUGUGUUGUUUAUCCUAUGUGGGUGUUUUUUUGCUUAUGUAGCAUAAUAUUUUAUUGGCAUAUAAGUACUUAUGUUAUUCGGUGAUUUUUUAACAAAAUUUAAUUUUGGAAAGACGGGUUCGACGUGUGCAGCAUUCCUGUAGAAUAUUUAUUUUCUGAUGUACAUCUUGUAGUGAUGUAGUAGGUUUUAAUUAUGAAAAAGGUGAUGUAAUAAUUAAGGCCAUGUAAAGGAAUGUGUUUUGCGCAGUGUCGACGUUUUUCAAAUUAAAUUUUGGCCUAAGUACUUAUUUUUUUAUCUGUGUGAUGACAUCAUGUGAUUUGUUCUUCAUGUAUAAAAUUUUUAAAGGAUGUGUUCUUUCAAAAUGGAUCA